rnacentral:lncRNA from 1 species
CCUCUUCCAUCCUCCUUAUACUACCCCGAGAUACCAACUCCUAUACUACAAAUGAUAACUACUUUUCCUGACUAUUCAUCUAUUCUACCUAUUGAACCACCUUUUCAGCAGUUAUCUAUCCCUGUUUACACUAUACACUAGGUAUCUACAUUCUGAAAAUAACUACUUAUUCUAUAGAACCAUUUGUCAUAAUUGGCAUCAUGCCAUCUCUUCAUUUUGUUCAUCAAAUCCUUCAUUUCUAUUUUUACCAUCAUCUUCAAAAUAAUUGUCUUCUUAAAAAAUAUUGAUAUCUUCAGCAUGAUGUUCUGUAUUGAUUUUUCUAUCUCAUCUUUUAAAAAUCUUUACUCGCUUCCCAGCAAUAGAUAUUUUUAACCUCAUAUCAUCUAACUCCUUUAAUGAAUAUGUGGCAUUAUCAUGAACUGUUACUACCACAUAUGGUCCAAACCAACGUUUCAAAAACUUCCACAAAGUACUAUGUUGGUCAUUCAAACUGCUAUCAUAAAUAAGUACUCAAUCACCUUCUUCAAUUGUUUUAGGUCUCAAUCUAUGUUGCUAAUCAAAUUCAGUCUUAUUUCCUAACCUUGCCUUUCGUAACAUUUUUAAUGAUAGUUCUACAUCUUGUGAUCUUUGUUCAAGUUGCUAGCUCCUAAUGGCUAACAAUUCAUCUCUUGUCAAUCCAUCUUCUCAUGGUAGCAUACUCCACGUUGUCAUGUUGUAACAUGAAUAUAUAAUAAAAAUAUAAAUAGAAAAUAUUUAUUAAUAUUUAGUCAUCUUGGAUGUUAGAAACAGUGGCCAAUUCUAGUGCCAAUAUUCAGGGACUUGGUUAAUGUCACCCCAUUGCAAGAUGUACCACCGAAUGUGACAUCAGUGUAUGCUCCGUCUGCAUCAUCAAACUAAGUACCCUCCGUAUCAAUGGGAUGAUCAUGAUCAUUUUCUAAUCCUACAUGGAACAAGCCUAGUAGAUAUAUACCGGUGGAGACACCCAAUAUGCCUGAUGAGGGUACAAGAAGACCACUUUGUUGUUUUAGUUGUAGACAGAUUGGUCAUUAUGCUAGUGAAUGUCCCAAUCCCAGAGCCAGUGACAAUUACGUGCCAAUGUGUGGGAAUAGCAAGCAGUCGGGGCAUUCUUAUUAGUAAUGUAAUACUCCAUUCAAUUUCAAUAUUCGGGAUCAGCCGAUCUAAAGCCAAAGAAAUAUUGAGGGAUUAAAUCGAGGUCCUCAAGAUUCUCUGAUAAAUCGAGUGGAAUGAAUUUGAAUUGUUCUUAUUAAGAGUUGGCAAAAAGAAAAAAGACCAAUUUAAUAUUUGGGUGAGUUUGAUAUGUAGGGCCAAUUUGACCCAAUUAUGAAGACAUCCAAUCUAAGUCUUGUUACGGGUCUCUUAUCCAGUAUGAGACCUAACUCAAUUGGGCAACCCAAUGAGGUCCCGAAUAUGAAGGCUUCAGUUCUAUUUCAAGCUGUUCUAUUCUCUAUGCCAUUUUGGAGAAAUAGCUUUUCUAUGGAAAGAUCCUCUUAGAGGCAGAAAUUCCAUGGAAGCAAGUCUGGUGUUCCAAUUCGGAGUCCAAAGCGGAAGAAUAGGGGACCUCAGGGAGUUAAAAGAAAGGAGAGGAAAAAGAAAAGGAAGAUGACUAUACUAAAUGCAUGCAAAAAUUUGUGUUAAUCUUACGGUACAAAUAGAGCAUAUUUGAUCAUAAGUGUAAAGAGAUAUCAGAAGUUGGCAUAUUGGAGUUAUUUAGGGUUUUUGUAAUAUCUGAGAUCUACCAGCUGGAGUAAGGUAAAUUUUGAUGUGGUAAGUCGAGGACUUAAAGACGGAGUUGCAUACAAAGUUUGAAUGAGAAAUAACGAUCAGUCAAGGAGAAAUUAUAAAUUAAAGUUUGUCAUCAACCUUCUAGGCGAUGGUCAAGGGACUUCAGCGUGGAUUUAUGGUGUUUUCUUGUAAUCUAUAACAUGAAUUGGAUUGAACUUCUUGAGCAUUUAGAAGACUUGUAAAGACGCUAGUGGUAGAAGUCUCACAACAAUCGGAUAGUCAAAUUGAGAAUUACAGCUUGCCGAGGCUCGUUGUCUAGGAUUAGGGUUUAAAAAAAUAAAUAAAAAAUCAAUAAAAAUAAAUAAAUAAAUAAAUAAAUAAAUAAAUAAAUAAAUAAAUAAUAAAAAUAACAAAUAACAAAUAACAAAAGAAUCUAUGCUUAUAAUAUUCAAAAGCUAUUAAAAAUAGAGUUCUAAGUACUUUAUAUUGGGUUUAAGCUUUUACAUUGAAAUCCGAAAUAAUUUGUGUUUAAAUGGUUGAAAUCUACUAGACUACUUGGAUACUUGCAAAACAUCAUUUUAUCUUCCACAGCCAGAUGCACGAUGCAUUCUCAAGCUGGAUAGCAUGUUGUUGUAUUAUGUAAUACAACAACGUUGGUAUAUUUUUUUUAGUUGGCAUAAUUGGUUUUUGACAUGUCAUAAGUUCCACUCGCAUAUAUCCUGUCAUCGAUCUAUGUGUUGUUCAAUCAGCCCAUAAUGCAUAAGGUAGAAGUCGAGGCUCUUCUACUCUUCCAUUGCAAGCUUUAACUAAGGCUUUUACAAUUAGUAGAUGCCCACUUUCACUCUUUAUUUUUUCCUCUAGAUUAUAAGCAAUAGUUAAUGAUAAUUUGAUCCCACGUCUCUUAAAAAAUCACGAGCUUUAUAUGCAUCUAAUUCUUCUCGAUCUGCAGUGAUCUUUCUUACACUCCAUAGUGACAAAUAACUUCUUUAAAUAAAAACCUACAAAUUCUUUCUAUGGACUUUGUUCUUAGUGCCCUACCUUCAACUUGGUUUGAUAAAUCUUCACGAGCCAAAACUAAAUAUCUCAUUUGCCAUAGUCCCAUUGGCAUAAUAACCAAAUCCAUAAAUCAUUUAAAAUGAAUAGCCAAAGGAUAUAUUGGAUAUAACCCAUCUCAAUGUCAUCUAUUUGAAUACAUCUGACAAAUUAUACAAGACUCUACAAACAAAGUUACAUCUUGAUACAUAUUCUUUCACCAAUAUCAUUCCUUCAUUUUAGCAAAAGUAGUCCAAAUUCCUCUAUGUUCCGCCUAUAGGUUCUCAUAAAACUCUUUGAGUAGUUUUUGUUGAUCUUCUUUAAUACCUAUUACUCGUCUUGGCAAUCCAAUUCCUUUCUUUGGUCUCUUCCAUAAAAAUCCUUCUUGAAGCAAAAAUCAAUAAGCCUUCUUUCUUAUUUAAUUAAAUUUUUUUAUUGACCAAUUCUCUUAAUUAAUCAAGGUAUUCAAAUAAAGACCAAUUUUUAGUAAUUUCCCUUCAUAAAAAUCUUCAAAAAAUAUCUUAUCUUCUUUAUUAAGUUUUGAUAUUGAAUAGAAUUUUGUUCCAACAUCAUCAAUAACUUCAACCAUCUCGUAUUUUCUUUCAUAUAUUGCUUGUGACAACAUAUCUGCUACUCAAUUGUCUUUCUCCGCAACAUCUUUAAAUUCAAGAUUUAGUGAUUCGAUAUAAGCAAUUCAUCUCAACAUCAUAAUAUCUUGUGUUGUACAAUUGGUAAUCAUUUCAAGUAAAGGCAAACAAUCUGUUUCAAUUACCACCAUAGCUCUAAUCAAAUAAUCCUUUUCAACUUUCAUAACUGAAACAACUUUCCAUAGUUUCCUUUUUACUUGUGAAUAUGCACGUUGGCGAGUACUUAAAACUUUAGGUCCAAAUUGCAGUGCAAAUCUGUAUCCAUUUUAGUCAUUUGACCUACAGCCCAUCCAAUGGCAAUCAGAUUAGUAUCCAUAGUAAGAAUCACUAGUCUAUUGCACUUAUAAUUAAUCUUUCUCAACAUUGGAGGCAAUAUCAAUAAUUUCUUCAAUCUUUGUAAUACUUUAACAUACUUUUCUUCUCAUUUAAAUCGAUAGUCCUUGCAUAACAAUUCAUAUAAUGGAUCCACUAUGUGAUUAUAAUGAGGAAUCUAAAUACGAUAAAAUACACAUGCACCUAAAAACUUACAAAUCUCUAUUAAAAAACUACAAUCUUCUUUCAUUAUUUCAAUUGCAUCAACUUUAGUCAGAUCUGGUUUUCUUCCAUAAAAUCUACAUAAAUGUCCAAUAAUUACAACCUCUUGUAUUCCAAAUAUAGAUUUUGUAGCCAAUAAUGUAAGAUAAACUUUUCCAAGCUGAGUCAAUAUUUUUUUACAAUCUUGUAUAUGAUCAAUGACAUACUUGCGACACCUCCUCUUAUCUAAAGUUUUAUCCUUGUUUUCUUUUUUACACCCUUUUAUAGGAACAUCAUCUAAAAUAGGUAUAGUCUUCUCAGGAAUAAAAUCUCUUAAUAUCUCAUUUAUCUCGUUUAUCAUAUGCGCAACUAAGUUGGUAGCAUCUUGAGAAAGAGUAAACAAUUUAACUAAUCCAAGUGGAGUUUUCAUCGUUGUCAUAUCUCUACUUUCUUUUGCAAGUUGAAAUUGGUCAUAGCUCGAAUAUAAAUCAUUCAUUGAAUAAAUUGCCCUUCCUACAAACGCCUUGAUAAAUUCAUCUACUAUAGGCCCAAUUCCUGCAUUCCUAAUAGUUACUGCAUUCACUGGUUGCAGAUCUUAAAUAAAAUGUAAUGACCUAUUUUUCUUAGGCACUAUAAACCAUCGACUAGAAUAUGGUGCAAAAGUCGGAUCCAAAAUCUUCAUUUUUAUCUUUUUUUUUAAUAAUUCCACCAAGCUUGGUAAAUGUGCCUCUAGUACAAAAAUUAGCCUUAGAUUUCAAGGUACAUGUGGUAUAGUGAAAAUAACCAUAGGUGUUACAAUAUUUGGAUCUACACACCUAAUUUCAUAAGAUUCAGAGGCAAAUGAUCUAUCUUGUUUUGCCAACAUCUCUUUGAAGCAAGUAAUUUCCUCCACCAAUAAAGAACCAUCAAAAUCAAUCUUCAAUUUUUCAAAAGCCUCUUUAGUAAACUUGUGACCAAGAUUCUUUGGAUCUGUCAAGCUCUUUUUUCUUGAUGCUUCUCCUAUUUAUUCUUUAGAAUCUUCUAACAAAGGUCCAACAAUCGGUUUAACUUUCUUAUCUAUUGUCUUAUAUUUUGUCUCAACUAUAACCUCUGGUGCUUGAAAAGAUUCAAUCAUAUCAUAAACUUCUUUUGAAUGAAUUAGUAUAACUUUAUCAUCAUUAUCUAAUUCAAUAGACACAAUCAAUUUCAAAGAAUCCUUCAGUCCAUUUUUUUCAUAAAUAUCUGUAAUCUUUUCAUUAUUUUCUAAUAUUCUUAACCUAUACAAUUCUUUUUCAAUAGUACUUAAUUUCUUUUUUUUUUUUUUUUUAAAUCAUCAAUCUUCUUAUACAUAAUGCUUCUAUUUUCAAAAAUACUAAUAAAUCCUCCAAUAAAGUACCUACAUCUUAGGAGAGUACCUCUCUUUCUGUACCUCUAUAAUCUUGCUUUAUAGUGGUACCCCCAAAAAAUCCUUAAAUUCUUCAACAAUCCUUGACAAUGGAUUUUCUCUCAAUUUUUCUCGAUUCCACUCAUGAUUUGGAAGCACAGUCAAAAAUUGUACUGCCCUCCUUCCAUCCUCACUAUGAAUUCAUGCAUAAGUUGAAUCAAAUACUUUUGUUUCCAUCCGAGUUGUAAUAAUAUAUGGUUGUUCCAAAAUAAGAGGAUAAGAUGUUGUAUCUUAAAUAAAAAAAUUUUGAUCCAAUGCAACAUCACCACUCGGAAUUUUCACAUCUAGGCAAGCACCAUAUAUCUCCAUACGUGUAUUAUUAGCUGCCUGUAUUACCCACCCAUGUUCCAUUUCAAUUGGCCACCUUUAUUUCAUAUAAAGAUCUUUAGACAUAAGGUUUAUCUCUGAACCAUGGUCAAUCAAAGCAACAACCGAUUCGUCUAUAUCUCCAAUCUUCACUAAUGUCUCUGUAGUUGCUUUAGCCCAAUGCUUUCGAGUAUAAUGACUUGAAACCUCUCUCUAUUUUUAUUACCUUGAUCAUCAAAACGUACCCUUUGAUUAUUACUCCUCUUUAUAUUUAUUGAUUGUUUGUAACAAUUAUCAAAUACAUCUUCUUCACCUUCAUAUAUGUGUGCAUCAACAACAUGAUUUAAUCCAGCUUCUCCCAUUAAUUGUCUCUUUUUUUUAAUACUGUCAAUUUCUAUUAAAGCUUCAUGUUGGCUUUUAGCAAUAUAUCCAUAUACUGACAAAGUUCUACAAGAUCCUUCCAACCCGUAGCACUACAAAUUGUUGCAACAGUUUUCAAUAAAGCUUUGCAUGAUAUCUUCUAUUUUUGUAUUAUAAAAAUAGUAAAAGACCAAAGUCCACUUGAUUGAACAAUUUCAACAAAAUUCUGUCUCCCAUCAUUAUCCACCCUAGUUCUAUAAUUUACAGCUUCUAUUCUUGUAAUUCUAUGUGUUACCAAAUAAUCUUUAACCAAUGCUUUUAUGCCUCCUUUAUCAAAGUUGGUUUGGAAAAGAUCACAAAUAUCUUUUAAUGCAACCUUCCCAUCUUUCUAAUAAAUAAUGCCUUGUUUAACCAUCUCAUCAAAUUCACGACAAUCUUCUCAAGAAUGAGAAUCAUCAUCACACCAAAUACAUCUUUGAAUAUAUCCUUGUUUAAAAGUAGCCUUUGAACUUAUUGUAGAAGUCUUUUCUUCAAGCCUUGUAAGUUUGAUUUGAAGAUCUUGCAUUCCUUGUAUAAUCUCAUCAAGUCCCAUAUCUACUUUCUUUGGUGUAGUCAAUGGAAGUUGGACAAUUCGCACAAUCUUGUAAUAGGCAUUGAGGUCUUUGGUACUUGUACCACUCUUCGAGUACUAAACAUGUGUCACGAACAUAGAAAUCAGACUUGAGAUCUAAUAAGAAGUUCAAGAAGAACUGGGAAGAACUAGAUUAAUCAGAUGAAUACAAGAACAACACCAGAGAAGUGAGCUAGAGCUCCAAGAGAUGUGUUGUCGAGACUGAAGAACUCUUCAGCCUCGAUUCUAAUAUAUAUUCCUAUUUAGGAAGCUUCUCAAGCAACUUCUACCAACUAGGAAGCUUCUAGAGGGUUCUAGAGACUUGCUUCUAGAAGGUUCUAGAAACUUAUCUCUAGAAGGUUCUAAGGACUAUGUUCCUAACAUCUUCUACGAACUAAGAAGCUUCUAGAAGCUUGUCUCUAGAAGGUUCUAAAAACUUGUCUCUAGAAGGUUCUAAGGACUAUGUUCCUAACAUCACCUCUUCCUUUAGCUUCGAGGUCUCUAAGAAGCAAUGUUAUUGUCAAUCAGUACCAAUGCAAGAAAAUGAAGAUCUGUCGCAUAACGUUUGCUAUGAACUCGAACUGUUGUUCACGAGAUAAGUGGUUCAUCGGCCCUUGAAGCCAACGGUAGUGGCCCACCCUUUCAACUUCUGACCAAGCAUGAACUUCCGUGUCUUCAUUGUGAAAUUGUCCUGCAAAUAUGCCUUCUGGCUGACCAUCAUAAGUAGGCUCGGACUCAAAUACAAUCACCAGUGAUCGGUUACUUGGUAUCCUCUAUUGUCGUCGUGGUGCAAGUGGUUCUUCAUCUCAGGGUCGCUUUCAUGAGCUAGUCGGUUGAGAUAAUCUGACUGGCAUAGUAUCUAUCUCUUGGCUAUCCAUAUCAGAAGACCAAACUAUGGCUACUGAAAAAAUUCUAUUUUAUCUUGGAGAAAAUAACUACAUCAACUACGAAUUUUGGUGGUGCUCUCCCCCUUUCUUAUAUUCUUGGGUGAACAAGCUUCAGAAAGAAGCUAUCGUCGAACCGGCUUAGGUUUAUGAGGAUGUUGUUGAUGAAACUCUAGUACCUUUUGCGGCGCAUUGGCGAGAUUUUCAGCUGGCUUCCACGUUCACUCAUUAAUGUCAUAACCGCACCAAUGAACAAGAUACUCCAACUUGCCCCACCUUUGCCAUGAAUCCAAUACCUUUUCAACCUCGUAUUCCUCGUGGUUCUCGAUCUCAAUACUAGGUGGCGGACAUUGCACUCUUCCAGGAAAAGAUGACUCUCGAUAAGGCUCCAACAAAGAAACAUGAAAGACUGGAUGUACCUUCAUAGAAGCCGGUAAUUCCAGACGGUACGCCACUAGAUUGAUUUGCUUCUGGAUGAUAAAUGGUCCCAAUCUUCGAUAGUCCAACUUGUCACAUGGUUGCUUGGUCUUGAUAUUCCGUCGAAGAAGCCAUGCUUUAUCUCCAAUUUUGAAAGUAGGUGCUUGAUUCCGAAAUCUAUCUACAGAUGCCUUGUAGGAUUCUUGAGCAGAUUGUAAUUGAAGCUUCAACGUAUUUUGAAGCUCUGAUAGUUGUUUCACAAAUCCUUCAGCUGUUGGAUUGUUAUUUGUUGACGGACUCAAUAAAUCAAGCUUCGGAUGAUAUCCAUAGUUGGAAAAGAAUGGUGUAUAUUGAGUCGACGCAUGGAGGGUGUUGUUAUAUGCAAACUCGACAAGCGGCAAAUAUGUGGUCCAAUCAUCUUGCUGAUAGUUGAUGCUGCAUCGUAAGUAUUGUUCCAAGACUUGGUUCACUCGUUCCGUUUGGCCAUCAGUUUGAGGAUGAAAAGCCGAAGAAAGUUUGAUAUCCACCUUCAGUAUCUCAAAGAGAGAUCUCCAAAACUUUGAUAUGAACUGGGUUCCUCAAUCUGAUAUGAUAUCAUCUGGUAGUCCAUGAUAUCGAUACACAUUAUCGAGAAAGAGCCUUGCUGUGACUUCACUGGACGAUGUCUUCUUGUAAGGGACAAAGUACGCCAUUUUUGUAAGCCGAUCUACCACGACAAAGAUGCUGUCAAAUGAGUUCGAUGAUGGUAGAUCCGUGAUGAAGUCCAUGGAAACUGAAGACCAUGGUCGACGUGGAAUCAAUAAUGGCUGUAGAAGUCCAUAAGGGCGAUGCAGAGGAUUCUUGGAUCUUGAACAAAUGUCGCAGGAGAGGACAAAAUCUUUCACAUCCUUCCACAUUCGGGGCCACCAAAAAUCUCGAGAAAUAAGCUCCAAGGUCUUGUUGAAUCCAAAAUGUCCCGCAGCUGGAAAAUCAUGGAGAGAUUGAAGAACUCGGAGUCGUGCUGGUCCUUUUGGGAUAUAUAACUGCUCCUCAAAGUAUAAAAGAUCUCCCUCCACCUUGAACUUGUCGUCAUUGGCACGCUGCUUAAUAUCAAUGGCUACUGAAUCUUCAAUGGUCAUGACAUGUUGUCGUGUUGUAAGACGAGUAUACCGUAAAAAUAUAAAGAAAGGGGACUUUUAUUAAUGUUCAGUUACCUCGAAUAUUGAGAGCAACGACCAAUUCCAGUGCAAAUAUUGAGUGGUCAGGUUCAGUUACCCCAUUACAGUCAGCCGGGGCAUACUGAAAUACUCCAUUCGAUUUCAAUAAGGAGAGUCAGCAGAAAAGAAAAGGACCAAUUCACACGACGGGUGAGCCUGGUUCGAAGAGCCAAUUGGAUCCAAUUUUAAGAAUCCAAUCCGAGUCCUCUUACCCAAUAUGAGACCUGAAUUGGUCGGGCAACCCAAUGCAGUCUAAUUAUGGGAAGAUCCAGGUUUUACUACGGGCCUCAGCCAAUCUGACGCGAAGGACUAAUUUGAUCCAAUUACGGGAACAUCCGGGUCUUACUACUAGACUCUUAGCCAAUAUAAGACCUGAAUUGGUCGGGCGACUCAAUGUGGUCCCGAUUACGGGGUUUCGAUUCUGUUUCAGGCUGUCCUGUUCUCUAAACCAUUUCAGGGAACGUUGUUUUCGGUAAAAGGAUCUCUUAAAGGUAAAAAUGGAGAAGAAAGCUCUGACGAUGAGAGCCAAUUUCGGAUCCAAGCUGGAAGGAGCCAAUUCUAGAUCCAAGACGGAAGAUUGAAGAAAUUCAGAGGCUAGGGUUUGAAAGAGGGGAGAAUUAGGGUUAAAGGGGAGGAAGGUUAAGAAAUGAGGGGGGGGUUUUUUUCAGAUCGAGUUUUUUGGAUCGAAGAGCUAGCUUCAAGCUCUUUUCAAGGUCACUAGUUUGAUUUCAUUAGGGUUGUGAGGGGAGAGCAAUUGCUGCUCAAAGUCAGUGUUUAUUUUGGUGUUUCGGAUUUUAUAUAAAACAUUGAUGGUUUGCAUUCUCAAUCGGUUUGUGCAAGUCGUGUAGCAUCUAUGGAUCAAAAUUUGGUAUUGUUUGGAUAGUUGGGUGUGCUAAGUGUAUACAAAAAUUUGUAUUAAUCUAAUAAUGCAAUUAAGAGAUAUCUGGGUUUUAGUACAAAGGAUUGUCGGAAGUUGGCAGUCUAGGGUUGGAUAGGAUUUCUGUGAUAUCUGAAGAUCUGCUAGUUGGAUCGACGUAAUUUUUGGCUUGAUAAUAGAAGAUUUGGAGAUCAAGCGGCUAUUCAAUUUUGAGCUGGAGUUAACGGUUGACAAAGGAGAAAUCACUUUUGGAGUUUCUACAUCAAAUUUUAAGGUUGUGGCCGAGUGUCAUCAGUGCGGUUUUUGGGCGUUUUCUUGCAAUCUGUAAGUUGGGUUGGGCUGAAAUUUUCUAAGCAUAUAGAAGGCUUUUACUGAUAUUUGGGUGAAAAAUUUCACACUAAGUGGAUGGUUGAAUCAAAAGUUACAGCUUAUCAAAGCUCACUGGCUAGGGUUAGGGCUUGUUAAGAAAAACAAAAAUAACUUAAUUAUAAAAGAAAUAAAGCAAUUGGAAUAUUGUAUGGUUAAAAUGACUAUGAGGAGUGUUUUUAAAUACUUGGAAAUUGAUAUUUCAAUUAUAUACUUCAUACAUGGAUAAAAUCUAUUAGGAUUUCUUUGUUAUUUGCAAAAACAACUAUACCUUCCACAGCCAGAUACCUAGUGUAUUCCUGAACAAGAAAACACGUAACAUGACAACGUGAAAGCUUGAGAUGGAAGGUAUUGGAUUUCGUUUGAUUUUAUUUUUAUUUUUAUUUUAUCAAAAAUGAAAAUAAAAAUUUUGAAGGAUUUUUGGAAGAAGUUUCUGGUGGAGGUUCUUCUAAAGGACAAGGUAUGCACAUGGAUCCGUCUAUUGCUAGUAUGUUUCAAGCCUUCUCAUAAUCAAUGCAGCAAUAGUAAAGUAAUGAUCGAAAGGAAGCUUUGGCAACCAAAGCAUUGCAAGCAAUGGUCAAUAAAAUUGAUCAAUUUGAUGGAAGGAAUAUUUGAAGGUGUCACGGCCAUAAUCAUGUAAGCUAAUAAUUACAUAUAGAAAUAGGUAGAAGUAAGUAAAAGUAGAUAAAAGUAAGUUAAUUGUAUAAUAUUUAAUAUAAAAGCUUCCUAGAAACUUCCUAGACGCUGCUUUGACUUCAUAGGUGUCUUUAAUUGACUUUUUGGAUUAGAAACGUGGUCAACAAGUUGGCCAUGUGCCACACAUGUUGUUAGCUUGAAGAUCAAGCUAAUUAUGUGGCCCACACGUAGAAAAACUUGCCUUGUAAGUCAAGGCAUGUGUCCUACAAAGUCAACACAUAUUGGAGGUCCUAUAGAACGUCGCCACGUAGCCCCUAGUUAGAUAGUAUAUAUAGAGACAAGAAUGAAGGCUUCUUCACUCUUGUCAACUCCUUUCUUGCUUCUAGUCCAGGUUCAAGAGUCUUUAGUUUCUUGUCUUGUGGCAAUAGCCAUUCCUGUUUCCUUUUAAUAUACCUACUUGUUUAUAUUUUGACUUAUUAUAUCGAGAUAGCCUUUUGGUGUAUAUUUUUCCUCAUCGAGUCUUUGUCCUUGACAGAUUGACAAGAGUACACUUACAAUAUUAGAGCUUUGUUUUUUCUUGAGUAAGAGUGGAUUACCCCUUUCUCUUGACAAGACAUAAGCGUAUUAGAAGUUUGCAAAUUACCCACUUCUAAACUGAUAUUGUUCUUAGUAUCUUCUUUGUUAUCAAGUCUUUCUUUUCUUUUGUCUUGAGCAAUAUCAAACAAAUUUUUCUUCUUAGUGUCAUUAUGGCAGAGCUUGUUGAAAUGAAGAGUGCAAUGGCACAAAUGCAAGAGCAAAUGAGGGAGUUAAUGCUUGCGAUGCAUCAACUCAAUUCACCAACACAGGAAAGAACAAGAAUAGCAGAAAGUGGAGAUAUAGAGAUGAUCGGAGCUGCUUCAACAUCUACAACAAAUCACGUUCCUUCUCCAAUUGUACAACACCCUAUAAGCACUAGAGAACCAAGAACUGCCUUACCUGAGAAAUUUGAUGGUACGAGAUCAAAGUUUCGAGGGUUCAUCAAUCAAGUACAAUUGGCAAUUGAACUUCAACCGCAAAGCUAUCCAACUCUAAGAUCACAAGUCAGGUUUAUUGGCACUCUACUUUUUAGUUCUGCAUUAUCGUGGUUUUCGUCUUUUCUUGAACAACGAAAUCCAAUAUUGGACAAUUUGGAAGCUUUUUUGGCAGAGUUUCGAUCUAUGUAUGGUGAACACGAUGCAACUCAUGUUGCAACAAAUAAGAUCCGAAUUCUGCAACAAGAAAAUCGCUCAGUAACAGUAUAUGCUUCACAAUUUCGACAACUUGCAAUUGACAUCAAGUGGGAUGAUGCUGCACUCAUCAGUCAAUUUCUUUAUGGAUUGCAAUACGAAGUAAAGAAAUUGAUGCUCAACUUACCUGAUCCUCAAACUUUGAGUCAAGCAAUCGAUUUUGCGGUAAAAUGUGAUAAUCGACUUUUUGAAUUUCGAUCUGAGAAUCAUUCACGGGAACCUCAACGUUAUUACUCAAUGGCAACAUCAACAUCUUUGCCAAACGUACAUUCGGAAGUAGAAGACAUGCAAAUUGACGCGGUACGUUUUAAACCUCUAACUGAGCAAGAAAAGAUUCGUCGUCGUCAAGAAGGAUUAUGUUUAUAUUGCGGAGAAUCUAAGCACACUGCUCAACAUUGUCCAAAGAAACGACGCAACUAUAAAAUGAGGGGUACGACGGUCAAAGAAGACAACAUGUCAGAAAACAGAUUCGUCCAGCUACAAUAGGGACCGUGCAGCUGGAACCUUGUACAAUUCCUAAUGAAGGUCCUAUCCUCUCCUCAGAACCCUCUCCUUGUUUUAUAAUAGACUUAUAUUUAGGACCUAAGAAUUACAAAGCCUCUGCUUUAUUAGAUUCGGGAGCCUCAGCAUGUUUUUUAGAUGAACAAUUUGUUAAAAGUCGUAAAAUAUCCUAUGUACAGAAACCUAAACCAGUACAUGUAGAAGUCAUAGAUGGUCGUCCCUUGUCUUCUGGAGAUGUCACUCAUGAAACUCAUCCUAUAAAAGUAACAAUAGACGGUCAUGAUAGCUACAUAGCUUUAAACAUAAUUAAAUUCCCGUCCAAUCCAGUUAUUUUAGGUUUAUCCUGGCUAGAAAAAUAUAACCCUCGAAUAGAUUGGAAUUCGCGUAAACUUGACUUUUCCAAAAGCGUUAUUAAUAGUUCUACGAACCAAGUAAAAAAUUAUAAGUCUAGUACAGUAAAACCCGUAAUGAUAGGUGCAAAAGCAUUUAUACACGCAGCAUAAGAAGGAUCAACUUUUGCUAUUUAUGCUGCACCUAUUUCUGAAAACGUAAAGACUUCAAGUGGCAUUCCAAGUCAAUAUCAGGAGUAUCAAGACGUUUUUGAGAAAAAGAAUGCAGAUAUUCUUCCUGAGCAUCGUCCAUAUGAUUGUUCAAUCGACCUCAAGGAAGGAACUCAGCCACCAUUUGGACCAAUUUACAGUUUAUCGCAAGAUGAGAUGGUUGAACUCAAGACAUAUAUUGACGAGAAUUUAGCGAAGAAUUUCAUAUGCCAUUCAAAAUCUCCAGCAGGAGCUCCAAUUCUAUUCGUAAAGAAAAAAGAUGGAUCUUUACGAAUGUGUGUUGAUUAUCGAGGACUGAACAAGAUCACAAUCAAAAACAGGUAUCCAUUACCUUUGAUAUCAGGACUCCUUGACCAGUUGAAUCAAGCUAAGAUCUAUACAAAAAUAGAUCUAAGAAGAGCAUAUAAUCUAGUACGGAUCAAAGAAGGAGAUGAAUGGAAGACUGCGUUUCGAACCAGGUAUGGACAUUUCGAAUAUAAUGUCAUGCCCUUUGGACUCAGGAAUGCACCAGCUGCUUUUCAACAUCUCAUGAAUGAUAUAUUUCGUGAAUUCUUAGACAAUUUUGUCGUCUGCUAUCUAGACGAUAUCCUGAUCUAUUCCAAGAACGUCGAAGAACAUGAAAUACAUGUUCGUCAAGUAUUACAAAAACUUAGAGAUGCAGGAUUGUACGCCAAGAUGGAAAAAGUGUGUAUUUCACACUACUCAAGUUAACUUUUUAGGAUACAUUAUUUCAAAUGAUGGUCUCAUGAUGGAUUCUAAGAAAGUCCAAACAAUCGUGGAUUGGAAGAUUCCAAAGACAGUAAGAGAUGUUCAAUGUUUCUUGGGAUUUGCCAAUUACUAUCGGAUCUUCAUCAAAGAUUUCUCACGAGUUGCAGCUCCACUUACACGCUUGACUAGUAAAGAUAAAUUUCAAUGGAAUCAAGAAGCGGAAGCAGCAUUUGAAGCCUUGAAGACAUCGUUUGUCUAUACACCAGUCUUAUAUCGUGUUGACUUUUCCAAGGCAUUUUUUAUGGAAACAGAUGCAUCAGAUUUUGCCUUCGGUGCAGCUUUAUCACAAAUGGGAACAGAUGACAAACUCCAUCCGAUAGCUUUUCAUUCAAGAAAAUUCUCAGCAACCGAGAUCAAUUAUGAGAUCCACGAUAAAGAACUUCUUGCGAUCGUGGAUUCCUUUCAAGAAUGGCAUCAUUAUCUAGAAGGCGCUUCUAGUCCAGUCACUGUGUAUACAGAUCACAAGAACCUCGAGUAUUUCAUGUCAGCACGCGUGUUGAAUCGUCGUCAAGCUCGUUGGAGUAUGUCUUUGUCAAGAUUCAAGUUCAUUAUCACUUAUCGGCCAGGAAAAUAACAAGGUUUAUCCGAUGCCCUAUCUAGACGUUCUUAUUUUGCACCAAAAGAAGGAGAUGCAGCUUUUGAGCAACAAAGAACGGUCCUCUUGAAACCGGAGUAAUUUCAUCUCCGAGCAAUGAAAUCAACAUUGACUGUUGAUUCAACUUUUCUCAAGCAAAUCCAGUCCAGUAUGUCCUCAGACCCUCUUAUUUAUGAUAUCGAGAAUAAUUCUUCCAAGUCUCAUGAUUCUUCUAAGUUUGAGUUCAAGAAUAAUCUAUUAUAUUUUGAAGGACGCCUAUAUGUUCCAGAAGGAGAAGCACGUUUACGUGUUCUUCAAGCACGUCAUGACUUUCCAGCAGCAGGGCACUUUGGAUAUAAUAAGACUUUGGAACUCAUAUCAAGAGAUUUUUGGUGGCCACAAAUGUGGAAGUCAGUCAAAGACUUUGUACAAUCAUGUGAUAUUUGUUCAAGAUCAAAAAUUCCUCGUCAUCGACCUUACGGACUUCUUCAGCCAUUACCUAUACCAGAACAACCAUGGUCUUCUGUUUCUAUGGAUUUCAUCACAGAUCUUCCAAGCUCAAGAUCUUAUGAUUCUAUAUUUGUGAUAGUAGAUCGUUUCACCAAGAUGGCACAUUUUGUGCCAUGUACAAAAUCUAUCACAGGUGAAGAAACAGCUAAACUUUUCAUUGAUAAUAUCUAUCGCUAUCAUGGAUUACCUAAAGAUAUCAUAUCGGAUAGGGGAACUCAAUUUGUGUCAAGAUUUUGGAGGACCCUUUUCAAGAUUUUAAAAGUGGACAUAAAACUAUCUUCGGCUUUUCAUCCUCAAACUGAUGGACAAACAGAGCGCGUAAACCAAGUCUUGGAGCAAUAUUUAAGGUGUACUAUCAACUAUCAAUAAGAUGAUUGGACAAACCUUCUGCCAUUGGCAGAGUUUGCUUAUAAUAAUACGGUACAUUCUUCCACGCAACAAACACCUUUCUUUCCCAAUUAUGGCUAUCAUCCAUGACUUGAUACUUUUGAUUUUUCAAAAGUUGAUAAUCCUGCAGCAGAAGAUAUGGCAAAUCGGUUGUCAGAGUUACAUGCAAUAAUGAAGACACAAUUGAAGGAAGCUCAAGAACGACAAAAGAUAAACGCAGAUCUAUAUCGUAAGGAGCAACCACAGAUCAACGUCGGUGAUAAGGUAUGGCUACUUCGUCGCAAUAUCAAGACUACUCGACCUUGUGACAAGUUGGACUAUCGUAGGCUUGGCCCCUUUUCUGUUUCUGAACAGAUCAACCCAGUUGCAUAUUGGUUACAUCUACCAGAGUCAAUGAAGAUCCAUCCUGUAUUCCACGUAUCUCUUCUUGAACCAUAUAAGACAGUGAAUAUACAAGGAAGAAGACAAAUGCCACCGCCUCCUAUAGAAGUAGAUAAUAAUGAAGAAUUUGAGGUGGAAGAGAUAUUAGACUCAAGGCGACGCCGAAAUAAGCUGGAAUAUCUUCUUCAUUGGCGCGGAUAUGAUAUUAGUGAACGCACAUAGGAGCCAUCCAGGAAUCUAGCAAAUGCAUCAACUAAAGUCAAAGUUUUUCAUCAACGACAUCCAUCAAAACCAAGAUGAAAAUCUCUCUUAUAAAAGAGACAAGAUUGAGGCAAGUUAACAUUCAAUUUCCUAUCCUUGUUUGUAACUUCUUUGCAUUUGUGACGCUAAUUAGAUGGAGAGCCAACAACCAGCAGAUUCAACUCAAGAACCUUCGUUUGCUGACCUGCCGGACGAGACAUUAUGAUUGUCACAACCUUCAAGACGACGCAAUCGAGAUAAAGAUCUUCAAGAACGACAUGUUCUUCCUCGAACAGAUGGUGAGAUACAACGCGUUUGGUAUCACGAUUUGGGAAGGGACUCUCGAUGUUUGGUGAUUUUGCUAGAGGUAGGAACAACUCCUGAUGGUGUUCCGAAUAUUCUAUUCGAAGGAAGUUAUGAAGGCCUCAAUAAUGAUCAAAUAAAUGGGUGGUCUUCCCGCCCUGGUAUGGAACACUACCGAUGGUUGAGAGGCCCUAUCAAUCAUCUUCGAAGAGAACAGAGAUCAGAGUAUGUGGCGAAUACAAUUCGUCGCAUCAUAGAUUUCCUCAACAUAUGAUGACCGCUCCUCGUGGAACUCGUCUCUAGAAGGGGGGGUAAUGUCACGGCCAUAAUCAUGUAAGCUAAUAAUUACAUAUAGAAAUAGGUAGAAGUAAGUAAAAGUAGAUAAAAGUAAGUUAAUUGUAUAAUAUUUAAUAUAGAAGCUUCCUAGAAACUUCUUAGAUGCUGCUUUGACUUCAUAGGUGUCUUUAAUUGACUUUUUGGAUUAGAAACGUGGUCAACAAGUUGGCCAUGUGCCACACAUGUUGUUAGCUUGAAGAUCAAGCUAACUAUGUGGCCCACACGUAGAAAAACUUGCCUUGUAAGUCAAGGCAUGUGUCCUACAAAGUCAACACAUAUUGGAGGUCCUAUAGAACGUCGCCACGUAGCCCCUAGUUAGAUAGUAUAUAUAGAGACAAGAGUGAAGGCUUCUUCACUCUUGUCAACUCCUUUCUUGCUUCUAGUCCAGGUUCAAGAGUCUUUAGUUUCUUGUCUUGUGGCAAUAGCCAUUCCUGUUUCCUUUUAAUAUACCUACUUGUUUAUAUUUUGACUUAUUAUAUCGAGAUAGCCUUUUGGUGUAUAUUUUUCCUCAUCGAGUCUUUGUCCUUGACAGAAGGUAUUUAAGAUGUUAUGUUCGUGAAAUGGAAUUAAAUCGGGUUUCUGAGAAGAAAAUGGUUGAAUUAUUUGGACUUGCCACAAUACCAGAGAUAAGAGACCAUAUUACAUUGAUUACGGAUCAUUAUGGGAAUUCAUGGGAGGUUUUUUCACAUGCAUUGAAAGAAGAAUAUUUCUUAGAAGAUGCUGAUCGCGUUACUAAGAAGCUGUUUCUGGAAUGGAUUGAACGGCCCAAUAAGAAUUUGCAAGCAACAGAGCUACUAAGGGAAUUUGAGAGGCAGUACUCUUAAUUAUCGAAGGUAGAAAAAUUGACAUUGGAGCCGAACAAAGUUGAUCUAUUUCUUCAAGCUGCUGAUGGAAAAUUGCAAGGGAAAUUAGAACUCCUUCUUGAAGACAAAGAAGAAGAUGAAGGAUUGACAACAAAGUGGAAGAACGUUGAAGAUGCAGUGGGAUUGCUUACAAAAAGAGAAAGGAGGAAGGAUAGGAGCAAUAUUCCGAAAACAGUACAAGCACCCAAAGCUCCAGUACGUACAACACCACCGACAAUGCCUACAGUUCAACCUUCGACAUCCUUGUCAAAGAAAGCAGAUAUGGGUAUGGAAGAAAUUAUACGAGGAAUGCGAGAUCUUCAAAUCAAAUUGGCAAGAUUUGAAGAGAAUACUUCUACAAACAAUUCGAAGAAUGUUUCAAAACAAGGAUAUGUACAAAGAUGCAUUUGGUGUGAUGAUGCUUCACACACUAAAAAAGAUUGCAAUGAAUUUAAUAAUAUGAUACGGCAGGGAAUUAUUUGCUGAAAAGAUGGGAAGAUAGCAUUAAAAGAUAAGAAGGAUCUUCUUCAAAAUAAUUUUGGCAAGGGAGAAAUGAAAGCAUUGGUUCAAGAUUACUUAAAAGAGCAUGAAACAGCAGCACGAGAAAGUGCAAGUUAUGGUGCUAGAGUAGAUGAUGAAAUUGGUGGAAGUACGGAAACUAGUGAGUUUUGGGCUUCUAUCGUUUCUACAAUGCAAGAAGGGAAAUUACCUUGAGAAGUGUUAUUGAGGACGGCAGCUACAAUACGAGGUAGAACAGGUUGGGGGGAUCUUGUUGAGUCUCUUUCAGUUCAUGCAUAUAUUGCUAAGAGCCAACAUGAAGCUUUGAUGGAAGAAAAAAGACGAGGAAAUUUUGAUGAUACGAGAGAAGGAAAUUCUUCUAAGAGGCAAACUCGAGGAGACAAGGCUCGGGAGGCAGCUUCACAAGAAUUGCCUAUAAAGGAUACCUCAGCAUCAUUGGGAGAAGAAACAAAGGAGAGAAAAGAUAAGGGCAAAUCAAUUGCUUAUAAGCUACUUUCUGACAUUGAAGCGGCAACAAAUUGAAAGGGGUGUGGAAGAACGUAUAUUAAAUGCCAACGUGGAAUUCCCAUUGAAAGAAGUCUUUGCAANNNNNNNNNNNNNNNNNNNNNNNNNNNNNNNNNNNNNNNNNNNNNNNNNNNNNNNNNNNNNNNNNNNNNNNNNNNNNNNNNNNNNNNNNNNNNNNNNNNNNNAUAGAGAUGAAGAAGAGGUUGAUAUUGGUUACAGCAAUUCAACAAAUGAAAAGAAUGGGUAUAAUCAACGAGUACAUUUCGAAGAUUAUAGUGACAAGGAAAUGGAAACUUUGAGCUAUUAUACUCGAAAGUAUUGGGCAAGGGCAACUACUGAGGUAUUGGUGAAAGUAGGAGAUAUAGAAGAACUAGUUGUUGCUUUAGUCGACCAUGGUUCUAAAAUAAAUCUCAUGUCUAAAGAUCUUUAUAAGAAGCAAAAAUGGACAAUUGAUAUGGAACAUGGAUGGGCAAUACGAGCAGCUAAUAACACACGAGACGAAUUAUAUGGAGCUUGUCCAGAUGUCAAAAUUCGGAUUGGAGAUGUUGCGACGGAGCAACAUUUCUUCGUUCAAGAUACAACGUCUUAUCCGUUGAUUUUAGGACAACCUUAUAUUACGGCAACACGGAUAGAAACAAAAGUACUUGACGAUAGUUCUACUUAUGCAAGGGUAAGGAGCGAGGAAGGGAGGAAAGCUGUACAAUUUCUAACAGUACCUCCUUACCAUGAAUGGAAUGGAGAUAGGUUGAGGGAGAAACCAUUGCCAAAGAUUGUUGAAGGAUUUAAGGAUUUUGGGAAGGUACCAUUCUAAAGCGAGAAUAUGGAGGUACAAAAGAGGAGGUACUCUCGCGAGAUGAAGGUGACUUUGAUGCGAGUUUUAUUGGUAUAUUGGAGAAUGGAAAUAUUAUGUAUAAAAAAGUUGAUGAUUUUAAAAGAAAAGAAAGAAAAAGAUUAUAUGAUAUUGAAGGACAGUUACGCAAGAUAGAUACAUUGCAAGAUGAUGAGAGGAUUUAAGGUAUUUAUGAAGAAAAUGGACUGGAAGAUUCAUUGGAAUUGAUUACAUCUAUUGGGUUAAGAGAUAAUGAUAAGAUUGUUGAGAUUCAUUCAAGAGAGGUUUAUACUAUACUUGAAUCUUUUCAAGCACCAGAAGUCACUAUAGAGACGAGAUAUAAAACGGCAGAUAAGAAGGUAAAGCCUGUUGCCAGACCAUUACCAGAAGAUUCUAAAGAACAAAUGGGAGAAGUAUCAAAAGAAGCAAGUUUAAGAGAUCCAAUGAGUAUUGGACAUCAGUUUACUAAAGAGACUUUUGAAGAAUUGAAGAUUGGUUCUGAUGGUUCUUUAUUGCUAGAAGAAAUUACUUGCUUCAAAAAGAUGUUGGCUAAACAAGGUAGAUCGUUUGCCUUCGAAUCUCAUGAAAUUCGGUGUGUGGAUCCAAAUAUGAUAACACCUAUGGUUAUCUUCACUGUACUGCAUGUACCUUGGACUCUAAGUCCAAUUCCAAAAUCGAGGGUACAUUUACCUAAAUUGGUGGAACUAUUAAAAGAAAAGAUAAAGAUGAAAAUAUUGGAACCCUCAUUUGCGCCGUAUUUUAGUCAAUGGUUUAUGGUACCUAAGAAGAAUGGGUCACUACAGUUUAUUCAAGAUAUGCAACCGGUGAAUGCAGUAACUGUCAGAAAUGCAAGAAUUGGACCUAUUGUGGAUGAAUUUACUGAGGUGUUUGCUAGAAGGGCGAUCUAUUCAAUGGGUGACUUGUAUUCAGGUUAUGAUCAAUUUCAACUUGCCGAAGGAAGUAGACAUAUGACAACAAUGAGGACACCACUUGAAUUGGUUAGAAUGUGCACUCUUCCUCAAGGCACGACCAACUCAGUUGCGCAUAUGAUGAAUGGGAUGAAUAAGGUAUUGAGAGAUUUUAUUCCGGAAAAGACUAUGCCUUUUCUGGAUGAUGUUCCUAUAAAAGAGUACAGAGAAGGAGACAAGGAUGAAACUUUAGAUAUGAGGGGGUGUCGCAGAUAUAUUGUUGAUCAUAUACAAGAUUGUGAAAAGAUUUUAACUCGGCUUGGAGAAGUUCAUCUUACAUUAUCGGGUAUGAAGUCCGUAUUUGGAGUGCGAGAGGUUGUAAUUGUUGGACAUUUAUGCGGAUCUUACGGAAGAAAACCAGAUCCGACUAAAGUUGAUGCAAUUGGAAGGAUGAAAGAGGAUUGUGGUUCUUUAACAAAGGUUCGCAGGUUUUUGGGUGCAUGUAUAUUUUAUCGAAUCUGGAUCCCUCAUUUUGCUCACAUAGCGGAUCCAUUAUAUGAACUGUUACGCAAGGGUUACCGAUUUGAAUGGGAAGAAAGGCAUAUUCAGACAAUGCAAAGAUUGAAGAAAUUAUUGAUAUCACCUCCAAUAUUGAGGAAGGUUGAUUAUAAGUACAAUAGACUAGUGAUUCUUACUGUAGACGCUAGUCCAAUUGCCGUUGGAUGGGCUGUGGGUCAAGAUGAUUCGAAUGGGAGUAGAUUUGCAGUUCGAUUUGGGGCUAAAGUUUUAAGUAUUCGUCAGCGUGCAUAUUCGCAAGUCAAAAGAGAACUUUGGGGAGUCGUUUCGGCUAUGAAAGCUGAAAAGGACUAUUUGAUUGGAGCAGUAGUAGUAAUAGAAACAGAUUGCUUGCCAUUGCUUGGAAUGAUUAUUAACUGUUCAACGCCAGAUAUUGCAAUGUUGAGAUGGAUUGCUUAUAUUAAGUCACUAAAUCUAGAAUUUAAGCAUAUCACUGGAAAGGACAAUUUAGUAGCAGACAUGCUAUCUCGAGCAAGAUACAAGAGGGAGGACAUUGAUGAUGUCGGAUUGAAAUUCUAUUCAAUAUCAAAUCUCAACAGGGAAGACAAGCUAUUUCUUGAAGAAUCUUAUGAAAGAGAAUUAUUGGAUAUUGGUCAUUACUUGAAUACCUUGACUAAGCAGAGGAAUUGGUCUACAGAAAAAUUCAAACAAAUAAGAAAAAAAGCAUAUGGAUUUUUACUUCGAGAUGGAUUCUUAUGGAAGAGACCGAAGAAAGAAAUUGGGAUGCCACAACGAGUGAUAGGCAAAAGGGAAAAAAAACUAAAAUUAUUAAAGGAGUUUCAUGAUAGUUUAUGGGCAGGGCAUAGAGGAAUCUGGGCUACUUUUGCUAAACUCAAGGAACGAUAUUGGUAGAAAAAUAUGUAUCGAGAUGUGCUCUCAUUUGUAGAGUCAUGUGAAAUCUGUCAAUCGUAUUCUAAUAUCCGACAUCGAGAUGGUCUUCAUCCUACGUAUCCUUUGGCUAUUCAUUUUAAAUGGGUUGUUGAUUUGGUUAUUAUGCCCAUUGGGUUAUGGCAGAUGAGAUAUUUGGUUUUAGCUUGUGAAGAUUAAUCAAAUCAAGUAGAAGGAAGAGCAUUGAGGCCAAAAUCUACAGAGGGGAUUUGUAGGUUUUUGCUUGAAGAUGUCAUUUGCUGCUACGGAUGCCUAGGAAAAAUCACUGCAGAUCGUGGAGAAUUAAAUGCACAAGAAGCUCGUAAGUUCUUUGAAAUAUGUGGAGUUAAACUAUCACUGACUACUGCUUAUGAUCCGAAAGGGAAUGCAAAAAGCGAACGCGGUCACCCACCGAUUGUGAAAGCAUUAGUUAAAGCUUGUAAUGGGAAAGUUAAAGAGUGGCCACGGCUUUUUUCAUUUGCAUUAUGGACUGAUCGAACAACACAUAGUUCGGUGACAGGAUAUAUGCCAGUAGACUUAUGACAGGUCGUUAAUCAAUUAUGGCGAUUGAAGAAAAGUACUACUUGGUAUGUCUCGCUCGUUCGGCCGCAUUGACAAGAGAAGAACUNNNNNNNNNNNNNNNNNNNNNNNNNNNNNNNNNNNNNNNNNNNNNNNNNNNNNNNNNNNNNNNNNNNNNNNNNNNNNNNNNNNNNNNNNNNNNNNNNNNNNNNNNNNNNNNNNNNNNNNNNNNNNNNNNNNNNNNNNNNNNNNNNNNNNNNNNNNNNUAUGACAAUAGUCUAGAUAAUCAACAUAGUACUUUGUGGAAAUUUUCAAAACGUUGGUUUGGACCAUAUGUAGUAACAAUUGUUUAUGAUAAUGCGACUUACUUAUUACGGGAGUUAGAUGGUACAAAAUUGAAAAUACCAAUUGCAGGGAAGCGAGUAAAAAUAUUUAAACGAAGACACGCGGAGAUGAAUAUGGAAGACCUUAAUGAAGGUAUAGAGAUUCAGCAGCAAGAAGAUGAAAGUAAUUUGGAUAAUGAAGGUGACAAAGACAAACUGGACAAAGACGUAGAGGAUAUAUUCUAAAUCAAACAGCAAUUGGGUAAAUUGGUGCAUACCAGAGGAUGCACAGGUUCAGAGGGGGUAGAUGUCAUGUUGUAACACGAGUAUACCGUAAAAAUAUAAAGAAAAGGGACUUUUAUUAAUGUUUAGUUAGCUCGAAUAUUGGGAGCAACGACCAACUCCAGUGCAAAUACUGAGUGGCCAGGUUCAGUCACCCCAUUACAGUCAGUCAAGGCAUACUGAAAUACUCCAUUCGAUUCCAAUAACGGGAGUCAGCAGGUGUCAGGGACAAGAACUCGAUGAAAGCUAAAGAGUAAGUGAGACUUUUCUCAAAAAGAAAUAGGACAAAAUAGAAAUAUGUAUAUUAAGAAAGAAACUGGAAUGGCUAUUGCCAAAAUACAAGAAAACUAGAGACCCUUGAAACUAGACUAGAAGCAAGAAAGGAGUUGACAAGAGUGAAGAGGGCUUCACUCUUGCCUCUAUAUAUACUAUCUAACUAGAAGCCACGUGGCGAUGUUCUAUAAGACCUCCAAUAUAUGUUGACUUUCUAGGCCACAUGCCUUUGCUUGCAAGGCAAGUUUUCUAUGGAUGGACCACGUAGUUAGCUUGUUCUUUAAGCUUCCAACAUGUGUGGUACAUGGCUAACUUGUUGACCAAGUUUCUAACCUAAAAGUCAACUAUAGACUCCUAUAAAGUCAAAGCAGCGUCUAUGAAGCUUCUAAGAAGCUUUCCUAGAAGAUAUUACACAAUUAACCUACUUUUAUCUACUUUUACAUACUUUUAUCUAUUCAUAUAGGUAAUUAUAUGUAUGUCCGUGACAGCAGGAAGGGAAAGGACCAAUUCACACGACGGGUGAGCCUUGUUCGAAGAGCCAAUUGGAUCCAAUUUUAAGAAUCCAAUCCGGGUCCUCUUACCCAAUAUGAGACCUGAAUUGGUCGAGCAACCCAAUGAAGUCUAAUUACGGGAAAAUCCAGGUUUUACUACGAGCCUCAGCCAAUCUGACGCAAAGGACCAAUUUGAUCCAAUUACAGGAACAUCCGGGUCUUACAACUGGACUCUUAGCCAAUAUGAGACCUGAAUUGGUCAGGCAACUCAAUGUGGUCCCGAUUACGGGGUUUCGAUUCUGUUUCAGGCUGUCCUGUUCUCUGUGCCGUUUCCGGGAACGUUGUUUUUGAUAAAAGGAUCUCUUAAAGGUAAAAAUGGAGGAGAAAGCUCUAGCGGCGAGAGCCAAUUUUGGAUCCAAGCUCUGACGGUGGCAGCCAAUUCCGGAUCCAAGACGGAUGAUUGAAGAAAUUCAGAAUUAAGGUUAAGAAAUGAAAGGGGAGAGAAUAAGUUUUUGAGGAGGGGUUUUUUGAAGGAUCAGAGAGCUAGCUUCAUGCUUCGGGUCGGUUAAAAAGACAGAGAAUUGGAUUUUUUUCUUCAUAGGGUUUUGGGAAGACUGAGGCAAUCGUUGCUGAAGUUAGUGUUGUAAUGGUGAAUCAAGAUUUUUAAUGAAGUGGAUUUGAUUACUCUUGGCUGUUUUGUGAAAUCGAGUUACGUUUGUGAUGAAGAAUUAAAAGGAUGUCUAUAGGAUUGAGUAUGCGGAGUGAAUGAAAUUUAUUGGAUUAAUCUAAUAAGACAGUCAGUGGAUACAAGAUCGUGAGUAUAAAGCGGUAUCGAAGAUUAGCAGUUUGGAUUGUUCGGGGUUCUUUGUAAUAUCUAGAGACCUACCAGCUGGGGCAAAAAUAACUUUGACAAGCAGUCGAAGGGCAUUCGUAUAGAUUUAUGGUGUAUUCUUACAGUCGUUUAUAUUCCAACAGUCAAAAACUGAUAGAUUGCUUGAAUAUUGGCGAAUCUCCAUACUACCUUCCACAGCCAAACGUCCGGUGCAUUCUCGAGCAGGAAAGCACGUAAUACAACAACGUACCCGAUUCAGGAAGUCAACAUCAAUUGGCACAAUAGUAGCGCAAAGCUGAAAUUGCUCUGGCUUCAACAAUGUCGUAUAUUGUUGAUCAAACGAUGCUUCUCCAGCCUUUGGUACAAGAUACUAUCUCCUCGAUAAGGCAUCAGAUAGUCCUUGUUGCUUUCCAAGUCGAUAAGUGAUAACAAAAUCGAAUCUAGAUAGCAACAUACUCCACCGAGCUUGUCGUCGAUUUAAAAUUCGAGCCGACAUGAAAUACUCCAAAUUCUUAUGAUCUGUGUAUAUGGUCACUGGAUGUAUAGCUCCUUCAAGAAAGUGAUGCCAUUCUUGGAAAGAAUCCACUAUAGUAAGAAGUUUUUUAUCGUGGAUCUUAUAAUUGAUUUCAACAGCAGAAAACUUUUGAGAAUAGAAUGCAACUAGAUGGAGCUUCUUGUCUUCUCCCAUUUGUGAAAGUACAGCUCCUAAAGCAAAAUCCGAGGCAUCUGUUUCUAAAUAAAAGGCCUUUGUAAAGUCUGGAUGUACCAAGAUUGGAGCCGUAGUAAAUGCGGUCUUCAGGUCUUAAAAUGCCUUCUCUGCUAGAGGUCCCCAUUCCAGCUUAUCCUUGCAUGUUAAUCGAGUGAGAGGAGCAGCAACUUGAGAGUAAUUCUUGAUAAAGAUCCGAUAGAAGUUGGCAAAAUCAAGAAAGCAUUGUACGUCUCUAACCGUCUUUGGAACCUCCCAGGACACGAUUGCUUCUACCUUCUUGGGGUCCAUCUUCAAGCCUUCCGUAGUCGCAACAAACUCCAAAAACUCCAUUUCUAUUGAGUGAAAUAAACACUUCUCCAACUUGGCAUAUAGUCUUUGCUCGUGUAGUUUUUCCAAGACCAAACAAACAUGUUUUUCAUGCUCUUCCUCAUUUUUGGAGAAUAUCAAAAUAUCAUCCAAAUAGAUGACAACAAAAUCGUCAAGGUACUCUCGGAAAAUGUCAUUCAUCAUAUGUUGAAAGACCGCUCUAGCAUUGGUAAGAGCAAAGGGCAUGACAUUAUAUUCAAAAUGGCCAUACCUUGUAAGGAACGCUGUCUUCCACUCAUCUCCUUCCUUGAUUCGUACAAGGUUGUAAGCUCUCCUUAGAUCAAUUUUUUUAAAGAUCCUUGCACGUCCAAGUUGUUCUAAGAGACCAGAAAUCAAGGAUAACGGGUAACGAUUCUUCUUUGUUACCUUGUUGAGGCCUCGAUAGUCCACGCACAUCCGUAAUGAGCCAUCUUUCUUCUUCACAAAUAAGAUGGGUGCUCCAGCUGACGAUUUUGAAUGACGGAUGAAGUUCUUGGCUAAAUUCUCGUUGAUGUACUUUCGCAACUCCGCCAACUCCGUCUGCGAUAGAUUGUAGAUUGGGCCAAAAGGCGGUUGUGCUCCUUCUUGUAAGUCUGUAGCGCAAUCAUAUGGUCUGUGUUCUGGUAGCAUGUCAGCAUUUUUCUUUUGAAACACGUCUUUAAAAUCCUUAUAUUGCUCCAGUAUACUUGCUGUCGAGAUCUUCUCUCCGGUAGUUGGAGCCACAUAAAUGACAAACGAUGUGCCUUCCUUGGAUGAUCUUAUAAACACUCUUACUCCAAUAAAUAAAGAUUUCUUUAUUCGAGAUUUUCUACUAAGCUUGCUCUUAGGUGGUUUUGUGGGAAAGGUCAUCUUCCGCAACUUCCAAUCUAUGGAUGAGUUAUGCUUUUCCAACUAGGAAAGACCAAGAAUAACAGGAUUUGAUGGGGUUCUAAUAAUAUUAAAAAUAAUAUAACUUCUAUGGUCCUUAAACAUCACUUCUAUAGGUUUUGAUUCAUGGGUGACACUACCAGACAAUAAAGGUCGUCCAUCUAUGAUCUCAACGUGAACAAGUUUGGAUUUUUGUACUAAAGGGAUCUUAUGAUGCUUUGCAAAUUCUUUGUCUAAGAAACAAGCAGAUGCUCCUGAAUCUAAUACUGCUAUGGUUUUCAAUUUUUGAGGGCCAAUAAGCAAAGGGAUUGUAAAACAAAGGACAAGUUGAGCAGAAAGAAAGGAACUUGGUUGUUGCUGCGAUAUUUCACUGUCUAGCCGCACGGUUCCUAUUGUGGCUGGGCAUCCUCGUUUUCCUGAAUAAACGUGCCCCUAAUCUUGAUAAUACGUCGAUUUUGCUUCUUGGGAUAGUUUCCAACUUUGUGGCCUUCUUCACUGCAAUAUAAGCAUAGACCUUCCUCCAUACGCUGCUUUUUUUCUUCUAGAGUAAGAGAUUUGACACAUACUGCAUCAAUUUGCAUGUCUUCUAUCUCUGAAUGUGAAUUCAUGCUGCUUGCCAACAUGAUUGGGGUGUGGCGAACCGUAUGUUGUCUUGAACAUUGGUCUUGACGAGGUUAAAAUAGGCGGUUAUCGCACUUCACAACUUGGCUAAUAGCUUCGUUGAGCAUUUGCGGAUGAGGAAGAGUUAACAGUAAAUCCUUCACAUCGUCCCUUAAAUCCCAAUAGAAUUGACUCAUCAAUGCUUUUUCAUCCCAAUUGAUGUCGCAUGCUAAUUGCCUGAAGUCCGAUGCAUAGACUGAUGUAGAGCGCAUUCCUUGUCGUAGUGACCGGAUCUUUGUUGUAGCCCAUCGAACCUUAUCCUGUUCACCAAAUGCUUCCGCAAACGCCUCCAAAAAGGUUUCAAAGUUGUUUAGUAUAGACGAUCGUUUCUCAAACAAAAGAGCAAACCAUGAUAGAGCUUGUCCUAUAAGUAAGGUUCCAAUAAGCCCAACAUGUGACUCCUCCGUUGGAUAGCGUUCGGGCUAUGAAAUUGUUAUCAACCUGAUUUGGUUGACGAAUCCUCAAAACUUGAAACGUGUACUAUCGAACUUGUCCGGAAGGCUAACUCGGGGUUCCUUAUGUUGUAGAACCAGCAGUGCUUGUCGAACCUGAGGUAAAUUUGCUUCUCCAAGUGUAGAAGUUUGAGGCUGGUGCAACCUAGAUUGUGCCAUCCUAGAUGCUCCAUCAUUAUGAAGCCUUACUACGACUCCUUCAAUCUCUGCAGUUCUUUGCGAUAACGUAGCGAGGGCAUUCAUGAUAGCAUCUAACUUGGACUCUGAACUUUCCGUCAUACUAAUGUCUUGGUGACCGACCAUUCUAAGAGAAGGACAAAAAUGACUCUACAAGAAGACAAUAUUGGUUUAGAGGAGGGCACUCCGCAACCUCUAAAAUGCCUUAAGAGCUUCAAGAAAAGAGGUAAUCUACUCUCUCCAAGAAGAAUAAGACUCCAAUAUUGUAAAAAAAGAAGUAUCAGUUUAGAGGAGGGUAAUCCGCAAUCUCUAAAAUGCUAGUACACUUCCAAGCAGAGGGAUAAUCCACACUCUAACAAAGAAGAAACUAGCUCUGAUAUCUGAGGUGAGUUCAGUCUCGACAAACUGUCACGGACACAAAAAUACAGACUUGAGAUCUAACAAGAAAUUCAAGAAGAACUGGCAAGAACUAGAUUAAUCAGAUGAAUACAAGAACAACACCAGAGAGGUGAGCUAGAGCUCCAAGAGAUGUGUUGUCGAGAUUGAAGAACUCUUCAGCCUCGAUUCCAAUAUAUACUCCUAUUUAGGAAGCUUCUUAAGCAACUUCUACCAACUAAGAAGCUUCUAGAAGGUUCCAUAGACUUGCUUCUAGAAGGUUCUAGAAACUUAUCUCUAGAAGGUUCUAGAAACUUGUCUCUAGAAGGUUCUAAGGACUAUGUUCCUAACAACAUGUCCUUGUUCUUUACUUUUUUUGCAAGUAAUUCAAAAGCAUCUUCAACAGCUCUCGACUUUGUUGUUAAUUCUUCUUCUUUUUCCUUAUCUUCAAGAAGAGCUUCUAACUUCUCUUGUAAUUCUUCAUUAAUAGCUGAAAGAAAGAAUUCAAUCUUGUUUGGUCUCAAUAUUAACUUUUCUAUUUUUGAUAAUUAAAAAAAUUACCUAUCAAAUUUUUUUAAUAAUUCUAUAGCUUGCAAAUUUUUGUUAGGUCACUCAAUCUAUUCUAAGAAUGAUUUCUUAGUAACUCCAUCAGUAUCCUUUAAAAAAAUAUUCAUCUUUCAAUGCAUGUGAAAAUACCUCCUAUGAACUUCCAAAUUGCCCCAUAAUAGACCUUAUAUGCUCUCUUAUCUCUGGUACAAUAGCAAGCUCAAAUAAUUGAAUCAUCUCCUUCUCAGAAACAUUAUUCAGUUCUAUUUUCUACACAUAACAUCUUAAAUAUUUGAAAAUAUCCCUCCCAUCAAAUUAGUCAACCUUGUUAACCACUGCUUGCAAUGCUUUGGUUGCCAAAGCCUCUUUGCAAUCAUUGCCUUGUUACUAUUGCAUAAAUAAUAUAAAUACUUGAAAUAUUUUUGGAGUAUUUGGAUCAAGAUACAUACCUUGUUCACCAAUAGAAAUUCUACUUAAAAUUGUGCUUGAAGAACCAUCCAAAGCUCCACCCAAAGCUCCAUCCAAAGCUCCAUCAAAAAGUCCAAUUUCAACCUUCUUGCUUUCUUAUGCCAUCAAUUCCAAAUAACCACAAAUAUAAUCCAAUUCCUUCUACUCCAAACUUUCAUGUCGGGUUCACCAGUUAUGUCAUAUUAUGUGUUGUUUUGCUCAAGAGUGCACUAGGCACCUAGUUGUAGAAGGUGAGAUUGUGUUUCACAAGUAGCCAAAAAAUUCUAAUAGGUUUCAUCCAUUAGAGAAGAAUAUAAUCUGAAUUUCAAUUCAAAAGUGCUUAAAACACUCUUCUCAGUAGUCUUAACUAUAUAUAAAUCCCAAUUACCUUGUUACUUUCAAAUUUAAGCAAUUUAGAUUUUUCUUAUAAAUCUCAAUUCUAAUUAGUGUACUUUAAUAAGCUAUAACAUCCAAUCCGAACGUCCACUUGAUGUAGAAUUUUGCAUAUAAUUGUCAAUUCAAGUUUUCUAAAUGCUUUAGAAUUUUUAGCUCAAUCCAACUUACAAAUUGUGAGAAAACCUCCAAAAAAUUGUACCAAUGUCACUCGGUCGCCAACUUGAAAAGUGAAGUAGAAAUCCCAGCAAUGAUUUCUUCCUUUUCAACUAUUAACUUUGUCUCAAAAUUGAUGUGUAGCUUGAUCUUCAAGUCUUCCAACAUCCAUGCUAAUUUUCAUCUUAAUCCGAUUGAUAGAUCUUGAGAUAUCAUAGAAACCCUACCCAACCUCAAACUCUCACCUUCCGAAAUCCUUUUGUGCUAAAAACUAGAUAUCUCUAAACCACGCCAUUAGAUUAUCACAAAAUUUUGUAUACACUUAGGACAUCCAAUAAUCCAAAUAGUGUGAAGUUUUCAACCAUAGAUGUCACACCAAUUGCACGAACUAGCCAAAAUUGCUAGCCCUAAUUAUAUUAUAUAAAAUCCAAAUCACUAAUACAAACAUAGAAUUUGAACAAUAAUUGCUAAGUCUUCCAAAACCCUCUCAAAACAAUUCUUAUGUCUUUGAAAAGAACUUCAAGCUAGCUCUCAAAUCCUAACCUUUGAUAUUUGAACGAUCUCCUAUUUUGUCCUAGGCCAUCGUUUUAGUGACCAAAGGUCUGAUUUUGCCCUUGUUUCACAAAUGGUCGACCCCCGAAUAUCAAUUUAAUCUAUCCUAAGGUGUUUUUAGUCCAAUCCUACUCUCAAUUUAAUCUUAGUACCAAGUAUACUAAUUAUUUACCUCAUCUAAUCUAAUUUUAUUAAUUUAUGGUCUUUCUAAGGUAGUAGAAGAGUUUCUACAACCUAGAAGGUAAAAUUAUGAACUAACCUUCAACCUACUAAUUAUUAAGAUAAGAAAAUAAUCUAAGAGGCUUUUAUGAAAGCCAUGUUUAGAUACCUCAAAUUAUAAUUGAACUAAGAUAAUUAGAUAUUAAUUAGAAAUUCAACUUUGAUUACAAUUUCACUAUAUAGUCGUAAUACAUCACGACAACGUAAACAUUCACAAAUUGUAAAAGCCUUCGUUAAAGCUUGCAAUUGAAGAACAAGACAAUGACUUCGGCUUUUGCCUUAUGCAUUAUGGGUUGAUCAAACAAUAUAUAGUUCGGUGACAAAGUAUAUAUUGGUAGAACUUAUAACAAGUCAAAAACCAACUAUGCCAUUUGAAGAACAUGUGCCAACUUGAAGUAUACUAUGGUCAAAAGAUAGAUUGACAAGGCAAACAUUAUUGGCUAUUAAAAUUUGGCAACUUGAACAAAGAUCAAAAAAUGUGGAACUAUAUUGAAAGGUUAUAAAUGGUGAAGUUAGGAAAUAAGACUUAAUUUGAUAAGCAACAUUAAUUGAGACCUAAAACAAUUGAAGAAGAUGAUUAGGUACUUGUUUAUGAUAGUAGUCUAGAUAGCCAAUAUAAUGCUUGGUAGAAGUUUUCAAAAUGCUUGUUUGGACCAUACAUGGUAAUAACAGUUCAUGAUAAUGUCACAUAUUCAUUAAACAAGUUGGAUGGUACAAGGUUGAAGAUACCUAUUGCUGAGAAGUAAGUGAAGAUUUUUAGAAGAAAAAAUAGAAAAAUCAAUGUGGAAGUUCAUAUCAAAGUUUUAAAUUUUUUAAAGAAGAUAAUUAUUUUGAAAUGGAUGGUAGAAAUAGUACUAAAGGAUUUUAUGCAAAAAAUGAAGAGAUGGUGUAAAGCCAAUUGUGAACUAUGGUUCAUUUGGCACAUAUUAAAGGAUGCCCAAGUUCAGAGAAGGUGGAUGUUAUAUUGUAACAUGACUAUAUAGUAAAAAUAUAAUCAAAAAUAAAAUUUUAAUUAAUAUUUAAUUAUCUUGAUUCAAUAAUAAUUCAAGAUAUUUAGAAAUGGCUUUUAUAAAAGCUUCUUAGUUUAUUUUCUUAUCUUAUUACUUAGUAGAUUAAAGGUUGGUUAAUAAUUUUACCUUCUAGGUUGUGGAGUCUCUUUUAUUCCUUUAAAAAAAUCAUAAAUUAAUAAAAUUAGAUUAGAAGAGAUAAAUAAUUAACAUGGUUGAUACUAUGAUUAAGUUGAAGAUAUGGUUGGACUAAAAAAUCCCUAUGAUAGGUUAGAUUGAUACUCGAGGGUUGACCAUUUGUAAGACAAGGUCAAAAUCAGAUUUCUAGCCACUAAAAGAAUAGCCAAGGCAAAAUACGAAGGCAUUAGAAGAUUAACAAUUAGGAUUGAAGAGCAAGCAUAAAACUUUUUUCAAAGACAUAAGGCUUAUUUUUGUAGGAUUUUAUUUGACUUUGCAAUUGUUGUUCAAAAUUAGGAUUUAUAUUGGUGACUUGGAAUUUCUGCAAUAUAAUUAGGGCUAGCACGCUUGAUUAGUUCAUGAAAUUUUUGUCACAUCUAUGAUUCAAAAUUUGAAGGUACUUAGAUAAUUAGAUGUGCUAAGUGUAAGUAAAAUUUCUUAAUAAACCAAUGGUGUGGUUGAGAGAUAUUUGGGUUUUAGUACAAGGAGGUAUCAAAGGUUGGCAGUUUGAAGUCAGAUAGGAUUUCUAUGAUAUCUAUAGAUUUACUAAUUGAAUCGUAGUGAAAUUUGGCAUGAUAUUAGAACAAUUGAAUAUUAAGCUACACAUCAACUUUGAGUUGAAAUUAAUAGUUGAAAAAAGAGAAGGAGAAAUUACUAUUGGAGCAUUUGUAUAAACUUUUAAGUUGGUGGCUAAGUAAUAUUAGUGUGGUUUUUGGAUGUUUUUUUAUAAUUUGUAUGUUAGAUUGGAGUGAAUUCUUCUUAAACACAUAGGAGGCUUAUAGUGGCAUUUAUAUAAAAAAAUUGUGCUCAAAUUAGACAAUCAAAUUAGGAGCUACAUCUUAAUAAAGCUUAUUGAUUAGGAUUAGGGCUUAUAAAGAAAAAUUAAAAUUAUCUAAUUAUAAAAAUAAUAAAACAAUUGGAAUUUAUGUAUAAUUGAAAUUAUUAAAAAAAAGUUUUUUUGAACACUUUACAUUGGAUUUAAGAACAUUGAAUUAAAAUUCAAAUUGAAAUAUUCUUAGAAGAGUGAAAAAUAUUAGGAUUCUUAGAUACUUAUAAAAUACAACUUCACCUUCUAGAGCCAAAUGCUAAGUGCAUUUUCUAACAGGACGACUUAUAAUACAACACCAUGUUAGGAAUUGUGAUUAAAAAUAGUACUUUUAUAGCUACUAGUAAGUAUUAAUAAUAUCAUUAGAUUAGUAAUAAUAUUCUUAUUAUAAAUAUGAUAAUGAUAGAAUAAAAUAAUAUUGAGUAAUUGAUAGAAUCCAAAAAUUAGACAUUAUAUUCAAAAAAUUAUUUUAAUACUAUUCUAAAUUAAAUUGGUCAUAGCUCCAUAAUUAUCUAAUAGAUUUUUUUUAGUCUAAGCUCAUUUGGUAGUUGUAAAAUAGUACUUUAUUUGCUAUAUAAACCAUGUAUCAUUAUUCACUAUAAUUCAUUUAUAAUAUAUCAUUUUUUUAAAAAUAUAUCAAUAUUGAAAUAAUUUUUUGAAUCAUUGUACAUAUAAUAUGACAUAUUGGAUGAAUUUGAUAUAAAAAGCUUGAGAUAGAAGGUAUUUGGAAUUUUUUUUGAUUUAAUUAAAUUAUAAAGAAAGAUGCAAGAAAAUGAAAGGAAAGGCUUUUGAUGGUAUUUCAAGUGGAGUUGGAAGUAGAGCUACAAGUAGAAGAUAAGGUAUAUAUUUUGAUUCCAACUUCACAAAUAUGUUUGAGGCUUUUGUCUUAUUCAUUCAAUAGUAAUAAUUGCAAAAGGAAAUGACAAAUAAAGCAUUACAAGUAAUUAUAUAUAAGAUUGAUCAAUUCAAAGGAAAGGAUAUUACAAAAUAUUUAAGCUAUUAUAUAAAGGUGAUAGAAUUAAAGCAUGUUUUAGAAAAGGAGAUUGUUCAAUUAUUUGAAUUGGAUAUUGUACCAAAAUUAAGAAAUCAAGUCAAGUCUAUUAUAGGAUAUUUUGGAGGUUUAUAGGAGAAAUUUUCACAAGCAUUGAAGGCUGAAUUUUUCUUGGAAGAUAGUGAUCAUGUUACAAAAAAAUCAUUUUUUGAAUAGAUUGAAAGGCCUAAAAAGAAUCUUCAAAGAAAAGCAAUAUUUUUGUCUAUCAAAGAAAGAGAGGUAAUUAUUGGAUUCAAGUAAAGUGGAGCUUUUUUUUCAAGCCGCUAUUAGAGAGUUGUAAGAAAAGUUGGAAAUCUUGCUUAAAGAUAAAAAAAAAAAAAAAAAAAAAAAAAAGAGAUGAAGAAUUGACAACAAAUUGGAAAGAAGUAGAAGAGGCAUUAGAAUUGCUUCCAAAAAAAAAAAAAAAAAAAAAAAAAAAAAAAAAAAGAUAAGGUAGUUAUUUAAGGAUCAUUGCAAGCAUCUAAAGUAAAAAUGCCUAUUAUCUAUGGUACAUUUAUAAUUCAAUAUUCAAUGGUUAUAUUAAAGAAAGAAGAAAAAGGCAUUGAUGAAAUCAUAUAAAGAAUGAGAGAUUUACAAAUAGAAUUUAUAAAACUUAAAGAGAAGAGUCAACUAUUAAGAAUAUCAAUAAGACAAAAAUUCAAACUAAUAUAAGGUAUAAUACAUAGGUGCAUGUGGUAUAAUAGUGUAGAUUAUUCAAGAAGGGGAUGUAAAGAUUUUAUAGAGGCAUUACACAAAAGAGUUGUUUUUUUAAAGAUUGUAUGAUACAUUUAAAAGAGAGUGGAGAAAAAUUAGAGAUUAACUUUGAUAAGAGAAGAAUGAAGGUGCUUACAAAAGAAGCAUUUAAAAUCUCAAGAAAUAAAUCAUCAAUAUAUUAGAUAGAAAAAAAUCUGAAAAAAUAUUUAAAAAUAAAUCUAAAAUUUCUAGAAGAAUCUAGUAUUUUGUGGUCAAGUAUAAUAAGUUAUACUCAAAAGAAAAAAAUAUUAGAAAUGAUUUAAAAUAUAUUGGAAAUAAUAUUUGAUAAAUUAUUGGAUGAAAUAAUCUAGUAGAUGGAUUAUUGGUGUAUGCUAAUAUUGCAAGGAGUGAACAUGAAGCAUUAAUAGAAGAAAAAUGAAGAAAAGAUGGAAAUAAUGAAGGGCCAUGAAAAAGAACUACAAGAGGAUAAAAAAUAGAAAAAAAAAAGAAUCCUAUUCAUGAAGAGAGAUUAGAGAAUAUUUCUCCAGAAGAAUAAAAAAUUAUAAAAAAAAAAAAGAAGCAAAGAUUCUUACUUAUAAAUUAUCAAUCAAAUAUUGAAGCUGCUAUAGAUUUAAAGAAGGUAUUGAAGUAGUGGAUUUUAAGUGAAAAGAUUGAAUUUAUAAUUAGUAAAAUCCUAAAAAUUAUAAAGCAUAAAUUUCAUGAAGUUAUUAUUGAUACAAUAAAGAAAAAAUAAUAAUCUAUAGGAGAUAUUAUGACAUCAAAUAUACAAAAAAUAAGAACAAUAGAAAGCAAUGAAGAUGAAGAAAAUAAAAUACAAUGUUUUGGACAUAUCUUGUAAGUUAGAUUUAUAAAAAAAGAAGAUAUAAUUCAAGCUUUUAGUCAUUAUUCUUGAAGUCAUUGAGCAAAGAUUAUUACUAAAAUUUAGUUAAAAUUGAGAGAUUUAGAAGAACCAUUUAUAGCAUUGAUUGAUCUUGGUUUUAAAAUUAAUUUGAUAUCAAAAGAAUUGUAUAAAAGAGAAAAAUGACUUAUUGAUAUUGAAUAUGGAUGGAUGAUAAGAGCCAUAGACAAUUCAAAAGAAGAUUUGUAUAGAGCUUGUCCAAAUAUCAAGGUGACAAUAGGAGAUAUUAUUCAUGAAUAAAAAAAAUUUAUACAAAAUAUGUCUACGUGUCCUAUUACAUUGGAAUAACUAUAUAUUAUUGCUAUACAAAUGAAAAAAAAGGUUAUGGAUGAUGGUUUGGUCCAUGUAAGAAUAAAAAGCUAAAAUAGAAAGAAGGCAAUGCAAUUUUUAAUGAUUUUUGUAAAUCAUGAAAGAAAUCACGAUAACUUAAAGAAGCAUAUUUUGGCAAACAUACACAAAGAAUUUAAAGAUCUUAAUGACUUAGAAGCCAUUGUAAAGCAGGAUUUUAAUAUUAGAAGGGAUGAUGGCUUUUUUUUUAGUAGAAAAAAUGAAGCGAUUAUAAGAUUAUUAUAAUAUGGAUAUAUUUCAUUCAAAAAUAUAAAUAAUUUAAAAAAUAUAGAAAAACAAUGUCAAAAAUAUGGAACAUAAAUCAAAGAAAUGUAGAAUAAUUAAUGAAGAUGAAUACAUAUUAGGAAUAUUUGAAGAAUCUUAUUUUAGUGAUACUAUGGAUAAUUUAUAAAUAUUAUUGGAUUUAGAUUUUAAAAGUGGUGAUAAGGUAAUAAAUGUAUAUUCUAAAAAUUUUAUAAUAUAGUAAAAGAAUAUGUGGAUACAUAUAAAAUAAAGGUGAAUACAAAAUAUAAGGCCAUUUCAAAGAAGGUUAAAUUAGUGGUAUUGUUAUCACAAUUGGAUUUCGAAGAAAUGGUUAAAAAGGCUUCUAUAUAAUCUAAUUUAAGAAAUCUAAGAAAAAUAGAUCAUAAAUUUAAGGAUAAAUUAACAUUAGAAGAUUUGAAAGUUGGAUGUGAAAUUUUUUUGACUAGAGAUGAAGAAAGAUGUUUCAAAGAAAUGCUCACAUGACAUGAUAAGAUAUUUGUAUUUGAAUUACAUGAAAUAAGGUGCAUUGGUCCAAGUAUUGUAGCACCUAUGGUUAUUUUUAUAAUCCCAUAUGAACUAUGGAAUUUGAAGCCAAUUCUAAUUCUAAAGGCCAAUUUGCCAAAGCUAGUUGAAUUACUCAAUGAAAAACUUAUAAUAGAAAUUUUAAAACCAUCUAUUAUAUCAUAUUCUAAUUGGUGGUUUAGAAUAUCUCAAAAAAAUGGAACAUUGAAGUUUAUUCAAGAUAUGUAACUAAUAAAUAAGGUAACUAUUAGAAAUGUGGGUUCAAGUUUAAUUAUAGAUGAGUUUGUAAAGGUAUUUAUAGGAAGAGCAAUUUAUUCUAUAGUGGAUUUUUAUUUAGAAUAUGAUAAGUUUCAAUUGGCAAUACAAAAUAGAAAUAUGACAAUUAUGAAGACACCAUUAAAAUUAGUUAGAAUGUGUAUAUUAUUACAAGAGGCUAUAAAUUCUAUAGCACAUACAAUAAAUGAAAUGCAUAAGGUAUUAAGAAAUUUUAUUUUAAGAAUAACAAUGCCUUUUCUACAUGAUGUGCCAAUUAAAAAAUGUAAAGAGGAAAAAAAAAGUGAGACAUUGGAUUCAAAGGGAUGUAGAAAGUUUGUGGCUGAUUAUAUUGAUGAUUGUGAGAAGAUUUUGAGAAGGUUAGAAGAAACUCAUUUAAUCUUAUCAAAAGCAAAUUCAUUGUUUGGAAUAAAAAAAGUUUUGGUGGUUGAGUACAUUUUGAGAUCAUAUAAACACAAGUUAAGUAUGAAAAAAAUUGAUAUUAUAAAAAAAAUAUAAGAAUACACAAAUACAACAAAAGUCAGAAGGUUUUUAAGUAUAUGUAUUUUCUAUCAUAUAUGGAUACCUCAUUUUACAUAUAUAGAAAAUCCAUUAUAUAAAUUAUUAAUAUAAGAUCAAAAAUUUUAAUAAAAAAGAGAACAAAUAAAAAUUAUGAAAAAAUUGAAGAACUUUUUUUUAUAUUUACAACGUUAAGAAAAUAAAUUAUGAAUGUUGAACAUCAGUAAUAUUAAUAACUGAUGCAACUCCAAUAGGAAUAAGUAGGGCAAUUGGAUAAGAUAAUGAAUAAGAAAAUAGAUAUAUAGUAAGAUUUAGAACAAAGGUUUUGAAUGCUAGAUAGAAGGCGUAUGCAUAAUUAAAUAGAAAAUUAUGAUUUAUAGUAAUAGCUAUGAAAAAAAUAAAAAUAAGUACUUAAUUGAUACAUUGAUAUUUAUAGAAACAAAUUUUCUACCUUUAUUAGGUAUAAUUACAAGUUAUUCAAUUCUUAAUAUUAUUAUAUUAAGAUAGAUAUCAUACAUCAAAUCUAUGAAUCCAAAAUUUAAAUAUAUUAUAGGAAAAGAAAAUUCAAUUAUAAAUAUGUUAUAAAGAGUAAGACAUUAUGAUGAAGAUUGAUUAUAAAGAGUAUUAAGAUUGUUAUAAAGAGUAAGAUAUUAUAAUUGAUUUGAAAGAUGAUGUAGGUAUAAAUUUUUAUACUAAUGCAUUAUCAAAAGAAAAAAGUGUAUGCUUGAAUACACUAUUGGAAACAUUUCCAAGAGAUUUAUAUGAAAGAAAAAGAAAAGAUAUUGGAGAGUAUUUAAGGACAUUAAAGUGACAAGAAAAUUUGACAAAUCAAGAAUUUAAGAAAAUUUUUAAGAAGAUCUAGGGAUAUUUUUUAUAUGAUGGAUAUUUAUAGAAGCAUCUAAAAAAGAAAAAAAUACCACAAUAAAUUAUAUGUGAUUUAAAAGAUCAACAAAAGAUUAUUAAAUAAUUUCAUGAAAGUUUAUAGAUAGGACAUUGUGGUAUUUGAAAAAUAUUUAUUAAAUUAAAAGAAAAGUAUUGGUUGAAGAGCAUAUACAAAGAUGUAGAAAAUUUUAUAGGACCUUGUGAAACUUACCAAGUGUAUUUAAACAUUUGGCAUUAAGAUAGAUUACAUCGAAUAUAUUCAUUAGCUUUAUAUUAUAAGUAAAUAAUAGAUUUAGUAGUAAUACUUAUGAAACUUAGAAAAAUGAAGUAUUUUAUACUUGCACAAGAAGAUUUAUCAAAUAUGAUUGAAAGACAAGCAUUAAAAAUAAAUGAUAUUGAAAAUAUAUGGCAAUUUUUAUUAAAAGAUGUUAUUUGUUACUAUGGUUAUAUUAAAAAAAUUAAAAUUGAUAGAAGAAAAUUAGAUAUAAGGAAAAUACUAGAAUUUUUUAAUAGAAUAGGAAUUAAACUUUCUUUAAUAACAAUAUAUAAUUUAGAAGGUAAUAGUAAGAGUGAGCAUGGACAUUCACUUAUUGUUAGAGUAUUAAUAAAGUUAUACAAUAACAAAGCAUAUGAAUGACUAAGACUACUAUCAUUUGUAUUAUGGAUUGAUUACACAACUUAUAAUUUAGUAAUAAGUUAUAUACCUUUUGAAUUAUUAUAUGGAAAAAAAUCAUUAAUGCCAAUAGAAGAAGUAGUGCAUAUAUGGGAUGUAUUAUCUUGAAAGGAUGAUUUCAAUAAAAAAAGAACUUUUAAUAUUACAUAUUUAAAAAUUAGAAAGAAGACCUAAUGAUAUUGAAGCAGCAAUAGGAAGAUUGAAAGAAGUAAGAAAAAAAACAAAGAAAGAUUUGAUAAAAAAAAUUGACUACAAUCUAAGGCAAUUGAAGAUAGCAAUUAGGUGUUAAUUUAUAAUAAUAGCUUGGACAAUCUAGUAUAACAAAGAAAUUUGUAAUGAGAUAGUUUGGACCUUAUGUUAUCAAAUAAGUAUAUGACAAUAGAACAUACUUGUUAUAAGAACUUGAUGGUAUAGAAUUGAAGAUACUUAUAAUAAGCAAAUAAAUAAAAUUAUUUAAAAAAAGAAGUAAAAACAUUUGUUUUACUGAAGUAUAAAACAUAAAACAAUAAAAUUGAAGAUCAAGAAUUUGACCAAGAUGAAAAACACUUUAUAUCAAUAUAAUAAAGAAAACUUGUCACAUGCAGAGAAAUCCAUAAGUUUAGAGGAGGUAGAUGUUAUGAUGUAACAUGGCUAAUAAAUGAAAGAAAAAAAAUAUUAUAUUAAAAAAGAUAUUAUUUUUAAAUAUUAUAGAAAAUUAUCUUAAAAAUUUAGAUAAUAGUCGAAAAGAUAGUAAAACUAAAAAAUACUAAUUUUUUUUUUUUUUUAAAUAGACUUUGAUUUAAUUUAUAGGCCAUCAAUAAGAUAAAACAAAGGAAAUUAAGAAAUUAAAUAACAUAGGAAUAUGUAAGAGAAAAUUCAAAGUAGAUUUUAGAAAAAAUUUCCUUAAAAAGUCAAGAAUUGAUAUCCAAAGAUGCCUAAUUAUCAACCUAGAUCAAAAUCAGAUCUUGAAGCAAAAAACCAUGAACCUAUAGUGACUAUAGAGUUGUUUAAUAGAUCAAAGAGUGGAAUUUGAGAGCAAACUUAAGAAGAUAAUUUUAGACAUUGGUUUCAUAUUGUUUAAAUCAAUGUUGAAAUUUUGAAAGAUUUUCUAAGUUAAUAAUGUUCUUGAUAGGAUUAGGAUUUAAAAAAUAAAAAUAUUUUUAUAAAUUUGAAGGUUUCUUGAAUUUUAUGGUGUAUAUAUAGGUGAAAUUUAGAUAAUAUAUUCAUGUGCUAGUUGUAAAUAUAUAUGUAAAUUUUAAAAUCAAUCAAAUAGUUAAAUUGAAGUAUAUAAAGGUUUUUUGGAUUUAAGUCUCAAAAAUUGGAGUUUAAAGAUGAGUGAGUAUUUCUAAUUCUUUAACAAUCAGUCAAUUGGAUUAAAGUGAAUUUCGUUUAUAUAGAUAUUAGACUUGAUUUUCAAAUUUUAAGUGAAAUUUGAAAGUAAUUCAAUAGUUCAAAAAGGAGAUAUUAGUACUAGAAGUUUAGUAUUUAUGUUGAAAUAGGAGGCCGCCCAACACCCAAUUAGAUUAUCUUACAUUUCUCUCAAUUGAAAAGUGCAAUUGGUUCAUCUUUUUUGUGCUUGUUCCUAAUUAAGACAUUAAGAAGUAUACAAAUUUUGAAUUGAUAUCAACGGUUUGAUCACUAGUUAUUAAGAUUUUAUUUUGCUAUAGGAUUUGUUAAGAGUUUGUUUAAGAUAUAGGAUUUGAUUAAGAUUUGGUUUAGAAUUUUUUGAAGAUUUGUUUAAGAUUUAAGAUUUCAUUAAUAUUUCAUUAGAAUUUGAUCUAGGAUUUGAUUAAGGUUCAAUUAGAAUUUCAAUUAGAAUUUGGUUGAGAUUUAAUUAGAAUUUUAAUUAAGGUUAUAUUAAAAUUUCUAUUUAUAAUAUUUAUUUAGGAUUUUUUAUAUUUUUUUGUGACUUCUUUUAAGUUUAUAAAAUCAAUAGUUAAAUAAUCUCAUGUCUUUUUAGUUAUUUAUAUUAUAAAUAGGAUUUUUAAUUCAUUUAAUUUGAUUUUAUUAGUAUAUAAUAUUAAAAAAAUAGAAAAAUAUGACUUAAAUUUUAUAUUACUAUUAUAGAAUAUUAUUAGAAUUUUUAUAAUUUUUAAAGAGUUUUUUAAUAAUUUUUAGAAAAAAAUUUAAGAAUUUAAUAAAAUUAAAGUUUUACCACCUUAGAAGCUAUUAUGAAGAAAUGAAACAAGAUUUGAAGACCACACAAAGUUAUUUGACUAAUUGGAUUUUUUUAGAAUACCAUGGUAAAAUAAAAAAUAAAAAAAUGAGAAUUUUAUUAAUAAAAAAUAGGAGGAUCAAUAGCUAAUUUAGUAUUUAUAGGAAAGAAGGUACAUUAGUCUCAUAUGGAUUGUAGCACCAUAAAUAUAGUUAGAAAGGUAAAAAUAAGGCCUCUUGGUCUUUCUAAUAUAUCCAAAUAUAUAUGUGAGCCUUGGUGGGGCUUGAAUCAUUGAUCUAUAAGCAAGUUAUCUUUGAGGUAAAUCAUUCGUACGUAAUUUAUUAUUUAUUUACUUAUUAUUUUCAAAUCUUCAUAGCUUAUUUAUAUUAACUUGAAUUUAUAUGUUUUUUAUAUCAUUAAAAAGCUAAAAAAUGAUAUUUUUUAUAAUAUAUUUUUUACUCUUAUUUUUAUUUUUUGUUAGAUAAAAAUUCAAUGAAGAGACUAUGACCAAGUUUUAGGUUGUGUAAUUCUUUGAUUUCAUUCAAUUCACUUCUUUUGUAUUUUUUCUUCUUUUAUAGUUAUUCUUAACCUAAUUUAUUUUAUACCAAAAUUUAUAAGUAACUCUUAAUUGAAUCUAUCAUAAAAUUUGGAUUGAAAGGUGAAAUUUAUCUUUACAUAAUUUUUACUUCUAAUAAUAUCACCAAACAUUGAAAGUCUCUUUCAAAGUUAUAUAUGAGGAUAAAUUUUUCUCUCAACUAAAAUUACAAGAAGGCCUCAAUUAAAAGUUUUUUGUAAUAUGUAAUAAAAAGUAUAAGUUGUAAUAACUAAGAAAAACAAAAUACAAAAGAAGUGAAAUAAGUCCAAUAAAAUAAUUGUAUAUAAUAAAAGUAGUCCUUAGUUUGUUUACCGAAUUUUCAUCCAAUAAACGCAAAUAUCCAUACAUAGUUCAAAAUGUUGUUUUCUAUUCAUCUCUGACUUUAAUACAAACUAGAUUGUAUGUUUUUUGUAAAUUUAUUUUUGUAUAGGUAUUUGCUUCAUUGAAUUUAUGAAAAAUUCUUAAAAUCAAAAGUAAAGGAUAUUUAUCCUUCAUGGUGAUCUCAUUUAGUCCUUAAUAGUCUACACAUAUCUGCAAAGAUUUAUCUUCUUUUUUAUAAAUAUGAUAUGAUCUUUUUUUAGAGAUUUAAAAUAGCAUAUAAAUUUUUUAUUUAAGUUCUUAUCAAUAUAUUCUUUAAAUAUAGCCAAUUUAUUUUGUGAUAAGCUAUAGAUUGAUCCAAAUGGUGGUUAAGUUCUUUUUUGAAGUUCAAUUGAAUAAUUGCAUGGCAAUGGUUUGAAAGAAUAUUUACAUUUUUCUUUUCAAAAACAUCUUAAUAAUCUUUACACUAGCUUCGAAUACUAUUUAAAGAUUAUUAAGAUAUUUUUGAAAAAAAAUAUGGUAUAUUUAGUAAAAGACGAUCAUUCUUUUACAACAUGUAUGAAAGCUCUUGAAUCUAUCAAUAAGAGCUUGAUUAAAUUUGAUUUGUGAAUUUUCACUUGAGUGACAAAAUUUUAGAUUAAACUAUCAAAAAAAUCAAGGUUACAUAAAUUCAAUCUACUUAACGAUUAAACGUUUUUAGCUAUGAUAGUUUUAAAAUAAUUGGAUUGAAAUAAGAUUUAAUUAAAUUAAUUAUUAUUAAUUUAUUAUGAUCAUAAAAAUUAUUAUAUUUAGUUAUUACAUCUAAAAAAAUAGUUUUAUGAAUAAUAUAUAUAAAAGAUAAAAAAAAAAUAACCAUCUAUAACUUCUAUAUGUAUAGAUUUAGUUUUCUUAAUUAAGAAUGUUUCUUAUUAUUAAUCUACAAAUAUUCAAAGAGGCAAUUUAGAUUGCAGAGAGAAUCAAUGCUAUGGAUUUCAAAAAUUGCGGAGUACGACUUAUAGUACAAAGUCUUAUGUUGCUAUCUAAUAUAAUAGCACAAAAACUAAAGCCAAUGGAGAUUGAUGCCCUAUAAGGAUCUUUGAUACUGUAAAGAUGGCAAAUAUUAAUACAGAAGAGAUUGUAUUUUUAUUGUUGAGGGCUUAGCCAUCAGAUCAAAGAUUAUCUAAAAUAUCAAAAUUUAAGCACCAGUAAAAUAAAGCGAGUUCAUAGUCUUGAAACUCAUAAAGUUAUUAAUGUAACAAAGCAAGAAACAAGGCUUUCAAAUAAAAGUGCUGAAGGCUAAUAUUGGAGAUAGCUAUUGUCUCUUAAAGACAAAUGGCAUAGCCUUGAAAAACUAUAGAAAGAGAUGGGUGGUGCAUCUAAUGGGACUACUAAGAGGACAACCAUGUCAAGUACUUAUAGAUUGUAGCUCUACAAAAAGUGCAUCUCAAUUAGAAUUGUCACCCGACUUGGAAUUAAAAUUAAGACAAUCAAGAGAAAAAAACAUAUACCUUAGAGAUGAUUGAGAGAACAUAUUGAGUAAGAUAUGUAAAGAAGAAAUCUUGAGGUUGAGUAACAUUUAUAUCUUAAGAGAGAGGUUUAAGGUGAAAAAACUAAAAGAUGAUAUUAUCCUUGGUAUGCCAUGCCUAGAGAUAGAAAAUGAUAAAGUUAAUUGAGUAGCAAAGACAAUCUUCUUUAAAGAUAAUAGACGCAAGAUGAUUCUUUAUACUUCUACAUCAAGUGAAGAAGAAAGAUAAUUUGCAACCAAAGACUUAUUCGUUGUCGUAUAACGUGCUUUCCUGCUCGAGAACGCGCUGGGCGUCUGGCUGUAGAAGGUAGUAUGGAGAUUCACCGAUAGUCAAGCAGUCUAUCAGUUUUUGACUACUGGAAUAUAAACGACUGCAACAAUGUACCGUAAAUCUAUACGGAUGCUCUUCGACUGCUUGUCGAAGUCUUUUUUUUGCCCCAGCCGGUAGGUCUCUAGACGUUACAGAGAACCCCGAACAACCCAAACUGUUAAUCUUCAAUACCCCUUUGUACUUACGAUCUUGUAUCCACUGACUGUCCUGUUAGAUUAACCCAAUAAAUUUCAUUCACUCCGCAUACUCAAUCCUAUAGACACCCUUUUAAUCCUUCAAUCACAGACGUAACUCGAUUUUACAAAACAGUCAAGAGUAUUCAAACCCACUUCAUUUAAAAAUCCCGAUUCACCAUUACAACACUGACUUCAGCAGCGAUUGCCUCAGUCUUCCCAAAACUCUACGAAAAAGAAAAAUCCAAAUUCUAUGUCUUUCUUUCCCCGACCCGAAGCAUGAAGCUCCUCUCUCUAAUUCCCUUGAUCUUCAAAACCCUCCAAUGAAACCGAACUGGUAACCUUGCAAAAGCUUGAAAACUAGCUCCCCCCCGAUUUCCCGGAGAAAAAAAAAAAAAACUCCCUCCCUAAAACUAUAUUCUCUCCUAACCUUAUCCUUUGAAUUUCUUCAAUCUUCCAUCUUAGAUCCGGAAUUGGCUCCCACCGUCAGAGCUUAGAUCCGAAAUUGGCUCACGUCAUCAAGGCCUUCUCCUCCGUUUCUACCUUUAAGAGAUCCAUUUACCGUAAACAACGUUCCCUGAAACGGCACAGAGAACAGGACAGCCCAAAACAGAAUCGAAACCCCGUAAUCGGGACCACAUUGAGUCGCCCGACCAAUUCAGGUCCCAUAUUGAGUAAGAUGCCCGUAGUAACCUGGAUGCUCGCGUAAUUGGGUCAAAUUGGUCUUCACGUCAGACUGGCUGAGGCCCAUAGUAAGACCUGGAUUUUCUCGUAACUAGACUGCAUUGGGUUGCCCCACCAAUACAGGUCUCAUAUUGGGUAAGAGGACCCGGAUUGGAUUCUCGAAAUUGGAUCCAAUUGGCUCUUCAAACACGUCAUGUAAAUUGGUCCUUCUCAUCCUGCUAACUCCCGUUAUUAGAAUCGAAUGGAGCAUUUCAGUAUGCCCCGGCUGACUGUAACGAGGUGACUGAACCUGACCACUCAGUAUUUGCGCUGGAGUUGGUCGAUGCUCCCAAUAAUCGAGGUAACUGAAUAUUAAUAAUUUUUUUUUUUUUUUUUUUUUUUUUUUUUUUUUUUUUUUUUUUUAUUUAUUUUCACUGUAUACUCGUGUUACAACACAACAUCCACCCCCUCUGAAUCUGUGCAUCCUCCGCUAUACACCAAUUUACCCAAUUGCUGUUUGAUUCAGAAUAUAUCCCCUACGUCUUUGUCCAGUUCGUCUUCGUAACCUUCAUUAUCCAAAUCACUUUCAUCUUCUUGUUGCGGAAUCUCUGUACCUUCAUUAAGGUCUUCCAUAUUCAUCUCUGCGUGUCUUCGUUUAAAUAUUUUUACUCGCUUCCCUACAAUUGGUAUUUUUAAUUUUGUACCAUCUAACUCUCGUAAUGAGUAAGUCGCAUUAUCAUGAACAGUUGUUACAACAUAUGGUCCAAACCAACGUUUUGAAAAUUUCCACAAAGUACUAUGUUGAUUAUCCAAACUAUUGUCAUAAACAAGUACUCAGUCACCUUCCUCGAUUGCUUUUGGUCUCAAUCGAUGUUGCUUAUCGAAUCGUGCCUUGUUUUGUAACCUUGCUCUUUUUAACCUUUCCAAUGCUAUCGGGACAUCUUCCGUUCUUUGCUCCAAUUGUCGAAUCCUAAUAGCCAGAAGUUCUUCUCUUGUCAAUCCAUCUUCCCAUGGUAGCAUACUCCAAGUAAGUACCUUUUCUUCAAUCGGCAUAAUUGGUUUUUGACCUAUCAUAAGUUUUAUUGGCAUAUAUCCUGUGACCAAACUAUGUGUUGUUCGAUCAGCCCAUAAUGCAAAUGACAAAAGCCGUGGCCACUCUUUAACUUUCCCAUUACAAGCUUUAACCAAUGUUUUCACAAUCGGUGGAUGACUGCAUUCGCUUUUUGCAUUCCCUUCCGGAUCAUAAGCAGUAGUCAGUGAUAGUUUAACUCUACAUAUUUCAAAGAACUUACGAGCUUCUUGUGCAUUUAAUUCUCCACGAUCUGCAGUGAUUUUUCCUAGGCAUCCGUAGCAGCAAAUGACAUCUUCAAGCAAAAACCUACAAAUCCCCUCUGUAGAUUUUGGCCUCAAUGCUCUUCCUUCUACUUGAUUUGAUUAAUCUUCACAAGCUAAAACCAAAUAUCUCAUCUGCCAUAACCCAAUGGGCAUAAUAACCAAAUCAACAACCCAUUUAAAAUGAAUAGCCAAAGGAUACGUAGGAUGAAGACCAUCUCGAUGUCGGAUAUUAGAAUACGAUUGACAGAUUUCACAUGACUCUACAAAUGAGAGCACAUCUCGAUACAUAUUUUUCUACCAAUAUCGUUCCUUGAGUUUAGCAAAAGUAGCCCAGAUUCCUCUAUGCCCUGCCCAUAAACUAUCAUGAAACUCCUUUAAUAAUUUUAGUUUUUUUUCCCUUUUGCCUAUCACUCGUUGUGGCAUCCCAAUUUCUUUCUUCGGUCUCUUCCAUAAGAAUCCAUCUCGAAGUAAAAAUCCAUAUGCUUUUUUUCUUAUUUGUUUGAAUUUUUCUGUAGACCAAUUCCUCUGCUUAGUCAAGGUAUUCAAGUAAUGACCAAUAUCCAAUAAUUCUCUUUCAUAAGAUUCUUCAAGAAAUAGCUUGUCUUCCCUGUUGAGAUUUGAUAUUGAAUAGAAUUUCAAUCCGACAUCAUCAAUGUCCUCCCUCUCGUAUCUUGCUCGAGAUAGCAUGUCUGCUACUAAAUUGUCCUUUCCAGUGAUAUGCUUAAAUUCUAGAUUUAGUGACUUAAUAUAAGCAAUCCAUCUCAACAUUGCAAUAUCUGGCGUUGAACAGUUAAUAAUCAUUCCAAGCAAUGGCAAGCAAUCUGUUUCUAUUACUACUACUGCUCCAAUCAAAUAGUCCUUUUCAGCUUUCAUAGCCGAAACGACUCCCCAAAGUUCUCUUUUGACUUGCGAAUAUGCACGCUGACGAAUACUUAAAACUUUAGCCCCAAAUCGAACUGCAAAUCUACUCCCAUUCGAAUCAUCUUGACCCACAGCCCAUCCAACGGCAAUUGGACUAGCGUCUACAGUAAGAAUCACUAGUCUAUUGUACUUAUAAUCAACCUUCCUCAAUAUUGGAGGUGAUAUCAAUAAUUUCUUCAAUCUUUGCAUUGUCUGAAUAUGCCUUUCUUCCCAUUCAAAUCGGUAACCCUUGCGUAACAGCUCAUAUAAUGGAUCCGCUAUGUGAGCAAAAUGAGGGAUCCAUAUUCGAUAAAAUACACAUGCACCCAAAAACCUGCGAACCUCUGUUAAAGAACCACAAUCCUCUUUCAUCCUUCCAAUUGCAUCAACUUUAGUCGAAUCUGGUUUUCUUCCGUAAGAUCCGCAUAAAUGUCCAACAAUUACAACCUCUCACACUCCAAAUACGGACUUCAUACCCGAUAAUGUAAGAUGAACUUCUCCAAGCCGAGUUAAAAUCUUUUCACAAUCUUGUAUAUGAUCAACAACAUAUCUGCGACACCCCCUCGUAUCUAAAGUUUCAUCCUUGUCUCCUUCUCUGUACUCUUUUAUAGGAACAUCAUCCAGAAAAGGCAUAGUCUUUUCCGGAAUAAAAUCUCUCAAUACCUUAUUCAUCCCAUUCAUCAUAUGCGCAACUGAGUUGGUCGCGCCUUGAGGAAGAGUGCACAUUCUAACCAAUCCAAGCGAUGUCCUCAUUGUUGUCAUAUCUCUACUUCCUUCGGCAAGUUGAAAUUGAUCAUAACCUGAAUACAAAUCACCCAUUGAAUAGAUCGCCCUUCCAGCAAACGCCUCAGCAAAUUCAUCCACAAUAGGUCCAAUUCCUGCAUUCCUGACAGUUACAGCAUUCACCGGCCGCAUAUCUUGAAUAAACCGUAGUGACCCAUUCUUCUUAGGUACCAUAAACCAUCGACUAGAAUACGGCGCAAAUGAAGGUUCUAAUAUUUUCAUCUUUAUCUUUUCUUUCAAUAGUUCCAUCAAUUUAGGUAAAUGUGCCCUCGGUACUGGAAUCGGUCUUAGAUUCCAAGGUACAUGCGGUACAGUGAAGAUAACCAUAGGUGUUAUAAUAUUUGGAUCCACACACCCAAUUUCAUGAGAUUCGAAGGCAAACGAUCUACCUUGUUUAGCCAACAUCUUUUUGAAGCAAGUAAUUUCCUCUAGCAAUAAAGAACCAUCAGAAUCAAUCUUCAAUUCUUCAAAAGUCUCUUUAGUAAACUGAUGUUCAAUACUCAUUGGAUCUCUUAAACUUGCUUCUUUUGAUACUUCUCCCAUUUGUUCUUUAGAAUCUUCUGGUAAUGGUCUGGCAAUAGGCUUUACCUUCUUAUCUGCCGUUUUAUAUCUCGUCUCUAUAGUGACUUCUGGUGCUUGAAAAGAUUCAAGUAUAGUAUAAACCUCUCUUGAAUGAAUCUCAACAAUCUUAUCAUUAUCUCCUAACCCAAUAGAUGUAAUCAAUUCCAAUGAAUCUUCCAGUCCAUUUUCUUCAUAAAUACCUUAAAUCCUCUCAUCAUCUUGCAAUGUAUCUAUCUUGCGUAACUGUCCUUCAAUAUCAUAUAAUCUUUUUCUUUCUUUUCUUUUAAAAUCAUCAACUUUUUUAUACAUAAUAUUUCCAUUCUCCAAUAUACCAAUAAAACUCGCAUCAAAGGCAUCUUCAUCUCGCGAGAGUACCUCCUCUUUUGUACCUCCAUAAUCUCGCUUUACAGUGGUACCUCUCCAAAAUCCUUAAAUCCUUCAACAAUCUUUGGCAAUGGUUUCUCCCUCAACCUAUCUCGAUUCCGUUCAUGGUUAGGAGGUACUGUUAGAAAUUGUACAGCUUUCCUCCCAUCUUCGCUACGUAUCCUUGCAUAAGCAGAACCAUCAUCCAGUACUUUUGUUUCCAUCCGUAUUGCCGUAAUAUAAGGUUGUCCUAAAAUCAACGGAUAAGACGUUGUAUCUUGAACGAAGAAAUGUUGCUCCGUCGCAACAUCCCCAAUCCGAAUUUUGACAUCUGGACAAGCUCCAUAUAAUUCGCCUCGUGUGUUAUUAGCUGCUCGUAAUGUCCAUCCAUGUUCCAUAUCAAUUAGCCAUUUUUGCUUCUUAUAAAGAUCUUUAGACAUGAGAUUUAUUUCAGAACCAUGGUCCACUAAAGCAACUAUUAGUUCUUCUAUAUCUCCUACCUUCACCAAUACCUCAGUAGUUGCCCUUGCCCAAUGCUUUCGAGUAUAAUGGCUCAAAGUUUCCAUUUCUUUGUCACUAGAAUCUUCGAAAUGUACUCGCUGAUUAUACCCAUUCUUUUCAUUUGUUGAUUGCUUGUAACCAAUAUCAACCUCUUCUUCAUCUCUACAUAUUCUUGCAUCAAUAGCAUGACUCAUUCUAGUUUCGGUCAUUAAUUGCCUCUUUCGCUUAAUGCUGUCAAUGAUAACAUCAUGAAACUCCUUCUUUGUAAUUUCCAAGACUUCUUUCAAUGUGAAUUCCACCUUAGCGUUUAAUAUACGUUCUUCCAACACCUCUUUCAAAUUUGUUGCUGCUUCAAUGUCAGAAAGUAGCUUAUAAGCAAUUGAUUUGCCCUUAUCUUUUGUCUCCAGUGUUUUUUCUCCCAAUGAUGCUGAGGUAUCCUUUACAGGCAAUUCUUGUGAAGCUGCCUCUUGAGCCUUGUCUCCUCGAGUUUGCCUCUUAAAAGAAUUUCCUUCUCUAGUAUCAUCAAAAUUUCCUCGUCUUUUUUCUUCCAUCAAAGCUUCAUGUUGGCUCUUAGCAAUAUAUGCAUGAACUGAAAGAGACUCAACAGGAUCCUCCCAACCUGUUCUUCCUUGUAUUGUAGCUGCAGUUCUCAAUAACGCUUCUCGAGGUAAUUUCCCUUCUUCAAUUGUAGAAACGGCAGAAGCCCAAAACUCACUAGUUUCCGUACUUCCACCAAUUUCAUCAUCUACUCUAGCACCAUAACUUGCACUUUCUCGUACUACUGUUUCAUGCUCUUUUAAGUAAUCUUGAACCAAUGCUCUCAUUCCUCCCUUGCCAAAAUUGGUUUGAAGAAGAUCCUCCCUAUCUUUCAAUGCUAUCUUCCCAUCUUUUCAGCAAAUAAUUCCCUGCCGUAUCAUAUUAUUAAAUUCAUUGCAAUCUUUUCUAGUGUGUGAAGCAUCAUCACACCAAAUGCAUCUUUGUACAUAUCUUUGUUUUGAAACAUUCUUCAAAUUGUUUAUAGAAGUAUUCUCUUCAAGUCUUGCCAAUUUGAUUUCAAGAUCUCGCAUUCCUCGUAUAAUUUCUUCCAUAUCCAUAUUUGCUUUCUUUGACAAGGAUGUUGAAGGUUAAACUGUAGGCAUUGUCGGUGGUGUUGUACGUACUGGAGCUUUGGGUGCUAGUAAUGUUUUAGGAAUAUUGCUCCUAUCCUUCCUCCUUUCUUUUUUUGUAAGCAACCCCACCGCAUCUUCAACGUUCUUCCACUUCGUUGUCAAUCCUUCAUCUUCUUCUUUGUCUUCAAGAAGGAGUUCUAAUUUCUCUUGCAAUUCUCCAUCAGCAGCUUGAAGAAAUAGAUCAACUUUGUUCGACUCCAAUGUCAAUUUUUCUACCUUCGAUAAUUGAGAGUACUGCCUCUCAAAUUCCCUUAGUAGCUCUGUUGCUUGCAAAUUCUUAUUAGGCCGUUCAAUCCAUCCCAGAAACAGCUUCUUAGUAAUGCGAUCAGCAUCUUCCAAGAAAUAUUCGUCUUUCAAUGCAUGUGAAAAAUCCUCCCAUGAAUUCCCACAACGAUCCGUAAUCGAUGUAAUGUGGUCCCUUAUCUCCGGUAUCGUGGUAAGUCCAAAUAGUGCAACCAUUUUCUUCUCAGAAACCGGAUUUAAUUCCAUUUCAUGAACAUAACAUCUUAAAUACCUUGAAAUAUUCCUCCCAUCAAAUUGAUCAAUUUUAUUGACCACUGCUUGCAAUGCUUUGGUUGCCAAAGCUUCCUUUCGAUCAUUGCUUUGCUGUUGCUGCAUUGACAAUGAGAAGGCUUGAAACAAACUAGCAAUAGACGGAUCCAUGUGCAUACCUUGUCCUUUAGAAGACUCCCCACUAGAAACUUCUCCCAAAAAUCCUUCAAAAUUUUUAUUUUCGUUUUCCAUAAAAAUAAAGAUAAAAUCAACCGAAAUCCAAUACCUUCUACCUCAAGCUUUCACGUCGGGUUCACCACUUAUGUCGUAUUAUGUGCUUUCCUGCUCGAGAACGCGUCGGGCGUCUGGCUGUAGAAGGUAGUAUGGAGAUUCGCCGAUAGUCAAGCAGUCUAUCAGUUUUUGACUGCUGGAAUAUAAAUGACUGCAACAAUGUACCGUAAAUCUAUAUGGAUGCUCUUCGACUGCUUGUCGAAUUCUUUUUUUUUUUUUUCCUAGCCGGCAGAUCUCUAGACGUUACAGAGAACCCCGAACAACCCAAACUGUUAAUCUUCAAUACCCCUUUGUACUUACGAUCUUGUAUCCACUGACUGUCCUGUUAGAUUAACCCAAUAAAUUUCAUUCACUCCGCAUACUCAAUCCUAUAGACACCCUUUUAAUCCUUCAAUCACAGACGUAACUCGAUUUUACAAAACAGUCAAGAGUAUUCAAACCCACUUCAUUUAAAAAUCCUAAUUCACCAUUAUGACACUGACUUCAGCAGCGAUUGCCUCAAUCUUCUCAAAACUCUACGAAGAAGAAAAAUCCAAAUUCCAUGUCUUUCCUUUCCCGACCCGAAGCAUGAAGCUCCUCUCUCUAAUUCCCUUGAUCUUCAAAACCCUCCAAUGAAACCGAACUAGUAACCUUGCAAAAGCUUGAAAACUAGCUCCCCCCUGAUUCCCCCGAAAAAAAAAACCUCCCUCCCUAAAACUAUAUUCUCCUCUAACCUUAUCCUUUGAAUUUCUUCAAUCUUCUAUCUUAGAUCCGGAAUGGGCUCCCGCCGUCAGAGUUUAGAUCCGAAAUUGGCUCACGUCAUCAAGGCCUUCUCCUCCAUUUUUACCUUUAAGAGAUCCAUUUACCGUAAACAACGUUCCCUGAAACGGCACAGAGAACAGGACAGCCCAAAACAGAAUCGAAACCCCGUAAUCGGGACCACAUUGAGUCGCCCGACCAAUUUAGGUCCCAUAUUGGGUAAGAUGCCCGUAGUAAUCUGGAUGCUCGCAUAAUUGGGUCAAAUUCGUCUUCGCGUCAGAUUGGCUGAGGCCUGUAGUAAGACCUGGAUUUUUUCGUAACUAGACUGCAUUGGGUUGCCCCACCAAUACAGGUCUCAUAUUGGGUAAGAGGACCCGGAUUGGAUUCUCGAAAUUGGAUCCAAUUGGCUCUUCAAACCCGUCGUGUGAAUUGGUCCUUCUCAUCCUGCUAACUCCCAUUAUUAGAAUCGAAUGGAGCAUUUUAGUAUGCCCCGGCUGACUGUAACGGGGUGACUGAACCUGACCACUCAGUAUUUGCGCAGGAGUUGGUCGAUGCUCCUAAUAUUCGAGGUAACUGAAUAUUAAUAAAAUUCUCCUUCUUUUUUCUUUUUUUUUUUAUUUUCACUGUAUACUCGUGUUACAACACGACAUCGUAGAGAAGCAAAUACAGCGUAAGUAAUUGGUAUAUAUGGUAGUUCUAAAUCUUGUACUAGUGGUACAAAAGACAGCCAAAGGAAUAGAAUGGAUAGGUCAACUCAUAUAAAAAUAUUGAGAUGCCUUCUCAACCAACCUACUUAAUGGUGUGUCUCUUAAUCAAGGUCCCUCCUUUCAAAUAGAACUAUUGCUUAAAGCCAAACCAAUAAGUCGACCAAUUUAUUGCCUAACAUCAAAAGAACUUGAACAAUUAUGAAAGAUAUUAGAAAAACUCUUAGAGAAUGGCAUCAUUUGAGAAAGCACAUUAUCAUAGGAAGUAUUUGUACUCUUUGCACCUAAGAAGGAUAGUAGACUUUACCUUUGUAUUGACUAUCAAGGCAUCAAUAAGCAGAUUAUUAAGAAUAUAUAUUCACUUUCACUCGUGGAUGUUCUUUUUGAUCAAUUUCAAGGUACAACCAUCUUUAGUAAAUUGGAUCUUUUGAGCAGUUAUUAACAAAUACCUAUUUCAAGAGAGGAUAUUAAAAAGACUACAUUUUGUAUGUGCUAUAAAUAUUUUGAAUGGCUAAUUUAUGUUUUGGCCUUAUUAAUGUUUCAACCUCUUUCAUGGAUCAUAUGAACAAAUUAUUUUGGAACCUUUUGAAUAAGUAUAAAGUUGUCUUCAUUGAUGAUAUUCUUAUAUAUAAUAAAACCUCUAAAAAGCAUAGGCAACACCUACAAAAAGUAAUGUAUCAGCUAUAAGAUAAUUGCUUCUAUUGUAAGCAAUCAAAAUAUAAACUUUAAAAGUCAAAAGUCACUUUUUUGGAACAUAUAGUAUCCUCCAAAGGCAUGCAUAUGGAAAAAGAUAAGAUGAAAGCAGUGGAAGAUUGGCCAACUUCCAAGGAUGCUUCUAAAUUUUGCUCAUUUUUAGAUCUUAUUGGAUAUUAUUCUCAUUUUGCUCAACAAUUUAUUCAAAUUAUUGCAUCAUUGACAAAUCUAUUAGAGAAAGAUGCUCCAUUUGAAUGGAAAUUAGAGUAGCAAAGUGCCUUUGAUAGGUUGAAGGAGGAAUUCAUUACUACUCUAAUAUUAAAACUAUAUGUUCCUAACUUUCCUUCUACACUUGACAUUAAUGCUUCUGACUUUGCUAUUGGAGCGGUCCUUUAAUAGGUUUUUUAUUGGGGCCUUCAACUUAAGGCAUAUAAAAUACGCAAGUUGAGAAAGACAGAGCAUAAUUACUUUACACAUGAUUGAGAGCAAUUAGAGAUUGUACACACUACAAAGGUGUGACAAUACUAUCUAGUGAGAAAGCCAAUGGUUGUUCAAAAUAACCAUCAAUCCUUGCUACAAAAUUUAUUUCAAGUAAAUAUAAAAUUACAUCAUUGUUGGCAAGAAAAGUUGUAGCUUUUUGAUAUCCAACUUAAGUACAAGCAAAGACAACAACAUAUUAAGGUGAACAACUUAUUACGGAAACCAAAUUUCAAGGACAAAUUGAGAGACAAGACAAAAGUCACUACCAUUAGUAGUAUCACUUCAAAUGUAACUAAAGAAGAAAAAUGGAAGAAAGCUAUGCAUUGAGAUGUUUAUUUUAAGAUGGUUAGCAAUCAAUUGAAGGUGAAUAAUGUCAAAAUAGAGAGAAUUUACCUCAAGAAAGUACUAGACUCUUGGCUAUCACUAAUUAUUCAAUCAAGUCUUCAGAUAAGAAAGACUAAGUUUAUAUAUAAAUUUCUCUUUUUGACCAAUUGCACCAAAUAUAUAAGCCUCAAGUAACCAACAAUAUGCAAAAUAUGAUAAAAUCCUCUAAAACCUUAUAUAUCCUUAUGUAGAAUUUUUUUCAAACUUCAUCACCUCAUAUCUCCUAAUCCAACCAUCCAAACAAACUUAAAUUUUACAAGAGAUAUUGAUGUAUUUUUAUUAACUUCUAUAAUAAAUUUUAAUUACAAAUUCAUUGGAGAUCUGGAGGUAUCUUGAAAAUCCUAACAAUUGCUUUAAAUCCUUGACUUUAUAUACCUGCAUGUAAUUUUUUUCAUAUUUUACAAAAUAUAAGCUUAAAUGCUACAAAAUUUAUAUCUAUAGCUUUUUAACACAAAAUAUUACAUUCUCCAAAAAGUUUGAAGCAAAAAUUUGUCCAAAAAUUGAAGUUAUGGUUCCAACCAUUAAUAUAAACAAAACCAUUUACUUGGUACCUUUGAUUUGGAAGUACCACCUUCAACUCCUUAUUAUUCCUUUACAUGAACUCUAAAAGCAAAAAUUCUUUCAUAAAAGAUAUAGGCCUUGAAAUUGCCAUUUCAAUCGUACCUUUCAAUCUUCAAAAGCUACCGUACAACUCAUAUCCUCAAAAAAGUAACAAUAUAUCUUAAAUUAACACCUUAACUUCAAACGGCUAUAUCUUCUUUAUCUUAAUCCAAAUCCUCUAAUUUUUUAUACAAAUUAUAGUCUAAAUCUUAAUUUUUACAAUUCUAGCUUUUAAUUUCCAAAUGCUCUCUUUGAAGUCAUCAAAAUCCUUGUUAAGGUCACAGGCAGCCUCUUUAAAGUCCAUUGAGUAUGGUAUUCGGCCAAUAGGGAUGAAGUUUUCCAUUCCUUGCUUUCAUCUCUCCCAAUUAGCCUCCUACUAGUUUAGAUUUUGAUCCUUAGGCUUCCACCUUCUCUCAAGGCUUCAUACUAAAUAUUUAGGUCUUAUAUUUUUUUUAAUGCCAAAAUAAAAAUAAGUAAAAAAAUAAAAUAAAGAUUCUUAUAUUCAAUUUCUUUAAAUUAAUCUAUUAACUAUUCUAACACACACCAAGACUUAUGAAUAUAUUAUAUAUUUUAACUAAUUUUUACAUACUAUAAGUAAUUAUAUUAUAAAAAAGAUAUAUAAUAUCAAGAUUAUAGUCUUAAUGAUGGCUUGCUCUAUUUCAAGAAGUAGAUUUAUGUACCCAACAAUGUUAUACUUUGGAUACAUAUACUUCAAGGAUAUAAUAUUCUAAUAUCUAGAUAUUUGAGAUGAGAGAAGAUUUUAGAAUAGAUCUCAAAGACAUGAUUUCGAAGAAGUUUGGAUUAUGAUAUUUUGCCUUUAAAUACUCAUACAAGUCAUGUUAAUGUAAUAAAGCAUACAAUGCAACAUCUCUUAGACUAUUACAACCAAUUUUGCUACCUAUGGCACAUUGGAAGAAGGUGACUAUAGAUCUCAAUAUAUAUUUGUUACAAAUGCUUCAUAAUCAUAUUAUGGUUGUAGUCUUUCUGGAUUGACUCUUGAAGCAACUUCACUUAGCUGCAAUACACUCAGAUAUUAAUACCCUAAUACUUAUACAAUUCUUCUUUGAUACCAUCUUUCGUCACCAUGGAUUACUUUAUAUCAUUACUUUAAAUCGAGAUCUAUGCUUUACAAGAAGUUUUUGGCAAGCCUUAUUCAAGCUACUUAGCAUACAACUUACCAUGUGUAUAAUCUUCUAUUUCUAAAUAGAUGGACAAAUAAAGCGUGCAAAUCAAACCUAGAAGAAUAUGUUGUGGGCAUUUAUAGACAUUCAUCAUAAUGAUUAGGAUGAAUAAUUGAUGCCCUUGGUGUUUGCUUAUAAUGAUAGUAUUCAAGCAAGUAUUGAUCAAUCACCAUUUUUCUUUAAUAUCAAUUAGUAUUCAAUUAAGCAAAUAACUUUUUAUUGUUCAAUCAACAAUAACAAUCUGACAAUAGAGGAAUUUAUACAAUGGCUUCUAACGGCCUUACAAGAAGCAUGGCACCACUUCUUUAUUACACAAAAUUGACAAAAGCAGUAUGUAGAUAACCACCUGUAUUAUAAGAUCUUUUGGGAGGGUGAUCAAGUAUUACUCUCUAAUGCCAACUUGCUACUUCCUACAUCAAUCCAAAUUUAUAAACUAAUACUUUAAUAGCUUGGACCUUUUCACAUUUCUACAGUAAUUUAUAAUGUUGCAUAUUGUCUUGAGCUUGUAUGACAUCUUUGGGUCUAUCUGGUCUUCCUUGUUUUGUAAUUGAAGAAAUUUCAUAUCAAGCCAAAGUACUUUCUAGAUCAAUAUCAACUACCACCACCACUAGUUGUAAUUAAUGACCAACAAGAAUAUGAAAUAGAUAGCAUUUCGAAGCAUUGCUAUCUUUAUCUUGGUAGUAGAUAUCUAAAGCUUCAAUAUAAAUUUUUUUAGAAAGGUUAUCCCAUUCACAAUGCAACGUGAGAACCUGCAUAAAAUCUCACCCAUUGCCAAGACAUAAUUUGGAAAUACCAUCCAGAGCAAAAUGAGGAUGUUUCACAUUAAUGGAAGAGAAUUAAUUAUAACAUAGUAUAGAUAAAAUAUUUGUAUUAUUGAUACAUAAGAAUAGAUAAUUAGAACCAUGGAAGUUUUUAGAAUUGAGGUUAGAAUAAUGGAUUAGGUAAGAUCCAUCAUAAAACAUUCUAGAAAGAGUUUAGGAUAGUUAUUUAAGUAGGAUCUAGUAUAGAACGUUGUCGUAAUGUGUGAAGUCUUGCUUCAGAAUGCUCCGGACACUUGGCUGUAGAAGGAAGAAUAGAAAUUGCGAUAACAAAAUCCUAAUUCUAAUAGAAUAUUAACAAUGCUCUAAUUAGACUAUAAUAAUGCUAAACAAAUGUAAUCAAAUUCAAAACAACUCAAAGAAAUUUCAAACAAACAAUAAAAUUCUUAAAGAAAUAUUAGAAUGAUCACAAAUUUUACUCAAUUAUAUGUCAAUUCAACCUUAUUUUAAUUCUAGUUAAAAUCCUAUUGAAUUUCACUCAACUUUAGAUCAAACCUAAUUAAAUCUUAAAUACUAAUAAUUCCUAAACCCUAAGUCAAAUCCUAAACAAAUCUUAAAUUAAACCCUAAUCCAACCCUAAAUCCUAAACCAAACCUUAAAUCAAAUCUUAAUCAAACCCUAAUCCAAACCCUAAUCCAAAUCCUAAAUCAAAUUCUAACCAAAUCCUAAAUCCUAAUCCAAAUCCUAAUCCAACCCUAAACUCUAAUCCAAAUCCUAAACCCUAAAUCAAACCUUAAAUCAAAUCCUAACCAAACCCUAGUCUAAACUCUAAUCCAAACCAUAAAUCUUAAUCCAAAUCCUAAUCCAACCCUAAACUCUAAUCCAAAUCCUAAACCCUAAACCAAACCUUAAAUCAAACCCUAACCAAAUCCUAAUCCAAACCCUAAUCCAAACCCUAAAUCAAACCCUAUCCAAAUCCUAAACCGAACCCUAGCCAAAUCCUAAUCCAAAUCCUAGUAAUUCCUAUGACAGAUUUAAACCUCAAUAUCUCAUGAAUAAACCGUCGAUCUCAAUUCAAAAUUUGCAUACUUCUUAAAAAUCAAGUUUAAAACAAGCAAAAAAAAUUUGAAAAGGAUCGGAGUUACGAAAUUGACGAAAACCUCAAAAAUGUGUUCGGGUGUUAGCUGGCCUCCUUCUCCAAUCUUGUUGUCAAACUUCCAGAGUCAAUUUCUCUUUUUUGCGCCGUUCGAUUGGUUUCAAAUUUCUCAUGGACAUAGGAAAACAAUUCUAAUAUCUUCUCACAUAAGUUUUACUCCAAUCCAACUAGUAGAUUGCAUGAAAUCUUAAAAACCCUCACUAGACCUAAAAUUCUACUUUCUAAGACCUUGAGUCACUUAAACCUCAAUAUCUCUCAGUUCAACCGUUAGAUCAAGUUCAAAUUUACAACAUGUAUUCAACACAACUAUAACCAUGAAUCCAAAAAAAAUCACUUAUAGAUCUACAACAAAACUCUCGAAAUCACUCAAAAUAUAAAUCCUAUUUUAUUUCAUAAAACCCAAGUCAUCCAAAAAAAAACUCAACUUUGCAAAGCUCUUACGAAUUCAUAUCAACUUCAAAUCACCCAAAAUCAAUGUCCAUAGAAACCCUAUUCAACCUUCUCUCCAACCCUACUCUCCGAUCUGCCAAAGAGUCCCGGAGUCGUCAAGACUCGGUUUUGUGCCUCAGGGUCUGAUUUCGACCCUGGUUCAUAACCGGCCCUCUCCGGGUAUCAAUAUCUAGUUUUUCUAAGUAAUUUUUUUUCUAGAAUUUACUCUUAACUUUUUUCUAAAGAUUCCAAUAUCAUUUAUUUUUCCAAUCUAUUUUGAUUUGCCUUACUUAUGGUACUACAAAGUAAGUAGAAGUCACCUUUCUAAAAGGCAGCAUUGAUACCUUUUAAUUUUUCUACCCCUUUGGCUAUUAACUAUAUUUCUAAGAUAAUUUGUUCUAAUACUUUGAAGUAAGAUCUCUUAAAUUAUAAUAAUCUCCACACUCUUUCACCUAUUAAUCGUGUUACAUCACUACAUCCACCCUCCCUGAAUCUGUGCAUCCUCCGGCAUGCGCCAACGAUUCUUCAAUAUGUUGAUGUAGAAUGUUCUUCAUCUUCGUACAAUUCUUGAUCUUCAAUAUGCUCUUCUAUUCCAAUCUCAAUAUCUUAUAUUUGAGUUUGUUCUUCAUCAAAACAAAUGCCUUCAUCUCUUUGUUUAAAUAACUUGAUUCAUUUGCUUGCUAUGGAUACCUUCAAUUCUGUACCAUCAAGUUCUUGUAAUGAAUAUGUUCCAUUGUUGUGUGCCCUUUUGACAAUACAAGGUCCAAACCAUCUCUUUGCAAACUUAUUUAUAGUGCUAUGUUGAUUGUCUAAGCUACUAUCAUAAACUAAUACCCAAUCACCAUCUUCAAUAGCCUUGGGUCGUAAUCAAUGUUUUUUUAUCAAAUCUUUCUUUAUUCUUUUCCCUUGCUUCUUUCAAUUUUUUUAUUGCUAUUUCAAUAUCGUUGGGUCUUCUUUCUAGUUGCUGAAUCCGUAAUACUAAAAGUUCUUCUCUGUUGAGAUCAUUCUUCCACGGCAAUACACCCCAUGUAGGUACUACAUCUUCUAUUGGCAUUACUGGUUUUUGACCAUAUACUAAUUCAGAAGGCAUAUAACCUAUUACCGAACUAUGAGUUGUACGAUCUGCCCAUAGUGCAAAUGGUAGUAGUCUAGGCCAUUCAUGUGCUUUUCCAUUGCAUGCCUUUACUAAUGCCUUAACAAUAGGUGAAUGCCCAUGCUCACUUUUACCAUUACCUUCUGGAUUAUAUGUAGUUGUUAAAGAAAGCUUAAUUCCUAUCCUAUUAAAGAAUUCUCGUGCUUCCUUUGCAUCCAAUUCACCUCUAUCGGCUGUAAUUUUUCCAAUACAACCAUAGCGACAAAUAACUUCUUCUAAUAGAAAUCGACAUACACCUUUAGUAUCCUUUGUUCUUAAUGCUCGUCCUUCAACCAUAUUUGAUAAAUCUUCUCAUGCAAGUAUCAAAUACUUCUUUUAUCCAAGUCCCAUAGGCAUUGCCACUAAAUCCACCACCCAUUUGUAAUCUAAAGCCAAAGGGUAUGUUGGAUGUAACCCAUCUCGAUGUCGAAUAUUUGAAUAUAUUUGGCAAAUCUCACAAGAUUGUAUAAAUUUUGCUAUGUCUUUAUACAUUCCCUUCCACCAAUAUUGUUCCUUUAACUUAGUGAAUGUUGUUCAAAUACCUCGAUGCCCUGGCCAUAAAUUUUUAUGAAAUUCUUUAAUAAUCUUUGGUUGAGCUUCUAAACCACAUAUUAUCCUUUGUGAUACUUCUUCUCUCUUUUUUGGAUGCUUCCAUAAAUAUCCAUCAUGUAAAAAAUAUCCAUAGUCUUUCUUACGAAUUUUCUUAAAUUCUUGAUUUGUCCAAUCUUUUUGUCGUUUUAAUGUGCUCAAAUACUCUCCAACAUCUUUCCAUUCAUUUUCAUAUAAAUCUCUUAAAAAUGCUUUUAAUGGUAUAUUAAAACAUACACCCUUUUCCUUUGAUAACGCAUUGGUAUAAAAUUUUGUACCCACAUCAUCUUCUAAAUCAAUCAUCUUUUCUUCAUCAUUAUACCAUGCUCUCGAUAACAUAUCUGCAACUGAAUUUUCUUUUCCUGCAAUAUGUUUAAAUUCAGGAUUCAUAGAUUUGAUAUAUGCUAUCCACCUCAACAUAGCAAUAUCAGGAGUUGAACAACUUGUAAUCAUGCCUAACAAAGGUAGAUAAUCUGUUUCUAUAACUACUGAUGCUCCAAUCAAGUACUCUUUUUCAUUUUUCAUAGCUAUUACUAUAUCCCAUAAUUCUCUUUUGAUUUGUGCAUAUGUCCUUUGCCUAGAAUUCAAUACCUUUGCUCCAAAUCUUACUACAUAUCUAUUUCCUUGUUCAUCAUCUUGUCCAACUGCCCAACCUAUUCCAAUUGGACUUGCAUCAACUGUUAAUACCACUGGCCUUCUACCUUCAUAAUUUACUUUCUUCAAAGUUGGAGAUGAAGAAAGAAGUUCUUUCAAUUUUUCCAUAGCUUUCCGUUGUUCUUCUUUCCAUUGAAUUUUUGAUUCUUUCUUAACAACUUAUAUAAUGGAUCUGCUAUAUGUGCAAAGUGAGGUAUCUAUAUAUGAUAGAAAAUACAUGCUUCUAAAAAUCUUCUCACUUCCGUUGUAUUUGUACAUUCUUUCAUCUUUUUAAUAAUAUCAAUCUUUUCUAUACUUGGCUAACGUCCAUAUGAACCACAUGUGUAUCCUACCACCAAAAUUUCUUUUACUCCAAACAUUGGUUUUGUCCCCGAUAAGGUUAAAUGGACUUCUUCCAAUCUUUUCAAAAUCUUCUUACAAUCUUCAAUAUGAUCUGCCACAAACUUCUUACAUCCCUUUGAAUCAAAAGUUUCAUCCUUUGUUUCUUCUUCACAUCCCAUAAUAGGUACAUCAUCUAAGAAAGGUAUUGUUAUUCUUGGAAUAAAAUCUCUUAAUAUCUUAUGCAUUCCAUUCAUCACAUGUGCUACAGAAUUUGUAGCCCCUUGUAGUAAUGUGCACAUUCUAACUAAUCCUAACGGUGUCUUCAUAGUUGUCAAAUUCCUACUUUGUAUUGCCAAUUGGAAUUGAUCAUAACCUGAAUAAAGAUCACUCAUUGAGUAGAUAGCUCUUCCAGCAAAUGCUUCUACAAAUUCAUCCACAAUUGGACUUGAACCCAUAUUUCUAAUAGUCACUUUAUUUAUGGGUUGCAUAUCUUGUAUAAAUCUCAUUGUUCCAUUUUUCUUUGGCACUGUAAACCAUCGAUUAGAAUAAGGUGCUAUAGAUGGUUCCAAAAUUUCAAUUUUAAUCUUUUCAUUGAGUAAAUCUAGUAAUUUAGAUAAAUAUGCUCUUGGUACUGGAAUUGGUCGCAAAUUCCAUGGUUCAUGAGGAAUAGUAAAAAUAACCAUGGGUGCUACAAUAUUUGGAUCAACACACCUAAUUUCAUGUGCUUCAAAUGCAAAAGCUUUUCCAUGACGUAAAAGUAAAUCCCUAAAACAUUUUUCUUCACAUUUUGUUAAAAAUCCAUCACCUCCAACAUUUAAUCCAUCUAAUGUAACAUCCGUAAAUUUAUACCCUAUCUUCCUUGGAUUUCUUAGAUUUGGUUGUAUCGAUGCCCCACUUACCAUUUCUUCACAAUCACAUGGUAGUCGCAAAGCCACUAGUUUGACCUUCUUUGCUACUGAUUUAUACUUAGUUUCAACAUAUACCUCUUGGCAACUUAAAUUUUCUUUAAAUCCUUGAAUUUCAUCAUAAAAUUCUUUAGAAUACACAUUAAUAACUCUAUUCUCUACUUGUAACUCACAUUGUAAUAGAUAAUUUAAUUCCCCCAUAGAAUCUGCAAAACCUAUUUCUUCAUAUCUUCCUGAAAUAAAUUCAUUUUCAACCAAUUCUCCAUUUUCUUUCAACUUUUCUUCUAUAUUUUUAAUAUAAUAUCUGUCCCUCUUUUUCAUUUUGUCAAUAGUCUUAAAAGUCAAUACACAAUCUUGUGUCAUCUCAAUAAGUCUGGUAGAUAACAAUUCUUUUUCUAAAUUAAGUGGGAGCAUUUCUUUCUCUAAUCCAUUGCAACCCCGCCUUACAAUGGUGUGUGGUAAAAAUCCUCAAGGUCUUCAAAUUUUUCAUUUGAUAUUGGUUUCACUCUCAACUUAUCAUGUUUUCUCUCAGGAUUAGCACAAACAGUUCAAAAUUGAACUGCUUUCAUCCCAUCUUGGCUUCUUAUUCUUGCAUAAGCUGAACCAUCAUCCAUUACUUUUGUUUCCAUUUGUGUGGAAAUAAUAUAUGAUUGUCCCAAUAUAAUAGGCUAUGUAGACAUGUCUUGCACAAAGAAAUUUUGUUCAUGAAUAACAUCUCCAAUUGUCACUUUGAUAUUUGGACAUGCUCCAUACAAAUCUCCCUUUGAAUUAUUCGCAGCUCUUAUCAUCUACCUAUGUUCAGUAUCAAUAGGCCAUUUUCCCUUGUUAUAUAAUUCCUUUGACAUCAAAUUGAUUUGAGAACCAUGAUCAAUUAAUGCUACAACUGGUUCUUCUAAAUUUUCUAAUUUUAUUAAAGUCUCCAUUGUAGCCCUUGCCUAAUGACUUCUAGAAUAAUGGCUAGAAGCUUGAAUGACAUCUUCUUUUUUUGAAAACCUUACUCACAAGACAUCUCCAAAAUUUUGUAUUUUAUCUUCUUCAUCUUCAUUUCUUUCCAUUGCUCUUGUUCCUUGUGCAUUUGAUGUCAUAGAAUCUCCUAUAGAUUGUCGUUUUCUCUUUAUUGUAUCAAUAAUAACUUCAUGAAACUCACGCUUUGUAAUUCCUAGAAUUUCAUUAAUUGUGAAUUCAACCUUUCCACUUAAAAUCCACUCCUUUAAUACCUUCUUUAAGUCUGUAGCUACUUCAAUAUCUGAUUGUAAUUUAUAAGCAGGAGCCUUUGCUUUUUCUUUUUCAAUUUCCCUCUCUUUGUAGAAAUGCUCCCAUUGUCUCUUCAUGUAUAGAAUUCUUUUGUUGUCGUACUUUUUCUCCCCUUGUAAUUCUUUUUGAGGGCCCUUCAUUAUUUUCAUCUUUCUUUCAUUUUUCUUCUAUUAAUGCUUCAUGUUGACUCCUUGCAAUAUGAGCAUGUACAGAUAGUCUAUCUACUGGAUCAUCCCACCCAUUAAUUUGUCAAAUGUUAUUACCAACACAUUUCAAAUCAUCUCUAGUAAAAUUUUUCCUUUCAGCAUACCUCAUUGCACUUGUCCACAAAGAACUAGAUUCUACUGGAAACUCAAGGUUUAUACUUAAACAUCUACUAGGAUCUGUUUCCACCCAAUAUGUUGAUGCUUCAUUGCUUGAGAUUGUCUGCACUUUAAAAGUAUCUCCAAUAAAUAACUUCAUUCCUCCUUUAUCAAAAUUUUUUUCCAAUUUUUCUCCAUUUUUUUUUUGAGUGUAUCAUACCAUCUUUAAAAAAAACAACUCCUUUACGUAAUGCCUCUGUAAAUUCUUCACAUUCCCUCCUCAAGUCAUCUAUGUUGUCACACCACAUGCAUCUAUGUACUACACCCUCCAUUGGCCUUGGUCUUUGUUUUGUUGAUAUUCUUGAUGAUUGACCUUUCUCUUCAAGUUUUACAAAUUUUAUUUGUAAAUCUCUCAUCCCACGUAUGAUUUCAUCAAUUCUUGUUUCUUCUUUCUUUGAUAUAGCCAUUGAAGGUUGAAUUAAAGAUGUCGGAUGGAUACUAGACACCUUUAUCUUAGAUGGUUGUAAUGGUCUUUGAUCACCCCCCAUAUCUUUUCUCUUUUUCCUUUUUGUCAUCGUCCUUACAGCAUCCUCUACCCUUUCCCAAUUUGUUGUCAAUCCUUCAUCUUCUUCUUUAUCUUCAAGCAUGAAUUCCAACUUCUCUUAUAACUUUCUAUCAGCUGCUUAAAAAAAGAGCUCCACCUUACUUGGAUCCAAUAACUGUCUUUCUUUCUUUGAUAAAGAAGAAUAUUGCUUUUCAAACUCCCUUAAUAAUUCUAUUGCUAAAAGAUCCUUCUUUGGCUUUUCAAUCCAUUCAAAAAAAGACCUUUUUGUAAUCCUAUCACUAUUUUCUAAGAAAAAUUCAUCUUUCAAAGCUUGAGAAAAUUUCUCCCAUGAACCUCCAAAGUGUUGAAUAAGAAACUUAACUUGAUUUCUUAUCUCUUGUGCAGAGGCUAAUUCAAAUAAUUGAACCAUCUCACUUUCUGAAAUAUGCUUCAAUUCCAUUUCUUUUACAUAACAUCUUAAAUAUUUUGUAAUAUCCUUUCCUUCAAAUUGAUCGAUCUUGUCCACGACCGCUUGUAAUGCUUUGUUAGCCAUACUCUCUUUGUGAUCUUUAACCUGUUGCUCUUGUUGUUGCAUGAAUAAGGUCAAAGCUUCAAACAUGCUUGUGGAAUUAGGAUCAAAAUGCAUACCUUGUCUACAAAUGAAACUCUUCUUCGAACUCCACUUGAAGCACUUUCCAAAUUGUCUCCUUCCAUUUUCUUUUAAUUCCUUCUCCAAAAUUCAAAUAAAAAAAAAUAAUAAUAAAUUCCUUCCACCUCAAGCGUUUCAUGUCGGGUUCACCAAAUAUGUCGUAAUGUGUGAAGUCUAGCUUGAGAAUGCUCCGGACACUUGGCUGUAGAAGGAAGAAUAGAAAUUGCGAUAACAAAAUCUCAAUUCUAAUAGAAUAUUAACAAUGCUCUAAUUAGACUAUAAUAAUGCUAAACAAACGUAAUCAAAUUCAAAACAACUCAAAGAAAUUUCAAACAAACAAUAAAAUUCUUAAAGAAAUAUUAGAAUGAUCACAAAUUUUACUCAAUUAUAUGUCAAUUCAACCUUAUUUUAAUUCUAGUUAAAAUCCUAUUGAAUUUCACUCAACUUUAGACCAAACCUAAUUAAAUCUUAAAUACUAAUAAUUCCUAAACCCUAAGUCAAAUCCUAAACAAAUCUUAAAUUAAACCCUAUUCCAAAUCCUAAACCCUAAACCAAAUCCUAAUGCAACCCGAAAUCAUAAGGCAAACCUUAAGUCAAAUGUUAAGCAAACCGUAAUCGCAAACCGUAAUGGCAAAUGCCUAAAGCAAAGCCUAAUCCACCCCUAAACUCUAAUCCAAAUCCUAAAUCCUAAAUCAAACCUUAAAUCAAACCCUAACCAAACCCUAGUCCAAACUCUAAUCCAAACCCUAAAUCAAAUUCUAACCAAAUCCUAAAUCCUAAUCCAAACCCUAAUCCAAUCCUAAACUCUAAUCCAAAUCCUAAACCAAACCUUAAAUCAAACCCUAACCAAACCCUAAUUCAACCCUAAAUCCUAAACCAAACCUUAAAUCAAAUCCUAAUCAACCUCUAAUCCAAACCCUAAAUCAAACCCUAACCAAACCCUAAAUCCUAAUCCAAACCCUAAUCCAAACCCUAAUCCAACCCUAAACUCUAAUCCAAAUCCUAAACCCUAAAUCAAACCUUAAAUCAAAUCCUAACCAAACCCUAGUCUAAACUCUAAUCCAAACCCUAAAUCUUAAUCCAAAUCCUAAACCCUAAACCAAACCUUAAAUCAAACCCUAACCAAAUCCUAAUCCAAACCCUAAUCCAAAUCCUAAAUCAAACCCUAUCCAAACCCUAAACCGAACCCUAGCCAAAUCCUAAUCCAAAUCCUAGUAAUUCCUAUGACAGAUUUAAACCUCAAUAUCUCAUGAAUAAACCGUCGAUCUCAAUUCAAAAUUUGCAUAAUUCUUAAAAAUCAAGUUUAAAACAAGCAAAAAAAAUUUGAAAAGGAUCGGAGUUACGAAAUUGACGAAAACCUCAAAAAUGUGUUCGGGUGUUAGCUGGCCUCCUUCUCCAAUCUUGUUGUCAAACUUCCAGAGUCAAUUUCUCUUUUUUGCGCCGUUCGAUUGGUUUCAAAUUUCUCAUGGACAUAGGAAAACAAUUCUAAUAUCUUCUCACAUAAGUUUUACUCCAAUCCAACUAGUAGAUUGCAUGAAAUCUUAAAAACCCUCACUAGACCUAAAAUUCUACUUUCUAAGACCUUGAGUCACUUAAACCUCAAUAUCUCUCAGUUCAACCGUUAGAUCAAGUUCAAAUUUACAACAUGUAUUCAACACAACUAUAACCAUGAAUCCAAAAAAAUUCACUUAUAGAUCUACAACAAAACUCUCGAAAUCACUCAAAAUAUAAAUCCUAUUUUAUUUCAUAAAACCCAAGUCAUCCAAAAAAAAACUCAACUUUGCAAAGCUCUUACGAAUUCAUAUCAACUUCAAAUCACCCAAAAUCAAUGUCCAUAGAAACCCUAUUCAACCUUCUCUCCAACCCUACUCUCCGAUCUGCCAAAGAGUCCCGGAGUCGUCAAAACUCGGUUUUGUGCCUCAGGGUCUGAUUUCGACCCUGGUUCAUAACCGGCCCUCUCCGGGUAUCAAUAUCUAGUUUUUCUAAGUAAUUUUUUUUCUAGAAUUUACUCUUAACUUUUUUCUAAAGAUUCCAAUAUCAUUUAUUUUUCCAAUCUAUUUUGAUUUGCCUUACUUAUGGUACUACAAAGUAAGUAGAAGUCACCUUUCUAAAAGGCAGCAUUGAUACCUUUUAAUUUUUCUACCCCUUUGGCUAUUAACUAUAUUUCUAAGAUAAUUUGUUCUAAUACUUUGAAGUAAGAUCUCUUAAAUUAUAAUAAUCUCCACACUCUUUCACCUAUUAAUCGUGUUACAUCAUGACAACGUUCUAAAAAAAUCUUAGGAUGGAUAUUUAGAUAGGACCUACUAUAGAACCUUGUAAAAGAAAUUUAAGAUAAUUAUCUAAGUAGAAUCUACUACCUAGGAAUAUUCUAGAAAGUCCAAGGUAGUAGAACAAAGUAUAAAUAAGACUAGCUAGGACAUUUUGGAGAGUUGAUUAAGUUGGCUUUAGGUCCUUUUUUUUAAUAUAAUUGGAUUUUUUAUCUUCUUGUUCUAUUCUAUUUUGUUUUAUUUUAAUUUUAAUUGCUCAAUUUUAUCUUCCCUGUCUCAUUAUAUUUGAUUUUGCUCAAUUUGUUCUGGUCCAAUUUGUCCUAUCUUUUGAUGAAGUUUUAUGUUGCUAUAGAUUAGGAGGAUCUUAGAUACUUGAGAUAGACUGGUCUUGUUUCAAUUAUUUAUUCAGGUAAAUGUGUAUAUUCAUGACAUUACCCUACUUUCUAGGUACAAAUUUCACAAAGAAGGAUCAUCAUGUAUUAAAAAAGUUCAAGAUGUGUUGAAUUUUGUUUGCAACAUAUUUUGAUCUUUGUUUCCCUUGAAGGUGGUUGAUAGGUCCUUUUAGCUAUUCAUAAUGUUUUAUUCUAAGGUGAUAAGACCACCUCAUUAUUUCAUUAUUGUUGAGGCUUUUAGCACUUCUUUCAAAUAAAAAAAUUAUAAGUUCAUCAGUAGUUGUUUCUACUUCUAAUAAAAUCACCAAAUAUCAAGAGUCUCUCUCGAGGUCAUGAUACCAAAUGCAUUAUACCUUAUUAUCUAUUUGUGGAAGAACUUAUUAUUUUUAAAGACUUCAUUUUCAUUAUAUCAUCUUGAAGGCUAUGAAAAUUAAAAUAUUUUAUUUUAUAAAUUAAAAAAUAAUAUCUUUUAAAUUAAAUCUAUUGGUUGUUGAUUUUCUAUUUCUAUAAUUCCACAAAUACAUAAAAUUAUAAAUAAAGAUAAAAGAUAAAAUAUAAUCUUUUUUAAAUUAUAAUUUUUUCAUUAUAAUGAUUUAUCAUUCUUCAUCUUGAUUUUAAUAAAUGUUGUCAAAGAAAAGUAUUAACAUUCUUUAUUUUAUUUGCAAGAUUUUAAGUUUGCUUCUAUAUACCUACAUUAAUAUCAUUCUUGUAUCAAUAAAUAAGACAUUCCAACCUAUUUUGAUGCCACCUUAAGUCUAAGACUUCUUCCACCUCAAAUAACAUUUAUCUUCUUUUCAAGAUAUUCACUAUCUUGUAUGGCUCAAGAAGUGAUACAUUGUUGUAAGCUAAUAUGAUUAUAUAAUAAAAAAUAAAAAUAUGGAUGUUAUUAAAAAAAUCUAAUAAAAAGAUAUAAAAAAAUAAAAUAAAUUACAAAAAAAUAAAAAAUUUAGUCUUAAUAUUAUUUUUUAUAGAUGAGACUUCUAUUUAAUUUGUAGAGGCAUAAAUAAGCCAAAUCAAAAUAAAUAAGAUAAGAAAUUAAUAUAGACAUAUUUAGAAGAAAAUGAAUAAUAAAUUAAAAUAUAAAUUACUUCAAAUUAUUAUAAAUUGAUAUCCUAAAAGGGCCAAAUAUCAAUUUAGAUAGGAAUCAUACUUUAAGACACAAAACCACAUUCCUAUGGAAAUUUUAGGAUUUUUUGGUCAAUCAAAGAGCAAGAUUUGAAAGCAAACUUUUGAAGAGAUUUUUUAAUGUUAAUUUCAUGUUAUUUGGAUAAAUAUUAAGAUUUUUAGGGAUUUUCAAAGUUAAUCAUGUAUUCAAUGGACUUAGAUUUUGAGAAAUAAAAACAAGUUUAUAAAUUUUAAGAUUUUUUAAGUUUUAUAGAAUAUUUAUAGAUUUUAAUUUCAAUUUAAUUUUUUUUAUACUUGUUGUAAUUGUGUGUGAAAAAUUUUAAGCCAAUUAAGUGAUUAGAUUGAAGUAUAUGAGGUCUUUUGUGGAUUAUGGUCUUAAAAAUUGGAAUUUAAAAGAUUGGUGAGGAUUUCUAAGAUAUCUAUUAAUCUACUAAUUGAAUUAAAAUAUAACUUUAUUUAAAGAUAGCUAGCUUUAUUUCUAAUAAUUAUAAAAAACUUAGAACAAAUUAAUUGAUAAAAUUAUGAGAUUGAAGCUUGAAAAUACUAAUAUUAAGGUUGGAGAAGGAGGUUAGCUGAUUCUUGAGUGGAAUUUUGGAAUUAUAAUCUGUUUUUUAUGUGCAAUAUUUUUCAAAAUAUUUUAUAUUUGUUGCUAAUUUAAUUAUAGGAAGGUUUUCAAAUUUUGAGUCAAAAUCAAUAGUUCAAUAAUUAAUUACUGAAUAUUUAAUUUAUUAUAGGAUUUAUUAAGAAUUUAUUUAAGACUUAGAAUUUAAUUAAAGAUUGAUUAAAGUUGAUUUAGGAUCUAAGAUUUGAUUAGGAUUUAAUUAAGAUUUAAGAUUUAUCUAGGAUUUGGUUAGUUUUUAGGAUUUUAUCUAGAUUUAAUUAAGGUUUGACUAAGAUUUAAUUAAGAUUUUACUAUGAAUUUAUUAAUAUUAGUUUAGAAUUUAAGUUUUUGUUAAGAUUUUACUAAGAUUUUAUUAGGAUUUUACUAUAAAUUUAUUAGGAUUGGUUUAGAAUUUAAGAUUUUAUAAAGAUUUCAUCUAGAAUUUGAUUAAGAUUUAUUAGGGUUUAAUUAUGGUUUCAAUUAAGAUUUAACAUAUGAUUUAAUUAAGAUUUAUUAGAAUUUAAAUUAAUAUUUCAAUUAUUAUUUGACCUAAGAUUUAAUUAAGGUUUAAUAGGAUUUAAAUUAAGAUUAAAUUAUGAUUUGAUUAAGAUUUAUUUAAGAUUUAUUUAAUAUUUUAAUUUUUAAUUUUUUUAAGGAUUCUUUAUUAUUUCUUUUAAAUUUUCUAUUUUUAAUAUUUUAAAAAUAUUAUUUUUAUUUAUUUAAUGUUUUUUUAUAUUUUUUUAUAUAUUUUUAUAUUUUUCUUUGAGAUUAAUUUAUGACUUCUUUGUAUUUUUUUGUAUCUUUUUUAAAUUUUAUUUUAGAUUAAUUAAGAUAUAAUUAGGAAUAUUAAGGAUUAUUUAAAGUUUAUUUUAGAUUCUAUUAGACUUGGUAGGAUUGUUGUUGUAUUUUUACUUAUCUUUGAUAACUAAGUGCUUGGUGUAUUCUCAAGCAAGAACACACAUAAUACAAAAAUGUAGAAUAUAAGAUGGAGCUUCAUAAAUUCUAAUAGAUAUAAUUGAUAAGCAACUAAAUUGAUUUGUUCAUAAAUAAAAAGUGAUCAAAGGGUACAGUAAUCCAACUUAUCACAAAAGCAAUUAGUCUUAAUAUUGCAACAAAGUAACCAUAUAUUAUUGCCAACAUAAAAUUAAGAUUUCUCCUUGUUAUAGGCAUCCAUAUUAGUCUUUUAUUAUUCUUGAAUUUUUUUUAAUUAUACCAUCAUUAUUGUAUAUAGCUCAAAUAAACAAUUUGUCAAAUCUUUUGCUGCAAGAUUAUCAAUUUUUAAAAAGUCAAAAGCAUCAAGUCAUAGAUGAUAAUUAUAAUUAAUAAAAUAAAAUAAAAAUAAUAAAAAAAAAGUUCAUAGAAGAAAAUAUAAUAUUAUUAUAAGAAAUAUCUAAUAACAAUAAAAAAAAUUCAAUCAUCUUAUUAAUAGUUGAUGGUAUAUUUGAUAUAUUUCUUCAAAAUUUAAUUUAUGUACUUUAUUUAUCUAUAAAUUUGACGAUAAAAAUCCAAAGAUAGCUUUAAAUCUAUCUUUAGAAUUUUAAAAAGUAUUUUCUAUAAUCUUGAUAUAAAUUUAGUUCUUCUAUCCAAUAUAAUAUCCUUAGACAAUCCAUGAUAGUAAUAGAUGUUGUCAAAGAAAAGUUUUAUUCUUUCUUUACUUGUGAUAGAUUUUUUACAUGGUAUAAAAUGUGCCAUCUUAAUAAAAGAUCUACUAUUACAAAUAUAGAGUCAUAAGAAUGUGUGAUUGAAAGAUUUAUGAUAAAAUCUAUAGAAACAUAAGACCAUGGUUGUUUUGGAAUAGGUAAUAGCUAAAGAAGCCCAUAAGAUUAAUGGUAAGGAAUUUUUGAUUUUGAACGAAUGUCACAUAAUUGUACAAAGUCUUUGAUUUCUUUUUAUAUUUGACGCUAUUAAAAAUCUUUAGAUAUUAAUUCAAAAGUCUUAUCAUAUCUAAAAUAUCCAAUUGCUAAAAAUUUGUGACAAGCUUGAAGAGCAUGUAAUUGUGCUUUGUCUUUUGAAAUAUAUAAUUAUUCUUAAAAAUAGAAUAGAUUAUUUUUAAACUUAAAUAUAGAAGUAUACUGAAACUUUAAAAUUUUAUUUUUAAUAUCAUAAAUGAGAGAAUCAAAGGACAUAUUCAAUUAAACUUGCUGAAAAAAAUAAAUCAAANNNNNNNNNNNNNNNNNNNNNNNNNNNNNNNNNNNNNNNNNNNNNNNNNNNNNNNNNNNNNNNNNNNNNNNNNNNNNNNNNNNNNNNNNNNNNNNNNNNNUGAUGUAUAAUAAUACAUCUAAAAGGGGUGUUUGACAAAUCUUAUUAUUUCUCAAGUCAAUAAGUGAACUUGAAAUCAAAUCUUAAUAAAUACAUGCUCUAACAAGCUUGGCAAUAAUUCAAAAUAUAUACCACUAUGAAGUACUCCAAAUUUUUGUAAUCCAUAUACAUGGUAACUGGACUAGAAGCACCUUCUAAAUAAUAAUGCCAUCUUUAAAGUGAAUGUAAAAUUUUAAGAAGUUUUUUGUUAUUGUUGAUCUUGUUGUUAAUCUUCAUUACUAAAAAUUUCUUAGAAUAGAAAGCUAUUUGGUAGAACUUAUCAUCUACUCUCAUUUGUAACAACACCACAUCUAUAGAAAAAUUUAAUGUGUUUAUUUCUAUAAAGAAUACUUUAAAAAAAUGAGUCUAAUAUAAGAUUGGUGAAAAAAUAAAAUCUAUCUUUAAAGCUUCAAAAGAUGCUUCAACUUUUUUACUCUACUCAAGUUUAUCUUUAUAUAUUAGAAAUAUAAAAAAAAUUACAAAUUGAAAAAAAAUCUUAAUAAAGAUCUAGUAAUAAUUAGUAAAUUUUAAAAAAUAUUACACAUCUCUGACUAUUUUGAGAAUUUUCUAUCUAUGAUAGUCUAAAACUUUUCAAGAUCCAUCAUAAGGCUAUCAUUAAAAAGAAUAUAUCCUAAGAUAUCAACUUAAAUAAUAUAAAAUACUUACUAUUCUAUCUUGGCAUAUAAUCCUACAUCUUUAAAUUUUUGUAGUAUAUGAUGUUGUAUUGUGGUUUGGCUAUCAUAUAAAAUAAUGUAUAUGUAUAUUUAACAUAUAAUUUAUCAUAUAAUGUAGUGAAAGCCACCUUUAUUAGACAUUGGUGACUCUUGAAAUCUUAUUUUAUUUCUUUUAUUUGAUAUUUAGUACACAUAUUAUACAAAAUUUAUUAAAAAUAAGAUUAGAGAAGGAUUUUUAUAUAUAAAAGAGUAGUUAAGCCAAUCAUAUUGAUAAAUGGAGAUAGAUGAUAAAAAUCCCCAUUAUUAUUGACCUAAAGUCAUACCUAAUGGGCUUCAAAGAGGCUACUCAAGGCCUAAUUAAAGAUUAGGAUUAUUCUUUUGAAAGUAUUUUGAAAGGAAUUUGUUAUAAUUUGGAUAUUUUAAUCAAAGUAAAGGAAUUUUUGGAAUCCAAGAAUUUAUAUAUAUGUGAAAAAUGGAGAUAUAGAGCUAUGAAAAAAUUAUGAUAUAAAGAUAUAUUUUUAUAAGAAGAUUAUGGAUUUUCUUUGAAUUUAUAGUAAAUUUAACUUACUAGCAAAUAAUUAGUUAUGAUUUGGUAGAAUAAAGGAUAUUAAAAUAUUUUAAGUUACUUUAAAAAGCCUUAUAUAUAAACCUUUUUAAAUAUAAAAGGUUUUUAUUAUUAAAAUAUUUUUCUAUAUUAUUGCAUUUAUUUAUCUUUUAUAAUAGGAAUAAAUCACUUAUUAGAGCUUGGCUAAUAAGUUAAAGCUAAAUUCUUUACAUCUAGGUACAUAGUAUAUUCUUAGAUAGAAAAUCAAGCCAUAUAACAAUAAUAAAUAUGAAAUUCAUAUUUUUCUAUAUUUUUAGAAUAGAUUAAAAUAACAUUUAGAUAAUAGAUGACAAAAUCAUUAAAAAAUUCACAAAAAACAUCAUUUAUUAGAUAUUGAAAUGUAACUAGUGCAUUUGUGAGUCUAAAAGACAUGACAUUUUAUUUAAAAUAUCCAUACCUAAUUUAAAAUAUAGUCUUCUAUUCAUCUUCUUCUUUGAUGCAUAUGAUAUUGUAUAUUCUUUGUAGAUUUAUUUUUAUAUAGUUCUUUAUUAAAUUGAAUCGAUCAUAAAGUCUUAAAAUCAAAGAUAAAGAAUAUCUAUUUUUUAUGGUGAUCUUAUUGAGCCUUUGAUAGUCUAGACACAUUCAUAAAGAUCUGUCAUUUUUGUCACAGAUAAGAUGGAAGCUCCUGUAGGAGAUUUUGAAUGAUAUAUGAAGUUCUUAGCUAAGUUUUCAUCAAUGUAUUCUUUAAAUGCAACCAACUUAUUUUGUGAUAAAGUAUAGAUUGGUCUAAAUGGUGGUUAACUUUAAUCUUGAAAGAUCAAUAGAAUAGUCAUAAAGAUAAUACUUUGGAAGAAUAUCUGAAUUUGUUUUUCAAAUACGUCUUAGUAAUCUUCAUACUGGCUUAGAAUGUUAUUUAAAUUUUUUCUCUACUAAAUUAAGGUAUCUGUAGCAAUAGUUGACUCUUCUUUUGAUACUUGUAUGAAAGCUCUUAUACCUACCAACAAGGAUUUAGUUGUAUUGGACUUAUGGAUUUCUACUUGACUAGAAAGUUUAUAGACUAAACUAUGGAAAAAAUCAAGUUUAUAAGAAGUCUAUUCUAUUUGAGGUUUAUUCUUCUCUAGCAAUAAUAAUCCUAAUAUAAUUAAGUUGGAUGGAAAUCUAAUAAUAUAAAAUAUUACUAAGCUAUUAUAAUCUUUAGUUGCUACAUCUAAAUGAACUGUUUUAAAGCUAAAAUCUUCAAAGAACAACAAAUAAUCAUCUAUAAUUUUUACAUGCAUGGAUUUAUUCUUCUUAAUUAAAGAUAUAUUUUUUUAUUAUAAAAAUCCAACAAGAAGUUUUAAAAAUUUAUUUUUAAAAUAUUCUAUUAAGUUCUAAAAUAUUCUAAAGAAUUCUUAAAAUAUUCUAAUAGACGUUUUUAUAAAGAUAUUUAAAAAAUUUAGAAUAUUUUUAAAAUAUUUGAAUAGAUUUUAAAAAGUUCUAAAAAGAUUAAAGAAGUUAUUCAAAAAUCUUUCUAUGAUUGCUUUGCUUUUAAGAAAUAUGGAAAUUUUUUAAUUUUUUUUUAAAAUUACUUCAUUUUUAAGCAAUAUGGAAAUUUUUCAAAAAACUUUUUAAGAUUACUUAAUUUUUAAGCAACAUAGAAACUUCUUGAAAAACUUCUUAAUACCUAUUAUAUAUUGGAGUCAAGGCUACAAGGAUCUUUAUUCUUGACAAUAUAUCUCUAAGAAGUUCUAACUCACAUCUCUUAGUGUUGAUUUUGUAUUUAGUUGACUUAAUUAAAUUUUUGAUAGUUUUUUUGUUAAAACUCUUUUAUUCAAUUUCUUAUUUGAUCUUUUGUAUAAUAUUAUCAUGGAAAUAUGUAUGUAAGCCAGUAAUUACAUAUAUAAAUAAAUAGAAGUAAGUAAAAGUAGAUAAAAGUAAGUUAAUUCUAUAAUAUUUAUUAUAGAAGCUUCUUAGAAGCUCAAUAGAUACUACUUUGACUUUAUAGGUGUCUUUAAUUGACUUUUUGGAUUAGAAACAUUGUCAACAAGUUGGCCAUGUACCACACAUGUUGUUAACUUGAAGACCAAGCUAACUAUGAAGCCCACACGUAGAAAAACUUACCUUGUAAGUCAAGGCAUGUGUCCUACAAAGUCAACACAUAUUAGAGGUCCUAUAGAACAUCGCUACAUAGCCCCUAAUAAGAUAGUAUAUAUAGAGACAAGAGUGAAUUCUUCUUCACUCUUGUCAACUCCUUUCUUACUUUUAGUCUACUUUCAAGGAUCUCUAGUUUUCUUGGCUUUUGGCAAUAGCCAUUCUAGUUUCUUUUUUAAAGCACAUAUCAAGUUAUUUCUAUUUUGUCAUCUUUCUUUGAGAGAAGUCUCACUUAUUUAUUUGUUUUUAUCAUGUUCUUAUCUUUGACAGAUUAACAAGAGUACACUUACAAUAUCAGAGCUUUAUCUAAUCUUGAUUAAGAGUAGAUUAUUCCUUUCUCUUAAUAAGACAUAAAUAUAUUAGAAGUUGCGGAUUAUACUCUUCUAAAUUGAUAUUGUCUUUAGUAUUUUCUUUGUUCUCAAGUCCUCUCUUCUAUUUGUCUUGAGCAAUAUUAGACAUCUUCUCUUUUUUGAGUGUUAUCAUGGUAAAACUUGUUGAAAUGAAGAAUGCAAUAGCAUAAAUGCAAGAGCAAUUAAACGAGUAAAUGCUUAUGAUACAUCAAGUCAAUUUACCACCACAAGGAGCAACAAGAUUGGCAGGAAGUAAAGAUAUAGAAAUGAUUGGAGUUGCUUCAACAUUUGCACCAAAUCAUGUCCUUUUUUCUUAUGGUGGAACGCCCUUCCAGUAUUAGAGAAUCAAGAAUUACCCUACCCAAGAAGUUUGAUGGCACCAAAUCAAAGUUUAGAGGAUUUAUCAAUCAAGUACAACUUGUGAUUGAACUUCAACCCCAAAGCUAUCCAAUUCUAGGAUAGCAAGUUAGAUUCAUUGGUACGCUGUCGUAUUAUGUACUUUCCUGCUCGAGAACGCACCGGGAGUCUAGCUGUAGAAGGUAGUAUGGAGAUUCGCUAAUAUUUAAGCAUUCUAUCAGUUUUUGACUAUUGGAAUAUGAACGAUUAUAAGAAUAUACCGUAAAUCUAUACGGAUGUCCUUUGAUUGCUCGCCAAAAUCCUUUUUGCCCCAGCCGGUAGGUCUCUAGAUAUUACAGAGAAUCCCAAACAACCCAAUCUACUAAUCUCCGAUACCACUUUAUACUCACGACCUUGUAUCCACUGACUGUCUUGUUAGAUUAAUCCAAAAAUUUUCAUUCACUCCACAUACUCAAUCCUAUAGACACCCUUUUAAUUCUUCAAUCACAGACAUAACUUUGAUUUCACAAAACAGUCAAGAGUAAUUACACCCACUUCAUUAAAACCUCGAUUCACUAGUACAACACUGACUUCAAUAACAAUUGCCUCAGUCUUCUUAAAAUCCUAUGAAAAAAAAAAAUCCCAAUUCUCUGUCUUUUCUCCCCCUCCUCCCCCAAAGCAUGAAGCUAGCUCUUCGACCCUUAAAACCCUAAUUCUCCCCUCUUUCAAACCCUAGCCUCUGAAUUCUUUUAAUCUUCCAUCUUGGAUCCGGAAUUGGCUCCACCGUCAGAGCUUUCUCCUCUAUUUUUUGCCUUUUAAAAGGUUCUUUUUUCCGAAAACAACGUUCCUUGAAACGGCACAGAGAACAUGACAGCCUGAAACGAAAUUGAAACUCCCGUAAUUGGGACCACAUUGAGUCGUCCUACCAAAUCAGGUCUCAUAUUGGCUAAGAGGCCCGUAGUAAGACCUAGAUGUUUCUGUAAUUGGGUCAAAUUGGUCCUUCGCGUCAGGCUUGCUCAGUCAUCAAUUUAGUCCUUUCGAUUCUGUUGACUCCCACUAUUGGACUCGAACAAAGCAUUUCGUUACUGGUAAGUAUGCCCUGACCGACUAUGAUGGAAUGUCUGAACUGGCCCCUGAAUAUUGUCACUGAAAUCAGUCGUUGCUCCCAAUAUUUGAGGUAACUGAACAUUAAUAAAAGUCCUCUUUUUUUAUAUUUUCACGGUAUACUCGUAUUACAACACGAUAAUGCUUCUUUCAAAUUCAAUAUUAUCAUGAUUUUCAUCUUUUUUUAAAUGACAAGAUCCAAUAUUAGAUAAUCUAAAGACUUUUUUGGUGGAGUUUCGAUCCAUGUAGGGAGAACAUAAUGCAAUUCAUAUUGCAACCAAUAAGAUCCGUAUUUUACGAUAAGGCAAUCAAUCAGUAACGUUGCAUGCUUCAUAAUUUUGACAACUUAUCACUGAUAUCAAGUGGGAUGAUGUUGCACUUGGUAGCCAAUUUCUCUACGGAUUAUAAUAUGAGGUAAAAAAAAUUAAUGCUCAACUUAUCUGAUCUUCAAAUAUUGAAUCAAGAAAUUGACUUUGUUGUGAAGUGUAACAAUCAUCUUUUUGAAUUUUGAUCUAAGAAUCGUACAAGUAGACCUCAACGUUACUAUAAUUCAAAGGUAAUACCAACAUCUCUUCAACACAUACAUUCAGAAGUAGAGGAUAUGCAAAUUAAUGCGGUAUAUUUCAAAUCUCUUACUGAGCAAGAAAAGACUUGUCAUCGUCAGGAAGGAUUGUGCUUAUAUUAUAGAGAACCUAAGCACACUGCUCAACAUUGCCCAAAGAAGCAACACAACCAUAAAAUAAAGAGUACGGCAAUCAAAAAAGAUAGCAUGUCAGAAAACAAAUUUGUCCAACUAUAAUAGAGACUGUGUGGGUAGAACCUUGUACAAUGCCUAGUGAAGGUCCUAUCUUCUCCUCAGAACCCUCUCCAUGUUUUGCAAUAAAUGUUAUUCUAGAACCUAAACAUCAUAAAGCCUCUGCCUUGCUAGAUUCAAGAGCCACAGCAUGUUUCUUACAUAAAAAAUUUGCUAAAAGACAUAGCAUAUUUUUAGUGAAGAAAACUAAACCUGUUCAUGUAGAAGUCAUAGAUGAUCAUCCGUUGUCUUUUGGAGAUGUUACUCAUGAAACACUUCCUAUUGAAAUAGUAACUAAUGGUCAUAGUAGCUUUUUAAUAUUUAAUAUCAUUAGAUCUCUUUCUAAUCCAGUCAUUUUAGAUUUAUCAUGGCUAAAAAAAUAUAAGCCUAAAAUAGAUUAAACUUCUCGUAGUCUUAAAUUUUUUGAAAGUAUAACUAAGAGCAUAGUUAAUCAAGUAGAAAGUCAUAAGUCUAAUAUAAUUAAACCUAUAUUUGUAGGUGCAAGAGCUUUCUUGCAUAUUGCAAAAGAAAGAUCACCUUGUAUCAUUUAUGCCACACCUGUUUUUAUUGGUGGAAAGACUUCAAGUGGUAUUCCAAGCCAAUAUGAAGAUUUUCAAGAUGUAUUUGAGAAGAAGAAUGUGGAUAAUCUUCUAGAACAUCAUUCCUAUGACUAUUCAAUUGACCUUCCAUUUGGACCAAUCUACAAUUUAUCACAAAAUGAGUUGGUUGAACUCAAGGAGUAUAUUGAAAAGAAUCUGGCCAAGAACUUCAGACACCAUUCCAAAUCUCCAACAAGAGCUCCAAUUUUAUUUGUGAAGAAAAAAGAUGGAUCAUUGCAGAUGUGUGUCGAUUAUCGAGGACUCAACAAAAUCACUAUCAAAAAUAGGUACCCACUAUCUUUGAUAUUUGGACUCCUUAAUGAGUUGAAACAAGCUAAGAUCUAUACAAAAAUAGAUCUACAAGGAGCAUCUAAUCUGGUACACAUCAAAGAAAGAGAUGAAUGGAAGACUGCAUUUCAAACAAUGUAUGGAUAUUUCGAAUACAACGUCAUGCCUUUGGGACUUACAAAAGCACCAGUAGCAUUCCAAUAUCUAAUGAAUGAUAUCUUUCAGGAGUUUUUAGAUGACUUUGUUGUUUGUUACCUAGACAACAUGUUAAUCUAUUCUAAGAAUAUAGAAGAAUAUGAACUUCAUGUUCUUCAUGUAUUACAAAAACUAAAAGAUGCGAGAUUCUAUGUAUAGAUAGAAAAGUGUGUAUUUCACACUACUCAAGUUGACUUCUUAGGAUACAUCAUUUCAAAUGAUAGACUUAUGAUGGAUCCUAAAAAAGUUCAAAUUAUUAUGGAUUGGAAGAUCCCAAAAAUGGUAAGAGAGGUUCAAUGCUUUUUGGGAUUUGCCAACUACUAUCAGAUCUUCAUCAAAGACUUCUCUCAAAUUGUAGCUCUACUUACACGUUUAACUUGUAAAGACAAACUUUAAUAGAAUCAAGAAGCUAAAAUAGUAUUUGAAGCUUUGAAGACAGCCUUUAUUUCUACACCAAUCUUGUAUUGCGUCGAUCUUUCUAAGCAAUUUUUUAUGGAAAUACACGCAUCAGACUUUGCUUUGGGUGUCGUAUUAUAACAAAUAGGAACAGAUGAUAAACUUCAUCCAAUAGCUUUUCAUUCUUGAAAAUUUUCAACAACCAAGAUUAACUACAAGAUUCACGAUAAAGAACUUCUUGCAAUCAUGGAUUCAUUUCAAGAAUGGUGCCAUUACCUAGAAGGUGCUUCUAGCCUAGUCACAAUGUAUAUAGAUUACAAGAACCUUGAAUAUUUUAUCUCAACAUGUAUUUUAAAUUUUUGCCAAGCCCAUUGGAGUAUGCUGUUGUUAAGAUUUGAAUUCAAGAUCACUUAUCGACCAAGAAAACAACAAGGUUUAUUAGAUGCACUCUAUAGACGAUCUUAACUUAUACCAAAGAAAGGAGAUGCUGCUUUCGAUCAACUACAAAUAAUUCUCUUGAAGCCAGAGCAUCUUCAUCUUCAAACAAUGAAAUCAAUACUAAUUGUUGAUUCAACUUUCAUUAAGCAAGUUCAGUCAAGUAUGUAUCAAGGACAUGAAUCUUGAAAAAAGAGAAUCCUAAAUAUACUCUUCUAUCACUAAAGAGAAUUAGAAGGUCACUCAAAAGGUGAUGUAAUAUUAACUAGAAUGGCUAUUGCCAAAAACAAGAAGAUUAAAAAGUCUUGAAACAAGACUAAGACUAGAAAGGUGUUGACAAGAAUGAAGAAGGCUUCACUCUUGCCUCCAUAUAUACUAUCUAACUAAGAGCCACAUGGCAAUGUCCUAUAGAACCUCCAACAUGUGUUGACUUUGCUAGCCACAUGUCUUAUCUUGCAAGGCAAGUUAUCUAUGUAUGCGCCACAUACUUAGCUUGUUCCACAAGCUACUACACAGAGGUAACUUGUUCCAUAAACUAUCAAUACAUGGUUAGCUUUUUGGCCAAGUUUCUAACCUACAAAUACAUCUUAAGUCAAAACUGCAUUUAUUAAGCCUUUAGGAAGCUUCUUUAGAAGAUUUUAUGAAAUUAUUCUAUUUUACAUACUUCUACUUAAUCAUAUAAAUAACUAUUGAGGUAAAUGUAUAUGUCCGUGAUAUUAUCCUCCCUUCUAGGGAUGAUUUCCAUGAGGGGCGAUCUUUAUAUGUUGAGAAAGUUUAAGAUGCAAUAAACUAUAUUUACUACAUACUCCGAUCUUUGCUCUCUUCGAAGAUGGUUGAUAGGUCCUCUCAACCAUCUAUAGUGUCCCAUACCAAGAUAAGAAGACCACCCUGUUAUUUGAUCAUUGUUAAGGCCUUCAUAAUUUCCUUCAAAUAAAAUAUUUGGAACACCGUCAAGAGUAGUUCUUACCUCUAAUAAUAUCACUAAACAUCGAGAUUCUCUUCUAAGGCCGUGAUAUCAAACACGUUGUAUCUUGCCAUCUAUUCAAGAAAAGAUAUGUUAUUCUUGAAGAUCUUUAUCUCAAUUUUGUCAUUUUGAAGGUUGUGACAAUCGCAAUAUCUCAUCUAGUAAGUCUGCAAAUGAAAGCUCUUGAAUUGAAUCUGCUGGUUGUUGGUGCUCCAUCUCAUCACAAAUACACACAAGCUACAAUGAAAGAUAGAAAGUAGAAUGUUAUUUUCCUUUGAUCUUUUUUCUUUUAUAGCAAAGGUUUCUUAUUCUUCAUCUUGGUUUUGAUAGAUGUCGUUGAUGAAAGACUUCAACUUUCUUUGUUACAUUUGCAAGAUUCUUUGAUGGCUCCGAUAUACGUUGAGUAAUAUCAUAUCCCUGCCAAUGAAAAAGAUAUUCCAACCUAUUUUGGCACCACCUUGAGUCUAAGACUUCUUCCACCUCAAAUUCUUGGUUAUUAUCUACUUCUAUAGGAAGAGGUGGCAUUUGUCUUCUUCCCAAGAUAUUCACAGUCUUAUAUGGCUUGAAAAGAGACAUGUAAAAUACAUAGUGGAUCUUCAUAGACUCUAGUAGAUGUAAUAGAUAUGCAACAGAAUUGAUUUGCUCACAAAUAGAAAAAGGUCCGAGCCUACGAUAAUCUAAUUUAUCACAAGGAUGAGUAGUCUUGAUAUUAUGACGAAGUAACCACACCUUGUCGUCCAUAUUAUAUUGUGCUUGCUCCUUGCGAUAGGCAUCUGCAUUGAUCUUUUGUCGUUCUUGAGCUUCCUUUAAUUCUAUUUUUAUUGUUGUAUGUAGCUCAGACAAGAAAUUUGGUAAAUUUUCCGCCACAAGAUUAUCAACUUUUGAAAAGUCAAAAGUAUCAAGACGUGGAUGAUGACCAUAAUUGGUAAAAAAAUAUAUUUGUUGAGUGGAAGAAUGUACCAAAUUAUUAUAUGUAAACUUUGCUAAUGGUAAAAGAGUUGUCUAAUCAUCUUGAUGAGAGUUGAUGGUACAUCUCAAAUACUACUCGAAAACUUGAUUUACUUGUUCUAUUUGUCCAUCAGUUUGAGGAUGAAAAGUUGAAGAAAGCUUUAUAGCUAUCUUUAGAAUCUUGAAUAGGAUUUUUCAAAAACUUGAUACAAAUUGAGUCCCCCUAUUCGAUAUAAUAUCCUUUGACAAUCCAUGAUAGCGAUAGAUAUUGUCAAUGAAAAGGUUAGCUGUUUCUUUACCUGUGAUAGAUUUUGUAUAUGGUACAAAAUGUGCCAUCUUGGUAAAAUGAUCUACUAUUACGAAUAUAGAGUCGUAAGAAGCUGAAACUGGAAGAUCCGUGAUGAAAUCUAUAGAAACAGAAGACCAUUGUUGUUCUAAAAUAAGUAACGGUUGAAGAAGUCCGUAAGGUUGAUGACAAGGAAUUUUUGAGCUUGAGCAAAUAUCACAAGAUUGUACAAAAUCUUUGAUUGCCUUCCACAUUUGCGACCACCAAAAAUCCCUAGAUAUUAGUUCCAAAGUUUUAUUGUAUCCAAAGUGUCCUACUGCUGAAAAGUCAUGACGAGCUUGAAGAACACGUAAUCAGGCUUCAUCUUCUGGAACAUAUUGAUGUCAUUCAAAAUAUAAUAUAAUAUUCUUGAAUUCAAACUUGAAAGUAUUAUGGGACUUUGAAGAAGUAUCCUUGAUAUUCCAAACAAGAUGAUCAAAAGACAUGCUUGAUUGAAUUUGCUUUACUAAUAUUGAAUCAAUAAUCAAUAUUGAUUUUAUAGCUUGAAGAUAAAAAUGCUUGAGCUUCAAUAGAAUUGAUCUUUGUUGAUUAAAAGAUACAUCUCUUUCUUUUGGUGCAAGAUAAGAAUAUCUAAAAAGAGCAUCCUAUAAACCUUAUUAUUUUACGAGUCGAUAAGUGAUCUUGAAAUUGAAUCUAGAUAAAAAUAUGUUCCAACGGACUUGAGGACGAUUCAAGACACAUGUUGACAUAAAGUACUGAAGGUUCUUAUGGUCUGUAUAUACGGUAACUGGACUUGAGGUGCUUUCUAAGUAAUGAUGCCAUUCUUAAAAUGAAUCCAUGAUUGUAAGGAGCUCUUUGUCAUGGAUCUCAUAAUUAAUCUUGGCUGCUGAAAAUUUCCUCAAAUGGAAAGCUAUUGGAUGGAAUUUGUCAUCCAUUCCCAUUUGUGACAACAUGACACCUAUAGCAAAAUCUCGCAUAUUUGUUUCCAUAAAAAAUACCUUGGAGAAGUCAAUGGAAUAUAAGAUUGGUGUAGAAAUAAAUUCUAUCUUUAAAGCAUCAAAUGAUGCUUGUGCUUCUUUAUUCCAGUCAAGUUUGUCUUUAUAAGUCAAACGUGUAAGCAAGAUUUUGGAAUUCGGUAGCAUAUGUAGUGGCUGAUUGUGAUCCUUGCAAUAAGCAUAAAAGUUUGGUCUCUGCUACUCGUUCUCAAUCACUUUCUCCAAAUAUGGCCGUAAAUACUUUUAAAAAUGAAUUCAAAUCAUAAAGAAGUCUUGAAUCUUUUUCUAUUAAAGCUAUAAAUCAAGAGAAAGCACUUCUUAAUAGUAGUGCAUCUAUAAAUUCGACUUGGAUAAAUCCAUCAUUGGAAAAGAUGCAAUCUUAGAUAGAACUUGACUUGUUGCAAAAAUCCUCAAAAUUUUGAUCUUAUUCCAUCAAACUUCUCACGCAUACUAAUCCUUCUCCAUGUCAUACUUAUAGAAGCAAAAUUCCCUGGAUUUGGUUGUGACGUUGAUCUACUUGCUUCUUUCAAUUGCACAAUUUCUUAUCGUAGACUCUGAACUUCUUUCAUAGGCAUAGGCAUAGUACUUCCAUGAUUCACGUUAGAAAUACAUGAUAUUUUCACUCUUAGAGUGUUGAUAAACUCAUGAUGAUCUACUACAGUUGCAAAUCUAUUCUCACUUUUAUUAAGAGUAGCAUCCAUAAUCUUUCCUUCAAUAGACAACUCAAACGAAUUCAAAAGUUAAAUUAGAGGAAGGUAAUCUGCAACCUCUAAAAACAAAUCCCACAAAGAGGGAUAAUCCACUCUCUUUAAGGAAAAGAUAAGUGUUAGAAAAUAAGAUUUUUUAUUUAAAGGUGGGUAGUCUGCAAUCUUCAAAAUAUAAUAAUAAAAGUGGGAUAAUCCACUCACUUCUAAAAUAAGACAAAAAUAAUAUGUUAGCAUUCUUAUCAAACUGUUAGGGACAUGAAUCUUGAAGAAAGAGAAUCCUAAAUAUUCUCUUCUAUCACUAAAGAGAAUUAGAAGGUCACUCAAAAGGUGAUGUAAUAUUAACUAGAAUGGCUAUUGCCAAAAACAAGAAGAUUAAAAAGUCUUGAAACAAGACUAAGACUAGAAAGGCGUUGACAAGAAUGAAGAAGGCUUCAUUCUUGCCUCCAUAUAUACUAUCUAACUAAGAGCCAUGUGGCAAUGUCCUAUAGGACCUCCAACAUGUGUUGACUUUGCUAGCCACAUGUCUUAUCUUGCAAGGCAAGUUAUCUAUGUAUGCGCCACAUACUUAACUUGUUCCACAAGCUACUACACAGAGGUAACUUGUUCCAUAAGCUAUCAAUACAUGGUUAGCUUUUUGGCCAAGUUUCUAACCUACAAAUAUAUCUAAAGUCAAAAAUGCAUCUAUAAAGCCUUUAGAAAGCUUCUUUAGAAGAUUUUAUGAAAUUAUUCUAUUUUACAUACUUCUACUUAAUCAUAUAAGUAACUAUUGAGAUAAAUAUAUAUAUAUAUAUAUAUGUCUAUGAUAGUAUGUCUUCUGAUCGUCUUAUUCAUGAUAUUAAGGAAAAUCCUUCAAAGUCUCAUGAUACUUCCAAGUUUGAAUUGAAGAAGAAUCUUCUAUAUUUUGAGAGAGGCCUAUAUGUUCUAGAAGGUGAAGCUCGAUUAUGUGUUCUUCAAGCUCAUCAUAACUUUUCAGCAGUAGGACAUUUUGGAUACAAUAAAACUUUGGAACUAAUAUCCAAGGACUUUUGGUAGCUCCAAAUGUGGAAAGUAGUCAAAGAUUUUGUACAAUCUUAUGAUGUUUGCUCAAGAUCAAAAACUCCUCGUCAUUGACCCUAUGGACUUCUUUAGCCAUUACUCAUUCUAAAACAACCAUGGUCUUCUAUUUCUAUGGAUUUCAUUACAAAUCUUCCAAUCUCAGAUUCUUAUGACUAUAUUUGAUGAUAGUAGAUCAUUUUAUUAAGAUCGCACAUUUUAUACUAUAUACAAAAUUAAUUUUUUUGGUAAAAAAAUAACUAAGCUCUUUCUUGACAAUAUCUAUCGCUAUCAUGGAUUACUCAAGGAUAUUAGAUCAGAUAGGAAAACUCAAUUUAUAUCAAGAUUUUGGCGGACUCUUUUCAAGAUUCUAAAAGUGGAUAUAAAACUAUAUUUGGUAUUCCAUCCUCAAACUAAUGGACAAAUGGAGCAUUAUCAUAUUAUAAAUGCUUACAGUAUGUAAAAAUUAGUUAAAAAAUUUUAUAUGUUAAUAAAUCUAGAUGUUUGUUAGAGUGGCUUGUAGAUUAAAUUAAAAAGAGUUGGUAUAAGAAACUUUACUUUGUUUUUUUUACUUGUUUUGAUUUUGACAUUAAAAAAAACAUAUAGGACCUAAAUAUUUAGUAUGAAGCCUUGGGAGAAGGUAGAAGCCUAAGGAUGAAAAUCUAAACUAGUAGGAGGCUAAUUGAGAGGGAUGAAAGUAAGGCAUGGUUGGAUGAAGGCAAAGAAUGAGGAACUUCAUCCCUAUUGGUCGAAUAUCAUGCCCAAUGGGCUUUGAGGAUGCUGCCCAUGACCUUAACAAGGGUUUCAGUGACUUCAAAGAGAGCAUUUGGAAAUUAGAAGCUAGAUUUGUAAAUUUUAGGAUUUGGAGUACAAUUUUUGUAUAAAAAUUAGAAAAUUUGAAAUUAGGAUGAAGAAGAUAUAGCCGUUUGAAGUUCAGGUAUUAAUUUAAGAUAUACUGUUCCUCUUUUGAGGAUAUGAAGAGUUGUAUAGAAGCUUUUGAAGAUCGGAAGAUGCAAUUAAGACAAUAAUUUCAAGGCCUACAUUUUUUAUGAAAGAAUUAUUGCUUUUGGAGUUCUUGUGAAGGAGUUAUAUGGAGUUGAAGGUGGCACUUCCAAAUCAAAGGCAGUAAGUGAGCGGUUUUGUUUAUAGUAAUGAUUGGAGCCAUGACUUAAGUUUUUGAACAAAUUUUUGGCUCAAACUUUUUGGAAAAUAUAAUAUUUUGUAUUAAAAAGCUAUAAAUAUAAAUUUUAUGGUAUUUGAGCUUAUAUUUUGUGAGGUAUAAAGAAAAUUGCACGUGGAUGUAUAAAGACUAGGGUUUGAAGUGAUUGUUAGGAUUUUCAAGAUAUCUCAAGAUCCACAUUGAAUUUGCAAUUGAAAUUUGUUUUUGAAGUUAAUAAGAAGACAUCAGUACCUCAUGUAAAAUUUGAAUUUUUUUGGACAGUCGGAUUAGGAAAUAUGAGGUGUUGAAGUUUGGAAAAAUUUCCACAUAAGGAUAUACAAGGUUUUAAAGGAUUUAUCAUAUUUUGGAUGUUUUUGGUUACUUGAGGCUUGUGUAUUUGGUGUAAUUGCUCAAAAAGGAAAAUUUAUACAUAAACUUAGGGCUUCUCUUAUUUUGAAGCUUGAUUGAAUGAUUAGUGAUAGCGAGAAGUUCAGCAUUUUCUUGAGCAAAUUCUUUCUACCUCGACAUCAUGUUAAUCAAGUUUUGGAGCAAUAUUUAAGAUAUAUAAUUAACUACCAACAAGAUGAUUGGACAACUCUAUUUUCAUUGAUAGAGUUUGCUUACAAUAACAUGAUACAUUCUUCUACAAAACAAACACCUUUUUUUAUCAAUUAUGGUUAUCAUCCAUGACUUGAUACUUUUAACUUUUCAAAAGUUGAUAAUCCUAUGACAAAAUUUUUGGCAAUUCAUUUGUCACGGCUACAUGCAAUGAUGUAGGCAUAAUUAAAGAAGUUCAAGAACAACAAAAGGUCAAUACAUAUGUCUAUCGAAAGGAACAACCACCAUUCCACAUAGGUGAUAAGGUAUAGUUACUUCGUUGUAAUAUCAAGACCACUUGUCCUUGUGACAAGUUGGACUAUCAAAAGCUUGGACCAUUUUCUAUUUCUACACAAAUCAAUUCAAUUGCAUAUCCUUUACAUCUACGAGAGUCAAUGAAAAUCCAUCCAAUAUUUCAUGUGACUCUUUUUGAACCAUACAAGAUAGUGGACAUACCAAGAAGAAGACAUGCUGCACCUCCUCCUAUAGAAGUGGACAAUAAUGAAGAGUUUGAAGUAGAAGAAUUUUUAGAUUCAAAGUGGCACGAAAAUAAAUUGAAAUAUCUUGUCUAUUGGUAUUGAUAUGAUAUUAGUGAACGCACAUAGGAGCCAGUAAAGAAUCUUAUAAAUGUAGCAAAGGCGAUAGAGGCUUUUUAUCGAGAAUAUCUAUCAAAAUCAAGAAACAAGAUCUAAGCAAGAUAAUAUUUUACUUUCAAUCUUUUUUUGUAACUUCUUUGUAGUUUUGAUACUAAAGAGAUGGAGAACCAAGAACCAAUGGAUUCGACUCAAGAGCCUUUGUUUGUUGACCUACUAGAUAAGACAUUACGAUUGUCACAAGCUUUAAGACGACAUAAUUGAGAUGAAGAUCUUUAAGAAUGACAUAUUUUUCUUCAAAUAGAUGGGAAGAUACAACGCGUUUGGUAUCACGGCCUUAGAAGGGACUCCUGAUGUUUGGUGAUUUUACUAGAGGUAGGAACAAUUCCUGAGGAUGUUUCAAAUGUUUUAUUUGAAAGAAGUUAUGAAGGCCUCAAUAACGAUCAAAUAACUCGGUGGUCUUUCCACCUUAGUAUGGGACACUACCGAUAGUUGAGAGGCCCUAUCAAUCAUCUUCGAAGAGAACAAAGAUCAGAGUAUGUAGCAAAUAUUAUUUAUCGCAUCAUAGAUUUCGUCAACAUAUGAUGACCGCUCCUUGUGGAACUCGUCCCUAGAGGGAGGAGUAAUGUCAAGGACAUAUGCAUAUAAGCCAAUAAUUAUAUGUAUAAAUAGGUAGAAGUAAGUAAAAGUAGGUAAAAAUAAGUUAAUUCUAUAAUAUUUGCUAUGAAAGCUUCUUAAAAGCUUCAUAGAUGCUACUUUGACUUUAUAGUUGUCUUUGAUUGAUUUUUUGGAUUAGAAACGUAGUCAACAAGUUGGCCAUGUGUCACACAUGUUGUUAGCUUGAAGUCCAAGCUAACUAUGUGGCCCACACAUAGAAAAACUUGCCUUGUAAGUGAAGGCAUAUGUCCUACAAAGUCAACACAUAUUAGAGGUCCUAUAAAACAUCGCCACAUAGCCCCUAGUUAGAUAGUAUAUAUAAAAACAAGAAUGAAGCCUUCUUCACUCUUAUCAACUCCUUUCUUGCUUCCAGUCUAGUUUCAAGGAUUUCUAAUUUUCUUGGCUUUUGGCAAUAGCCAUUCCAAUUUCUUUCUUAAUAUACAUAUCAAGUUAUUUCUAUUUUUUCAUCUUUCUUUGAAAGAAGUCUCACUUGUUUAUUUUUUUUUAUUAUAUUCUUAUCUUUGAUAAAUAUAUCCAUAGAAGCUUGUUAAGAUUGUCCUCUUAUCAAUACUAAAUCUUGAUCCUUCUUGAUAGAAAGAGAAUUAUCCCUCUUCUUAAAGGCAUUUAAAUACUUUAGAAGUUACAAAGUAUCCUCUUUUAAAUUUAUCUUAUUUAAAAAUUUUAUUUUUUUCUCUCAAGAUGGUUGGAAGUAAAGAUGUUAAUAUAAUUAAGUCUCGUGAGUCUAAAGUGGAUGCUAUUAUAAAUACACUAAAUGCUUUAUUUUGAAGAAUUAUUAAAAUUGAAGAAUUAUUAAAAUUGAAGAAUUUUUUGCAAGAUUUUAUGAUGAUAGAAGAUCUAGAGCAAUUCAAUGUGUGAUGCAAUCACCUUCUUAAGCUUCUACAUCCAAGGAGGCAAUGGCAUCUAUACCUCAAUAAAAAAAAAAUCAUCUAUUCAAUAACAUAAAGAGCCUCAAAUUAAUCUUUAAAAUAAAUUGAUGGCACACAUUAUCGUAUUUUAUGAAGUCUUCCUCAAGAAUGCAUCAAACACCUAAUUGUGGAAGGUAGAAUUAAAAUUGUAAUAAAAAAAUUCUAAUUCUAAUAGGAUAUUAAAUAAAAUCUAAUUAAAUCUUAACAAUAUUAAGCAAGCUUUAAUCAAAUUCAAAAGAAACUUUAAAAAAAUUACAAAAAUAAUAAGAAAUCUUAAAGGAGUCCAAAAAAAUCCAUAAUAAUCUAUAAAAGAAUCUUUAAAAAAUCCUAAAGAAAUAUUAAUAUAAUAAAAAAAUUAUCUUAAAUAAAUCUCAACUAAGUCCUAAUUUAAUCCUAAUUGAAAUCAUAAUGGAUUUCAAUCAAAUCUUAGGCCAAAUCCUAAAUUAGAAAUAAAUUUUAAAUCCUAAAUCCUAAACUUUAAGCAAAUCUUAAAUCAAAUCUUAAAUCCUAAUUAAAUCUUAAUUAAAUCCUAAAUAAAUCUUAAAUUCUAAAUUCUAAACAUAUCCUAAAAUCCUAAAUAUUAAGCAAAUCCUAAAUCAAAUACUAAAUCCUAGUCUAAUCCUAAAUCUUAUUCAUAUCUUAAUCAAAUCCUAAAUCCUAAUUUAAUCCUAAUCAAAACCUAAUCAAAACUUAAUCAAUUCAAUUUAAUCAUAGUACAAUUUAAAAUCUCAAUAUCUAUUGAUUAAACCAUUGAUCUUAUUUAAAAAAUUCAUAUAAUUUUUAAAAAUUAAAUUAUCAAUAAAAAUAAAAAAUUUAAAGAUAAUUAUACUUACCAAAUAGAAUAAAAAUCCUAUACGAGAAAAUAGCCAAGAAACCAUUAUAGGUUUCAUCCAUACAAGAAGAAUGUAAUCUGAAUUUCAAUUCAAAAGUCCUUAAAAUACUCUUCUUAGUAGUCUUAAUUAUUCAUAAAUCCCAAUUAUCUUGUUACUUUCAUAUUUAAGCAAUUUAGUUUUUUCUUAUAAAUUCCAAUUCUAAUCAAUGAGCUUUAAUAAGCUAUAACAUCCAAUCCGAAUGUCCACUUGAUGUAGAAUUUUGCAUGUGAUUGUCAAUGUAAGACUUUUAUAUGCUCAAGAAUUUUUAAUCUAAUCCAAUUUACAAAUUGUGAAAAAACCUCCAAAAAUUGCACCAAUGUCACUCAGCUACCAACUUGAAAAGUGAAGUAGAAAUUCUAGUAAUGAUUUCUCCUUCUCCAACUAGUAACUUUGUCUCAAAACUGAUGUGUACCUUGAUCUUCAAAUCUUCCAAUACCAUGCCUAUUUUCACCUUAAUCCGACUAAUAGAUCUUGAAAUAUCAUAGAAACCCUAUCCAACCUCAAACUGCCACCUUCUAAAAUCCUCUUGUGCUAAAAACUAGAUAUCUCUAAACCAUGCCGUUAGAUUAUCACAAAAUUAUGUAUAUACUUAGCACAUUCAAGAAUCCAAAUAAUAUGAAGUUUUUAAUAAUAGAAGUUAUACCAAUUGCAUGAACUAGCCAAAAUUGCUAGCCUUAAUUAUAUUAUACAAAACCCAAAUCAUUGAUACAAACCUUGACUUUGAACAAUAAUUGCUAAGUCCUCCAAAACCCCUUCAAAACAAUUCUUAUAUCUCUGAAAAGAACUUCAAGCUAGCUCUUAAAUCCUAAUCUUUAAUCUUUGAAUGAAGUCCUAUUUUGCCCUAGGCUAUUGUUUUAAUAGCCAAAGGUCUAAUUUCAACCCUGUCUCACAAACAGUCGACCCUUGGGUAUUAAUCUAUUCUAUUCUAAGGAUUUUUUAGUCCAAUCCUAUUCACAACUUAACCCUAGUACCAAGUAUACUAAUUAUUUACCUCAUCUAACCUGAUUUUAUUAAUUUAUGGUCUUUCUAAGGUAGUAGAAGAGUCUUUACAACCUAAAAGGUAAAAUUACUAACUAAUCUUCAACCUACUAAUUAUUAAGAUAAGAAAAUAACCUAAGAGGCUUUUAUAAAAGUCAUGUUUAGAUACCUCAAAUUGUAAUUGAAUUAAGAUAAUUAGAUAUUAAUUAGAAAUUCAAUUUUAAUUAUAAUUUCACUAUAUAGUUGUAUUACAUCACAACAUUUAUCCCCUCUUAACAUGCGUACCUUCCGGCAUGCGCCAAAUAAACCAUAUGUCCUAAUUGGCAUCAUACCAUCUCUUCAUUUUCUUCAUCAAAUCCUUCAUUUCUAUUUUCACCAUCUUCUUCAAAAGAAUUGUCAUCUUCAAAAAUGCCAAUAUCUUCAGCAUGACCCUCCAUAUUGAUUACUCUAUCUUGUCUUUUAAAAAUCUUCACUCGCUUUCCAACAAUAGGUAUUUUCAACCUCAUACCAUCUAACUCCCUUAAUAAAUAUGUGGCA